rnacentral:lncRNA from 1 species
UAGGCUCUGGUCUUUCCAGGUGCAGGACGAGGUACAGGCCAUUGGAGGUUCGCAAAAACUAGAGCACAAAGAGUUGAUGAGGCCGCUGAUAUACAUUUUUCCUUCGUGUACAAGAUUUGAUCGGGAACAACAACAUACAAACGUCGAUUAGCAGGCAAUAACACACAACUGUGCACGCUCCUGAUAUUCAGAGAGAUUCUAUUUUUACACUUCGGGAGUACAUAUGAAAAACACAUAUCUACUGUUGUUCAGACGUAGUUGAAACUGCAGCAUAAUCAUAUUUGACAUCUACAGUGUUGCUAUCUUGGGAACCGUGUUCUCUCCAACUGAUCUUCCACAUCUGGAGUAAGCUUACCCUGCAUGACAGAGGAAAAAUAUUACUCACAUGAUGAAUCUGGUGAUUUCUCAUUCUGUUAUCAUUCUAGUAAUCAAAUUGAACAAAGAUCAACCUCAUAAAGAGCGAAGACAUCACAAUUUUAGCAUCAGUGGAAUGAAAGUCCAUGAUAGUGUAGCAUAAAUUUUGGUGUAUUUGUAUUGCUCAAAGCAGAACAAGCAACUUACGACUGGAAACAGUUUGGCCUGUAUAAUUGUGAUUUUUAAUACAACUGUAUGUAUAAUCAUAUUUGAUCGCUUGACCGUCCUACACGACCUCAUUUUGCCGAGCGUGUGUGGCCAGAGAGCCUAUCGCCGACGCUUUCUGGGUCGUGUGGGAAGGACCCUUCUAUCGCCCACACUCACUUGGCGACGGUUCCAAAUGCCGUUAAUGAAGAGGCUUGGUAUCAUUAUGUUAAUUUGAGCUCAAAUUCAAUAUAAAUCAAAUAAAUUCUCACACAAUUACUCCCAAACUAAACCCACAAAUCACUAUACUUAUAGAGCAUUGCACGUGUUAAUCUAGCAAUUAGAGAUGAAAGGACAAAAUUGCUAACCUUUGUGAACACUUGGAUAGUUGGGGUGCCUCAAAUCUUGACAAAUCUUGGCAAAAAAUGAAGGAUGAGCUUGAGCUAAGGGGAAGAACAGAGAGGGAAAAGGAGAAAACAGAGAGGAUGAGCUCGGGACGAACUGGGGUUUAUAUAGGAAUAACUUUAGUCCCGGUUGGUAAUACAAACUGAGACUAAAGGUCAAGCUAUAGUUCCGGUUGGUGAUACAAACCGGUACUAAAGGGGCUCGUGGGGGGCCAGCCUGACGCCAUCACCAACCGGGAUUAUAGGUCAAAAAUGAACCGGGACUAAUGAUGCCCAUGCCCCCUUCCGCUCCUAGCCGUUGGAACCGGGACUAAUGGUCACAUUAGUCCCGGGCCUAGAUCGGGACUAAUGCUUCGGACGAAAGGUCUGUUUUCUACUAAUGUUCACCCACUCAACAAAGGGCCUUUUCAUAUGCAAUGUGUCAUUGUAUGGUGGUGAAAAAACAUCCGCUUCCAUAUAUCAGUGGUGAUUCCCCAAUUUGUGUCGGUUGCUGCCGACGUCGAGCUUGGAUGCGCAUGCACUGUCUCUGCUUCUUGUGAUGCUUUUGCUACUGCCCUUCUACCUCCACUUCAUAUUGAUGUGUCAUAACCGUAGACUGCAUUUGCGUUGCACCUAAUGAACUGGACAAAUACAGGGGGAAACUCGAUUGAAAGUUGACAACAACAAUGGUUAAUGUUCUGGCCCUAUAAAUUCCAAAAAUUUGUCUAAACCAUAUUUGAUGAAAGCCAUUUCUCUUAUUCUUCCUGGGAAAAUUUCAAUGCUCUCCAUAAGGGUCAAAAUGAUGAAGCACGCACGCUCCUCAUGAGGAGAUACAUAGCCUGCCGAGUCGUGACUCGGAGUAUACUCCGCGACAUCUUGGCAGCAGCAGCGAAAGCCAUUGUGGUUGGCUCUAAUACCAACUGUUUUGAACCUUGAUCCACCAGAAAAUGCAUGGCCGCAAAGGAUUGCGUAUACAUAGGUUUAGAUGCGAGGACAACUUGGUGAAACAUAUUGAUUGUUCUUGCCUCCUCAAACAUGGGCGCAUGCCAUCCUUAUAUAACGGAUGCUUGGGCCCUUGAGGCCUUGACCUUUCAUAUUCUCCUAAUAUGAUUAGACUUCCUUAUACAAAUGCAGUCUUUCCUAAUCUUACAAUUUCCUAGUGGACUCUUAGGAUACUUCUUUCUCAUUGACUCCUUGUCAGGUCCUAGCAGAAAAGGAAUCUCAACAUAUAUCCCUCAGUUGUCCAUCAGAGAAACAGAAGUGAAGGGUACAUUCACUUAUCCAACGUUGCACGUGUGAUUGAGAAAUACAAUGGCUGUUGUUACGUGGCUUAUUGUUGUAAUUGCAGUUUACUGUAAUUUAGUUUAACCAGGUGCUUUGCUUAGGCCAUUUACCACAUGUUUUACUCUCGGUAAUCACCAAACCGAUCUGGCUAUGUUUACCGUUCCCAUCUGAGUAAAGUGUAAGAAAGAAUUCGACAAAACAUAGUUCCUUAGAUUAGCUAGAAGUAAAAGUGAUCAUCUUCACAACCAUCCCGCAUUUUAUCCUGUAAUCCGACAAAUCCCUCGUUCGGUUUUUCGAUGAAUUCCUUCUAAUUAUUUUGGUCCUGGCACUCCUCCCAUGCUAGAUCAACAGGCGAUCCCUCUAUUGGAGCACAAAUUUGGUGAAGCAAAAUAUGCUUUUUGUAUUUGGUUUACUCUAAUAUCUCAGAAACAAAAGCGUCGAGUAUGGACCGCUUCACCCAGCCAACACCAUGUAUGCAUUGUGUGGUAGUGGGAAAACUGCCGCUUUCAUAUAUAUAGUCUCGAUUCCCUGCUACCAAAGAAAUCAUCAGGUCAUCAUAUUGUCAUGAUCAUUUGAAUUACUAUGGCAUGGCAGAUCAUCAUGCUUAUUGUGUUUCUCAAAAGUGCGAUUUUUACUGCUGGAAUCAGCCAUACACCUCUAUCGAAAAGAAAAGAUGGGAACCUGAAAUAAAAAUAUAUAGUUCCCAAUCCAUGACAACAAUUGCAUGAUAAAACAGGGGAAAUCUGGGUCCAGAGCUCCCACCUCUAACUCUAUCCCAAAUCGAUGAUGCAUUAACCCAUCUUCAUUCUGUGCUGAAAACCUGAACUCUUUUUCUUUUCUCAUUUGAAAGAGUAAUAAGAAAGCUGAACUCAGUCUAUCACUUAGUGACUUAGACAGGCAAGCUGAUAUAUGAUUUUGCACACAUGGAAGUCAUCGAGUGCAUAGCAUGCAGCUUAAUGGAUUCCCAAGAGCAGCAACAAUUGAUGCAGAGCAGUGACAGUAAAUCCCCGUCGAGUUACAUAGGCUCUAGUCUUUCCAAGCGCGGGACGAGUUAUAGACCAUUGGUUGUUUAGGAAAAACUAGACCAGAGAGUUGAUGAGGCCGCCGAUAUACAUGUUCCCUUCGUGUACAAUAUUUGAUCAGGAACAACCGCAUACAAACGCCAAUUAGCAGGCUAUAACACACAACCGUGCACGCUGGGGCUCUUGAUAUUCAGAUCGACCCUAUUUUUGCACUUUGCAAUUACACACGAAAAACAAAUAUCUAAAAUUGUUCAGACGUAGUUGAAACUGCAGCAUAAUCAUAUUUGACGUCUACAGUGUUGCUAUCUUGGGAACCACGUUCUCUCCAACUGAUCUUCCACAUCUGGAGUAAGCUUACCCUGCAUGAUAGAGGAAAAAUAUUUUAGUCACAUGGAUACAUAGAUGCAAUGCCUAUUCGAUGUGAUGUUGUUGUCAAAACUACGUACACAUGAUGAAUGAGAACAUUGAUUUUUGGAAGGGAACCAGGGUAGCAUUAGGAAGAAUCUGAAUUUGCACGUCGUUUGUCCAGCCUUCUGUUCCGUGGUAUUGCAGUUUGUACUCGCUAGAAUCGCCCCUUCACCUCUGUAGAAAAGGAAACAUAGAACUCUUAAAUCUGAAUGCGAAAAAUGCAAAGAGAGCCUUGGCUCAGUGGUGUUGGGCAUGCGGUUGUGCAGCCUAGCGACCCGAGUUCAAUUCCUAGAAUUGACAGGCGAUGCACAGGGGUUUUCCCCCGUUUAUUGAGGAUCAAGCUUGAUGUGUGGUGGAACCUCUCAUCAAGAAAUAUCUUGAUACUCAUACUAAAAUUGCCGUAUGCAUCCCUGGUUGGUGCAGAGGCCGGGGAAGUAAAAUUCUCCCCCGUUUUAAAAGACACAUCAAUCUAUCUCUGGUUAGGAGCCCCGAGGCUUUCUUAUCCUAUCUUCCCUGACCUCUCUCCCCCGAGGCGGCGCCACGCCGCCCCCGGGGAGUCCCCGUCCACACCGCCCUCAGCCCUCCCCCUCCAUCGCCUCCCACUACCGCCGCCGUCGCUGAGGACGCCGCGGGGCGAAGCCCCUAUGGUGAGGCGGCGGCGGCGGCUUAGUCCUCAGUAACGCGUGGGGGCAGCGGCGUCCAUCUCCCUCCUCCUCCAACGGCAGCGCGCAGCGGGUUGGCGGUGGCCAGGAGAUCUCCGGCAGGCGUUUGGCAGAUGAGAUUUUGGCUGCGAUGAGAUCUGAUCUAAGCCCGAGGGGUUUAGAUCGAGAUCCACUACGGCUGCGCCUCGUCUCGACAACGGCAAGAGGAGAUCCCCCAUGGGUAAUCUUCGCGGCACGAGGACAUCCGGGUCUCUUGGCCCGGGCAUGGUGGUGGUGGCUGCCUUCUCCAUCGAAGGCGGUAGGCCAGGUUGGUAGUGACGGAUCUUGGAUCCCAGUAUUAGCACCGGCGGCGAGUUGGGGAGACAUAGUCGUCGGUGAAAACCGAGCCGACUACGGUCAUGGCGGGCGAUGGCAGCGUCUACGUCAUUACCUUGAUGAAGGCAUCGUGAAGCAACUAUCGUCAUCCUGCUCGUGCCGCUCCAAGAGAAAUCCUAAGAUCACCGGAUCGGACGAUAGCGGCGCUGCGGUGUCGUGUUCCCUAUUGGGGGCAUUGUUUGUGGAGCGGCGCUGGAUGGAAGAGGCGUGAGGUGGUGUGGCGUGCCUUCUCUCGCGUCGACGACGGCGGGUCUCGGCGGCAUGGAGCAGUGGGCUCUCGCCGGUGGGCAUGUGAUGAUGGACGAGCGCAGGAUGAUGGUGUUGUCUGGCGUCGUGGUGGCGUCGACGACAGCUAGACCGGGCAAGGUAGAUGCAACAGUACAUCACUGAAGAUGGAUUUGUGGCAGGUGGCUGCGUCGGCCUCAUACCCGGCAGGCGUCCUGGUUGAGGAGUGCGCCGGACUCGUGGGUACCCCAUACCCGGCAGGCGUCCUGAUUGGGACCUCAGGUCUUAGAUGUUAGGUUUGGCUGCGAGGUCUGUUUGGUAUUAGGCCCAGACUAUCAGCAUCCCUACAUCAACUGGAUAGGAGUAGCGACAGAUAUUGCCUAGACGGUAGCUUUAGUCUUACUGUUGUACGACUUUUUAAGGUCUUAUGUGAAUAAUUAAUAAAGUGGCUGCUUGCAUCGUCCAGAUGCAGAGGCCGGGGGUCAUCCUCCUUUUCUAAAAAAAAAGAGCUCCCAUAUUAAAUCAUGGGUAUGUACCUGUAUCUCAAAUCGAUGACGCAUUAAUCCAUCUAGUGCAGCUAUUUCUCGGUGAAUUUGUUUAGUUGUGUUUUGCUCCAGAACUCUGAUAGCUAUUGUGGUUUUAGCUUUAGGAGGCACCCUUUCUUAGGUUUUGUUUAUUUUGCUGCAGAUAGAUACUAGACCUUGCUCGUUACCGCUGAGAUAGCUGAACCCCGCAGUUUUUUGGCAUAUUAAAUAUACGAAAAUAUUAUACCGCGUACAUUAUUGUUUGUCUAUUUUUGGCGGUGGCAUACAUUUUUGUUAAUAGAUGACAUUGAUUUGCAACUAGGCACAUACAACACCAGACCUGCGAAGCGACCAUGCAUGCGCGUCGUCGGUGUUGCUCCUAGUUGUGCCUCUGCUGUUGUUGUGCGUGGUUGUGCAACCACCGCUGGUUGUUGCGCCGGGUUGCUUUGUCGUCGAUCCUCCGCCGUCGAGCUUGGCUGCCUCUGCUUCUUCUCGUACUUCUGCUACUGCUUCCUGUUCUGGUGCCUUUUCCACUACUGCAUAUUGUUGUGUCGGUCAUCGUGGACUGCACUUGCACGGUUGCACCUAAUGAACUGGACAAUAAUAGAAGUAACUCAAUUCUCUCGCCAAAAAAAAAAACUCGAUUGAAAGCUGACAACAACCAUGGUACAUGUUCCAGCCCUCUAAACUGCCAAAAGCUCGUCUAAACAAAAUCUGAUGAAGGCCAGGACCAUUAAUCUUCCUGGGAAAAUUUCAAGGUUCUCCAUGAGGAUAAAAAAUGAUGAAGCAUGUUCGAUGUUCCCCGUGAUGGGAUAUAUAGACUGAUGAGUCGCGAGUCGUGACAAGGAGUAUCCUCCGUGAUAUCUUGUCAGCAGCAGCGAAAGCCAUGGUGAUUGGCUCUAAUACUAACUAUUGUGAACCUUGAUCCAACAAAAUGCAUGGCCGCGAGAGAUUGUGCAGACACAGGUUUAAAUGCGAGAACAACGUGGGAAAACGAAAUGCAUGGCCACAUGCCAUCCUUAUAUAAAGGAUGCUUAGGCCCUUGAGGCCUUCGCCUUUCCCAUUCUCCUAAUACGAUUGGAGUCUUUCUAAUCAUACAAUUUCCUAAUGGACUCUUAGGAUACUUCUUUCUCAUGGACUCUUUGUCAGGUCCAGAGAAAUCUCAAUAUAUAUCCCUUAGUUAUCCAUCAGAGCAACACAAGUGAAGGCCACAGUCGGUUAUCCAACGAUGCACGUGUGAUAGCGAGAUCCAAUGGUUAUUGUUACUUGCCUUAUUGCUUUAGUUACUCUUUACUGUAAUUUAGUUCAACCAGGGGGCUUUGCUUGGGCCAUUUACCUCAUGUUUUACUCUGGGUAAUCAUUGAACCGACCCGGCUAUAUAUGUCAUACCCAUCGUGAAUAAAGGGUAAGAAAGAAUUUGCCAGAAAAUACUUCCUUAGAUUAAUUAGAAGUAGAGGCGAUUAUCUUCUCGAGUAUCCCGCAUUUUACACCAAAAUCUGACAAAUCCCUCGUCGGUUUUUGGGUCAAUUCCUUUCAAUUGUGCCGGUCCUAGCACUCCUCCCAUGCUGGUUCAACGGGGGCUCCCUCUAUGGGCUCUCCUCCCAUGCUGGUUCAACGGGAGCGGGUCCCUCUAUUGGCUAACAAAUCGGGUGAAGCAAAAUAUGCUUUCUCUAUUGGUUUACUCUAAUAUCUCGGAAACAAAAGCGUGGAGUACUGACCAUUUCGCCCAGCCAACACCAUGUAUGCAUUGUGUGGUGGUGGGAAAACUGCCGCUUGCAUAUAUAUAGUCUCAAUUCCCAUUCUACCGAAGAGGUCAUCAGGUCAUCAUAUUGCCAUGAUCAUUUGCAUUACUAUGGCAUGGCGGAUCAUCAUGCUUAUUGUGUUUCGCAAAAUUUCCAUUUUUACUGCUAGAAUCAGCCGUACACUUUUAUCGGAAAGAAAACAUGGGAACCUGAAAUCAGAAUCUAGAGUUCUCAAUCCAUGGCAACAGUUGCAUGAUAAAACAGGGGAAAUCUGGGUCCAGAGCUCCCACCUCUAAAUCGCAGUUAUGUUCCCCCGUAUCCCAAAUCAAUGAUCCAUUAACCCCUCCUCGUGCUGUCCUGAAAACCUUAACUUUGUUCAAUUUUGAAAGAGUUAUAAACCUGAACUCAACCCAUCACUUAGACAAGUCGGACAAUAAAUUAUCUUGCACAUACGUAAGUAACAAGCAAGCCAAUGAAUUAUCUUGCACAUAUGGAAGUUGUCGACUGCAUAGCACGCAGCUUAAUGGACUCUGAAGAGCAGUAACAACUGAAGCGGAUGCAGUCACGUAGAACCCCGUCCAGUUACAGGACGAGGUAUAGGCCAUUGGAAGUUCGCAAAAACUAGAGCACAAAGAGUUGAUGAGGCCACUGAUAUACAUUUUUCCUCCCUGUACAAGAUUCGAUCAGGAACAACCACAUACGAACGUCGAUUAGCAGGCAAUAAUACACAACCAUGGAAGCUGGGGUUCCUGAUAUUCAGAUUGAUGCUAUUUUUACACUUCGGGAGUAUACAUGAAAAACACAUUAACACAUAUCUACUGUUCUUUAGACGUAGUUGAAACUGCAGCAUAAUCAUAUUUGACAUCUACAGUGUUGCUAUCUUUGGAACUGCGUUCUCUCCAACUGAUCUUCCACAUCUGGAGUAAGCUUACCCUGCAUGACAGAGGAAAAAACAUUAGUCACAUGGAUACAUGGAUGCAAGGCCCAUUCAAUGUGGUGAGGUGGUCAAAACUGCAAACAUUGAUUUCUGGAAGCAAACCAGAGUAGUAUUAGUUUGAAUAAGCAGAAGCACAUCAUGAAAAGUUUCCUAAGAACUACCCGUGCAUGUUUUGGUUCAUGUUAAAAAUACCAAAAAAAUAACUGCAGAUAUCUUAUUCUGAUAUCAUUCUAGUAACCAAAGUGAACAAAAACCAACCUCAUAAAGAGCGAAAACAUCAAUUUUUUGGUAAAUCAGUGGAAUGGCAAUAUUAUUGAUAUUUGGUAACACUUGGUGUAUUUGUAUGCUCAAGUAGAGCGAGCAAUACCAACAUCGGAUUAAAGUGAUUCAAUAGAACUAAAACUAUACAAAAAUAGACUCAAAAGUGAUGCAUUGAGUAAGCUGAUGUAUACAUGUCAGGUUCAAUUGUCCUCUUUGCCAACAUAAGAGUCAAGAAAACAGGUAUCAUCGCAGCACAUAGAUGUUUAAAAGUAUGUCCUCUAACAAUGUCAUGUGUCCACCUAUAUAUAGGUUUGUCUGCACCCACUUCUACUUUGGCAACAAGGUAAAAUCCUGAAAUCAAUUUGAAAAAUCAGAACAGAAGUAUCUCUGCGCUUAGAAAACCCUAAAAAACAAUGUGCUUAGAAUAAAUGCUUGCGGUGGCCUAUGAUUAAAUUGUGCUUAAAUAAAUGCUUCUGCAUAACUCAUUCUUGUAGCAACAUCAUCAAAGGCCAACAACUGGAAAACAGCAAUUCAUGCACAUUUAUAUUAGUUGGACUGUUAACUGAUUUAUAAAUUUCUAGGUAACAGCAGACGUUACUGGGGAAACAGAAUCAUCUUGGCACCGUUCAAUGGUAUUAAGGGAGUAAGAACUUAAGAAGGGGAACAUUACAACUUCUAGUGAGUUUUCUAUGAAUUUUCAAGGUAACUGUGGUUUAUAACCAAGCAUCAUGAGUACAGACUGCAAGAAGAAAAAGGUAUCACCAGUUCUUAUGCUUUGAGAAAAUUGACUAUGAAAUAACCCAGUACAUUUACGUGAAUCACAUAUAGCUAUGUACACAAAUAAUGGAACUGCAUACAACCUGGUGAUAUUGAGCGGCAAUAACACUAACCUGCUGCCGACAACCAGUAGCUUGAAUGUGUAUACACUGGUGGAAUAACUAUAGUCAUCACAGGUAUUACAAUGCAUGGAACAAACUGGAUUACCGCAUAUGGCCGAAGGUCAUCAAAGAAACUACACAACAGAGUAGACAGUUAAGUUCAAGGAAGCAAAUAUUACUGACAGAAGGAUAGAUAAACAAUCGAAAGAUCUUGCCUCCAGUACAGGAUGCUUAGUGCACCAGCAAUGACAAGGGGUGAAAGGGACUUUGUUCCGGCCCCAUCAUCAACCCUUUCUAUGAUGAAAAUGGCCGUGAUAGACGUGAAAGCAAUCGUCAUCUAGACAAAAGAAGCCUAUAUGUCAGCGCUCGAAAUAUUUAAAAUCAAGAAAGAAGGAGCAACUCCUAGGGUCUGGGGACUAUACACUGUACAAUAUACUACUAGUGGUGAGUGAGAAUGGCUCCCACGCUCCUGCGACGCCCAGCUCCGGUGCCCGCAGCCACCAUGGCCCCGCCCAACCCCCUCCCUCCCCGCGAAGCACCUCCUCGAUCUCGCCACGGUUCCCUCCGGGAUUCCCUUCUCGUCGGUUCUCGCGGCCAGAUCUGGUGGCGGCCCUCUUCCUGCAGCUGGAGGGGAGUUCCUCUGUGCAUCCGGGAUGGUGCUCCUCUGCCGGCGUGCAGCGCGGCUGCCUCGAAUGAUGGUGCUCUUUUGCCAGCGUGCUGCGCGGUUAUCUCGGACGCGACGAGCCGUCCCCGCAAGGUGCACUUCGCUGCUCAUGAUGCGCUGCUAGAUACUGUUUUAAAUAGCCCGCUCGUUUACAAAAAGUCUUGCGCUAAGAGACUUUGGUCCAAAUAAAUGAAUAAACAUUUUAAAUAACGCGCUAUAGCUCCGCUAUAGCAUGCUAUAGCAUUUAGAAGAGGUCUGCCGUUAAGAUGCUUAGCGCGCUAUUUAAAAGUACGUAGAUUCCACCCCCAGCUCCCCGUCCAUGGCGUCCUCCGGCCAUGCAUCAAAUCGGCGCCUGCUGCCUGUCGUCGUGCAGCGCCGGGCGCUUCCUCGAGCCCUGCGAAUCCUGCCGCAGUCUCAAGGCGGAGCUCUUCGUCAAGCCAUGCUCCUCCUACUGCGGAAUCUAAAUCGUGCUUCGAGGCUGACUUCGGCCGGUCGGCGGACUGGCAACUUGUUCGGCCGACAUAUUGGUGGCGGCGCCCCAACCGCCGGCGCCCAAGCCGUCGAGCUGCGUGUGAUUUUCCUCCUCCUGCGCGAAGGGAUUUCGUCAAGUUCAGUGACAGAGAAUGCCAUCGCUGCCUCCUCAAAGGACACUGCAAGGUUGACUGUCGAAAUCCGUUCACCUGCCUCAGAUGCCGGCAGAUUGGUCACCGCGCUUGGAACUGCACCAACCCCCUGACGCCGGCUUCUCCUCCAACAUUGUCAUCUGCAGCUGUCGUGCGGCAUCCUCGUGCUCCUCCGUCCCAACCUGCUGCUCCACCUACGGUGUGAGGGUGCAUCAGCGACCAGUCAGUGCGCCCUGCUGCCCAGCCGCGCUCGCAGUCUGUCGCCUGGGGGCUGGUGGGCGGCGAGCCUCGCCAUCGCGACGACGACAACGAACGCCGUAGAGAUGAUGACCGUGACAGUGAAGACCGGUUCAGAGACAAGCGAUCUGCGGGUCGUCUUUCAUGUUGGGGCUCCGUCGCUGCUGCCACCACCACCAUGGACUCUCGCGGGCGCUCACCUCCAGCGUCGCCGUGCACCACCUCUCAGGACAUCGUCCAGAUCGAGACUUCUUGCUCUGCAAUGAUCUCGCCUCCGCCGUCGCCGCGCACCACCACUAGUGCAGAACCGGGAUAUAGCACCGGUUCGUAAGAGCCUUUAGAACCGGCACUAAAGGGAGGGGACUAAAGGUCCCCCUCUUUAGUACCAGCUCUGCACGAACCGCCGCUAAAGGGCCACCAUGUGGAACGAGCCAGUGCCGGGGGCGGGGGCACUUUAGUUUUGGGGGUUUUUGGAUUCAUGAUUUCUUUUUCUUUAAUUUUGGGGUAUUUUACGAUACUACAUAUUAUACACGUUAUGAAUAUAUAUAAAUAGAAUUUCUCGUAGAACCGAUCAUAUAUAAAUAGAAUUUCUCGUAGAGCCGAUCAUCGAAUGUCUCACAACCACCAUUAUGCACACAUACACAUGUAUAUAUAUAUAUACAAUUAGGUAUAUAUAUAAUUUCUCCUACAUGUUGCCUUGGUGCCUUCGGAGCACGAUGAAAAUUGGGAGUGGUUCAUGGGGCGGUAGCGGGUAAUGGUAUUCUCCUUUGGGAUCUAUGACCUGGUCAAGCAAAAAUCCCGCUAUCCCAGUGCCAGCCCGGCGGAGCCCAGUCGCGGACAUGGGUCCUCUGAAGCAGGACGUCGUCGUGAACGGGUCGAUGGCGAGGAUGUGGGCCAGACAUCGGCGAAAACAAAUACUAUAUCCAAACAUAACAUUUUUUAAAUGAUUGAAUUGUGAUUUCUUAACUAAAAUUAGAAGAAACUAAUAAAAACAUCGAUCAUCGUCUAACAAUUUGAAAUUAAUAUAAUUCAUCUAGGUAAAACUAACAUUUCUAAAAUUUCUAACAUUUCUAUAUAACUAACAUUUCUAUAACAUUUUUAACAUUUCUAUAACAUUAUUAUAUCUAAAACCUUUGACAUUAUACUAUUUGACAGAAAACCUUUGUAUAAAAAAUAGAAAAAACCUUUGUCAUUAUAUUAUAACUAACAUUUCUGUAUAUACUAUUUGACAUUAAUCUAAUCUAAUUAAUUAAUUCAGCUAAAACUUUGUAUGAAAAACAGAAAAAACAGAAUAAACUAAAAACAGAAAAAUUGUGUGUGUGUGCGCGCGUGUAGUGUGUAGUGUGUGUGCGCGCGCGCGCGUGUGCACCUAGCUACGGCGACGGCGGCGCGGUGGCUUAGAUUGGAGGGAGGAGAGGGGCCGGGGGAGAGGGGCUCACAGCGCGCGCGGGCGAGGUCGAGGCGACGGCGACGGCAAGGCGAGGUCCAAGGCGACGACAACGGCGAGGCGAGGGGACGGCGACGGGCCGGCGCGGCGACGGGGACGGGCCGAAGUCGACGGGGACGACGCGACGAGGACGGGGGCGGCGCGGAGUCGACGGGGACAGCGCGACAGGGGCGGUGACGGCACGGGACGGGGCGGCGGCAGAGAGAGGUGGGAGAUGAGAAACUAAUUUUUUUGAAGUGUUUCUUAUAUAGGAGGCACCUUUAAUACCGGUUGGAGCCACCAAUCGGUACUAAAGGCCUGUUUUGGCCAGGCCAAGCGGCGGGAAGGGCAGGCCUUUAAUACCGGGUGGUGGCUCCAACCGGUACUAAUGAGCCCCUCUUUAGUACCGGUUGGUGCCAUGACCCGGCACUAAAGGGGGUGCGCUGCCAGGCGAGGGCCGCAGAAGUUUAGUCCCACCUCGCUAGCCGAGAGGCGCUCGGACCUGCUUAUAAGCCCCGCCGCCGCUGCUGUCUCGAGCUCCUCUCUAAAGCAGGCCGUCUGGGCCUACCUCUGCUACGAUGCCCAGUUGGGCCUACUGGGCGAGCAGGCCUGCAUCCUGGCCCAACUAGAAUUUGGGUUUCUAGUCGUAUGCAGGCCACUGUGGCCCAGUAGGCGGGCUUUCUUCAUUUAGUUUUUUUCUUGUUUUUUUCUUUUCUGCUUUAUUUAUUUUCUUUUAUUUAUUUUUUAGUUGUUUUUUGCUGUAUUUAGAGUUUGUUUGUGAAUAUUUUUGCUUUAGGUACAAAAAAUUACAGACUUUCUGUUAGUGCCGGUAGUUUUUAAAUUGGAAUAGUUUAAAUUUUGAAUUAUUCGAAAUUUGUGUGAAUUACUAGUUUGUGAAUAACUUAACUUUAAAAAUAGAUUUUCCAGUGAUUCUUUUUUCUUAUGUUUAAUAUUAGUGUGUUUUAUCAUUAUAUUCAAUUUGGUAAUACUUAGGUUAUUUAAAAAAUGAAAUGCCUUUGUAACAGAUGAGUUUUCGUCCGAAACCCUGAUACUUCGAAAGAGAUUGUCCAUUUUAUACAUGAAGUGCAUCCAGUUUUUGCCGUAACCCUCUCUACUUUUUUGCAUAUGCUAUGUGGUUGAAAUUAUGAUACCAUGCGAACUUUCAACCUUUUCGGAGUUCAUUUGAAAUAAUUUGUAAAUGCAUGAAAGAAUUUGUAAAUGCAUGAAAGAAUUUGUAAAUGCAUGAAAGAAUUAUGUGUUUUUCAAUUUCAGGGUCAUUUAGCUGAAAAAAAUCAGUAAAUGCAUUAAAAAAUUUGUUUGCACAUAAAAUUUCUUCUCGUUUCAAGUGCCAAAACACAUAACUACCCUAACUAUUACAGAGAUUCCCUCCUGGGUGUGAAACACAGAAGAAAGUGAUGAUAAUGAAGCCGAUCACAUCCCAGAUCUUUAGGUGUGAAACUUUUUUCGCGUGUGUCCCUUUGCGCCGUAACCAUGGAAAAAUCUUCAUCAUUUAACUGGAUGCUCGGGUCAAUAUUCACUGUGAAUGGAGCAAUUUCAACAAACUUUUCAUAAUCUUCUGACAUGUCUGUCUUGUCAUCCACUCCCACGAUGUUUCUCUUCCCAGAAAGAACUAUGUGGCGCUUUGCCUCAUCAUAUGAUGCAUUCAAUUCCUUAUCUUUUCUUUUUCUCGGCUUGGUAGACAUGUCCUUCACAUAGAAAACCUAUGCCACAUCAUUGGCUAGGACGAAUGUUUCGUCUGCAUACGCAAGAUUGUUGAGAUCCACUGUUGUCAUUCAAUACUGCAGGUCUUCCGUUACCCCGCCUCGUGUCAUAUUGACCCAUUUGCACCGAAACAAAGGGACCUUCAAAGCACGUCCAUAGUCAAGUUCCCAUAUGUCCUCUAUGUAACCAUAAUAUGUUUCCUUUCCCGUGUUGGUUGCUGCAUCAAAGCGGACACCACUGUUUUGGUUGGUGCUCUUCUUAUCUUGUGCGAUCGUGUAAAAUAUAUUCCCAUUUAUCUCGUACCCUUUGAAAGUCAUUAUAUUCGAAGAUGGUAACUGGGACAACAAGUACAUGUCAUCUUCAAUAGCGGCAUCAUGCAUGGCACGUGUCUGCAACCAGCCGGCGAUAGUCCCCGUUUGUUCACGUGUAAUCCAGUCAUCAGACCUCUCCGGGUGUUUCGAGCGUAGAAAAUUCUUGUGUUCGUCCAUAUACGGAGCCACCAAGGUGAAAUUCUGUAGACCUGUGUAGUGUUCUUGAGUGAGAGAAUGUUCGUCCAUACAUAUUAUCUGAUCCCCUCCUAGCGUGCCUUUUCCAUCCAGUCUGCCCUUAUGCCGCGAUUCAGGAACACCAGUCGGCUUAAGGUCAGGAAUAAAGUCAAUAGAAAACUCGAUGACCUCCUCAUUUUCAUGGCCCUUGGAGAUGCUUCCUUCUAGCUUAGCACGGUUAUGAACAUAUUUAUUUAAGACUCCCAUGAACCUCUCAAAGGGGAACAUAUUGUGUAGAAAUAUAGGACCCAAAACGUUAAUCUCUUCGCAUAGGUGAACUAGGACAUGCGUCAUGAUGUUGAAGAAGGAUGGUGGGAACACCAACUCGAAACUAACAAGACAUUGCACCAAAUCAUUCUCUAACCUUGGUAUGCUUUCUGGAUCGAUUACCUUCUGAGAGAUUGCAUUGAGGAAUGCACAUAGCUUCACAAUGGCUAAUCGAACGUUUUCCGGUAGAAGCCCCCUCAAUGCAACCGGAAGCAGUUGCGUCAUAAUCACGUGGCAGUCAUGAGACUUUAAGUUCUGGAACUUUUUCUCUGCCAUAUUUAUUAUUCCCUUUAUAUUCGACAAGAAGCCAGACGGUACCUUAAUACUGAGCAGACAAUCAAAGAAGAUUUCCUUCUCUUCUUUGGUAAGAGCAUAGUUGGCAUGACCCUGAUGUAUGGCGUCUUUUCCGUGCAUACAUUGUUGGUCCUCCUGUGCUUCCGGUGUAUCUUUUGUCUUUUCAUACACGCCCAAGAAGCCAAGCAGGAUCACGCAAAGAUUCUUCGUCACGUGCAUCACGUCGAUUGCGGAGCGGACCUCUUGGUCUUUCCAAUAGGGCAGGUCCCAAAAUAUAGAUUUUCUUCUUCCACAUGGGUGCGCGUCCGUCAGCGUCAUUCGGAACAGGUUGUCCGCCAGGACCCUUUCCAAAGACUACCUUCAAAUCCUUGACCAUAUCAUGUACAUCAGCACCAGUACGGUGGCGAGGCUUUGUUUGGUGAUCCGCCUCACCUUUGAAAUGCUUGUCUUUCUUUCUUACGGGAUGCCUGCUCCGAAGAAAUCGACGAUGUUCCAAGUACACAUUCUUCCUACAAUUAUCCAAAUAUAUCCUGUCGGUAUCAUCCAAACAGUGCGUGCAUGCGCGGUAUCCCUUGUUUGUCUGUCCUGAAAGGUUACUGAGAGCAGGCUAAUCAUUGAUGGUCAUGAACAGCAACGCCUUUAGGUCAAAUUCUUCCUGUCCGUGCUCAUCCCACGCACGUAUACCUGUUCCAUUCCACAGCUCUAAGAGUUCUUCAAGUAAUGGCCUUAGGUACACAUCAAUGUCAUUGCUGGGUUGCUUAGGGCCUUGGAUGAGCACUGACAUCAUAAUGAACUUCCGCUUCAUGCACAACCAAGGAGGAAGGUUAUACAUACAUAGAGUCACAAGCCAUGUGCUAUGGUUGCUGCUCUGCUCCCCAAAAGGAUUAAUGCCAUCUGCGCUUAGACCACACCAUACGUUCCUUGCGUCACCUACAAACUCAUCCCUAUAUACUUUCUCUCGAUUUUUCUCCACUACGACACGUCAGCGGGUACUCUCAACUUUCCGUCUUUCUUCGGUCUUCUCUGUGCCAUCGCAUCGCCUUGGCAUGUUUUUUGUUUUGGAAGAAACGUUUCAACCGUGGUAUUAUAGGAGCGUACCACAUCACCUUGGCAGGAAUCUUUUUCCUGGGGAGCUCGCCCUCGACAUCACCAAGGUCGUUGCGGCUGAUCUUAUAUCGCAAUUCACCGAAUAUCGAGCACACGUUCAAAUCCUCGUACUCACCGCGGUAGAGGAUGCAGUCAUUAGGGCAUGCAUGUAUCUUCUGCACCUCUAACCCUAGAGGGCAGACAACCUUCUUUGCUUUGUAUGCACUCUCGGGCAAUUCGUUGUCCUUUGGAAGCAUAUUCUUUAUCAUUACCAGCAACUUUCCAAAUCCGUUGUCAGAUACACCAUUCUCUGCCUUCCAUUGCAGCAAUUCCAGUGUAGUGCCCAACUUUUCUUGUCAGCUUCGGAAUUCAGGUACAACAGUUUCUUGUGAUCCUCUAACAUGCGCUGCAACUUCUUCUUCUCCAAAUCACUUGCGCAGUUUCUCUUUGCAUCGGCAAUGGCCCGACCUAGAUCAUCAGCGGGCUCAUCUGAUGCCUCUUAUUCAGCUUCUUCCCGCAUUGCCGGCUCAACUUCUUCCCCAGUUGUUGUAUCAUCGUAUUCAGGAAACCCAUGUCCAGGAUAGCUUUCGUUGUCCUCUUCUCCUUCAUUGCCUUCCAUCAUAACCCAUCUUUCUCUGUGCUUGGUCCAAACAUUAUAGUGGGGCAUGAAACCGGACUCAAACAGGUGGAUGUGAAUGGUUCUUGAGUUAGAGUAAUUGUGAUUAUUCUUACAGCCAGCACAUAGACAAGGCAUAAAACCAUCCGCCCGCUUGUUUGCCUCAGCCGCAAGCAGAAAAGUAUGCACGUCAUAAUGAACUCGGGAGAGCAUCGGUCAUCGUACAUCCAUUGUCGGCUCAUCUUCAUUACACAACACCGAAAAGACCAAAUUAAUACAAGUUCAUACAUAAAGUUCAUAUAACACUUCAAUGCAACAAACAAAUAACUCUCUAGCUAAAACAUUUAAAUGCAACAACAAAUGCGAUCAAGAUCGCAACUAAGGUAACAAUUGAUCUAACAACAUAAUGAUACCAAGCCUCAUUAUCAAUGGCAUAUUUUCUAAUCUUUCUAAUCUUCAAGCGCAUUUUCUCCAUCUUGAUCUUGUGAUCAUCGACGACAUCGGCAACAUGCAACUCCAAUUCCAUCUUCUCCCCCUCAAUUCUUUUCAAUUUUUCUUUCAAAUACUCGUUUUCUCUUUCAACUAAAUUUAACCUCUCGACAAUAGGGUCGGUUGGAAUUUCCGGUUCACAUACCUCCUAGAUAAAAAUAUCUAUGUCAACUUGAUGGGCAUAAUUUGUCAUAAACACGAAAUGCAACAAAUAGUUUUAAAAGAGAAUAUACCACAUCCGAAUCAUAACACGGACAAGGGCCGACGGGGACAGAUAUCAAGACCAUGGCACUAUGUAUAACAAACAACGUACGGGUAAGAUAAUUAUACGAGUAACUAUAUAUCCAAAUCACACAAACAUGAAUUUUUUAUAUAAAAAAGAUAAGAACAAGAGGCUCACCGCAAGGUGGUGCCGGCGACGGGACGGUGCGGGUGAUCGACGGUGGUUACUUCGGAGAUUUAGAAGGGCACUAAGUAAAUCACACCUACAUAUGCAAACUAAGUGUUAUUUUGUCCUCAAAUUGCAUAUAAAUAAAAUACUACCACAUAUAAUUCCUCCCAAAUUAGUAAAACCCACAAAUUAAUCACUAUAUAAACCAUUGCAAGAGGUAAUCCAGCAAUGAGAGAUGAAAGGACAAAGUUGCUAACCUUUGUGAUCAUUUGAAUGGACGGGGGCCUUCAAAUCUUGACAAAAUUUGGGCAAAAUUUGUGAUGAGCUCGAGAGAAAGAAGGGAAGAACAGAGAGGAGAGCGGAAAGGGGGGAGAACAGAGCGCGGGUGGACGAAGGGUUUAUAUAGGACGACCUUUAGUACCAGUUCGUGGCAGAAACCGGUACUAAAGGUGCUAGAGGGGCCCCAGACUGACAACAUCCUGCAACCACUCUCUUUAGUAUCGGCUCGUGGAACGAACCGGUGCUAAAAGUAUGGAACGAACCGGUACUAAUGAGAGUGGCCCGCCUAGCCGUUAGAACCGGCACUAAUGGAGUGCCAGCUCAAAUUCAUACCGGGACUAAUGAACUGAACAUUUGACCCUUUCUCUACUAGUACACCUCUCGGGACAUCAUCGAAGUUCUGCCUACCAGCUCUGUCAUGGGUUGGCAUUGCAGAUCCACAGCUAGCCGGAUGUUGGAUGUUGGCGAGGCGCCCGACCACAUCGUGUUGUGCACAGAGGCGCACCUAGGCCCUGCAGCCUUCCCUUCCAGUUCGACGGAGGGGGACCUAAUCUCGCCGAAUGCAGCGAUGAAGAUCGCUUUGGCCACUUCAGAUCUGACUGAUGCUGCACCAGAAUCUAUCCUCGCCACACCGACACCGUCGCCGCUGCCACAUGGUCAUGAAGAGACAACUCCAAUUGAUCAUGAAGUGACAACGCCAAUCCAUAUCCCUUCCUUCCACGCACAGACGGAAGGCCAGGAGGACACGCCCAUCUUCAUCCCGCGCAUGCCGACGCUGCUGCCUUCCCCUGCUAUGUGCUCUACGCCUCCAAGGGCACCGAAGGCAGAAGAAAAACCCUCGCAGGGGUCACCGGCCUACAACUCAUUCUCCACAGUUCGCGUCUCCUGGCAAAGAACAUGAACAUGUCGAUCGCCAAACUUGCGGAGAAGUUACUAUGUCAUCGGAUGGGCAUCGUGGCCGAAGGAGAACAGAUAACUGAGGCGGCAAUUGCAAAAUUUGCCUCGUUGUUCCAGGGGCGCCUCCCUGACAUUGCGAUUGCGGCUCUUCGAGCCCUAUUUAGGCUUGACUGCGAUCUCUCUGUUGUUGUUGAAGAAGCCCUGGUCCAUCAUGGAGGACAUGAAGGACUAGACAUGAGCGACGUGGCCACGGGCGAUGUAUGAUCUGAGUGCUUUGUCUGCUUUGAUGUAUCCAUGGUUUAAGUUUUUCGACAAAGGGUAAUAUAUUAAUAUCAAGAUGAUAUCAAGUACACCCGGCCUCUGCAACAACUCAAUGCCACGAGUAACUCGAGGCAUCAAGGAUGCACACAGCCAAAAAGAAAAAAGAAAAAAGAAAAAAAGAAAAAAAGAUCUAAGACACGCCGUAACCAACAACGAUACCAAGCACUACCGUGACAACACACAGGCUGCGAGUAGGUUCUCCAAAAGCAACGUCUUCAAGAAGAUAAAGACACACAAGUGUCACCGUUGCCGGAUUCAGUCAAAUACUAAAUCCUGAGUUUUCACCCUGAGAGAAGAACUGAGCAACAUCAUGCAAUGCCUUCAACAAGGUAACGAUAUCGAAAUACCGCCAUUGCCAGGUAUGACCGGCGAAGGACACACCAUGGGUUUUCACCCUGAAACUCCAGUCCCGGUACUGAAGUAGCACCACCAAACGCAACCACGAAGUGUUGUUGCAACCGCUGGAAGGUGUGUGGGCUUAAUUGUCCAGACCGGCGUGCUGCUAUACAUGAAACCAUUGCCGCCUCCUUCUGUCAUCUUGUUUGCAUCCAAGAAUCGAAGCUGCAGAUCAUUGAUCCAAUCCUCGCUACUUAUCUGGGUGGCCAGCGCCUCAAGAACUUUGCUCAAAGACCGGCUGAUGGCACUAAAGGUGGAAUCUUGAUACUCUGGGAUAGUGAUGCUGUUACUGUCACCAAUGUACAAACCGGAGCCUACUUCCUCUCCGUGACUGUGAAGCUCAACAACUCCGAUGAAAAAAAACCUUCAAACUGACUACAGUAUAUGGCCCCACUCGUAGCACGCAUAAGGAUGCUUUCUUCCAAGAGCUCAUCUCGCAAAAACCAACUUCGGGAACCAAAUGGCUGGUUAGCGGAGACUUCAAUCAAAUAUAUCGGGCUAGAGACAAGAAUCGCACGAAUGUGGACCGAAGCCACCUUGUCCACAUUCGAAACACCUUGAACGAUUGUGAGCUCAAGGAGGUUCACCUUCAGAAUAGAAGAUGCACAUGGAGUAAUGAACAAAAUGAUCCGACUUUGAGCAAACUUGACAGUUUCUUAUCCAAUGAGGAUUGGGACGUCGAAUUCUCCACUCACAUCCUUCAUGCCCUCUCAUCAUCGUUUUCAGACCACUGUCCCCUAUUACUUGCUAAUCAUGAUGCACCCAAGAGGCCCAAGUCCUUCCGUUUCGAAAACUACUGGAUCAAAAUGUCGGGCUUCCAAAAGGUAGUCAGUGAUGCUUGGAGCGAGGAUUCUAGACACGGUGAGCCCUAUAAAAGGCUCUUCCACAAGAUCAAGAAGACAAGUCAAAAAUUGCGUGCUUGGAGCAAGACCCUCUUUGCAAACUCAAAGGUCCAACUCCAUAUGGCCAUCGAAGUCAUCCUCCACCUUGACCCGGGGCAAGAUGAAAGAGCUCUUAGUCCGGAAGAAAGUGACAUCUGCAAAAGGCUUAAGAGAAAGGUUAUCAGCUUGACCGCCUUGGAGAAGGCCAGGAAGCGUGAAAACUCCAGAAUCACUAACCCCAAGGAAGGAGAUGCCAACACACGUUACUUCCAUCUGCGGGUCAACCAUAGAAGAAGGAAAAUUUUCAUUCACAGCCUCAAGCACAACAAUGGUUGGGUCACCGAGCACGAGCACAAGAAAAACAUUGUCCACCGCCACUUCUAGAACAUCGCAAAAAAAGGCCCUUCACGUAACAUUGACAUCAAUUGGGGGAUCAUCCCCACGCCCACUGCGACCUUCAUGAAUUGGGAGAGGCCUUCACCAAGGAGGAAGCUAAGAGAGUUGUGUUCUCCAUGCCAAGCGACAAGGCACCGGGCCCUGAUGGAUUCACGGGUGCCUUUUUCAAGGCAUGUUGGGACACUAUGAAGCCGGACCUCAUGCUUGCCAUCAACCAUUUCUCUGAUCUCCAUGCUACUCACUUCCAUCGGUUGAACUCGGCUGACAUUGCCCUCAUUCCGAAAAAGGACGGUGCUGAGGACAUCGCCGACUUUCGUCCCAUCAAUCUUAUACAUGUUGUUGCUAAACUAAUUGCUACGAUGAUGUCCAACCGGCUUGCCCCACACAUGAAUCAACUCGUCUCACACACCCAAAGUGCGUUCAUUAAAAGAAGAUGCAUCCAUGACAAUUUCAUGUAUGUGCGCAAUCUCGCGAGACGCUUCCACCGUAGAAAAACCCCGGCGUUGCUCUUCAAGCUUGAUAUCAAAAAGGCCUUCAACUCCGUUCGGCGGGACUUCCUCCUCGACCUGCUUCGACACCUUGGUUUCCCGCCCCGCUUUCGUGGUUGGGUUUCGACACUGCUAUCCUCAGCUUCGUCGCGUGUUUUGCUCAAUGGCGUGCCCGGCGAUCCCAUCAAGCUUGGUCGUGGGUUGAGGCAAGGGGACCCUCUAUCCCCCCUGUUAUUCAUGCUCGCUAUCGACCCGCUGCACCACAUCCUUGUGAAGAUCACGGUUCAAGGAAAUCUUCACCCGCUCGGCGGAAAUGCUAUGCCUAUUCGUGCUUCGCUCUAUGCAGAUGACGCCAUUGUUUUUCUUGCGCCUAUUAAGGAGGACGUCCAAUUUUUCGCUGAAACUCUCAAGCACUUUAGUGAGGUCACCGGCCUAGUCACAAAUUGUUCAAAAAGUUGUGUCGCCCCAAUCCGUUGCAAAAAUGUUGAUCUUUCGGACAUCCUCCAAUCCUUCCCGGCCAAGCGUUCCUCCUUUCCGAUGAAAUACCUUGGGUUGCCUUUGUCCGUGAAGAGGCUGAAGAGAAUCCACUACCAACCCAUAGAGGACAAGGUGGCGAGUCAGCUCACUCCUUGGGUGGGAAGGCAUAUUGCCUCGGCGGAUCGUGCGGUCUUGGUCAAGUCGGUCCUCUCGGCGAUUGCUAUCAACUACAUGAUGGUGUUACAGUUACCGGUCGAGGUCAAAUAGAAGAUUGAUGCCCUCAGACGUGCUUUCCUUUGGGCAGGUUGUGAUAAGGUCACUGGUGGAAAAUGCAAGAUAAAUUGGGAGCAGGUGUGCAAGUCCAAGAUGCAUGGAGCCCUUGGAAUCCUAAAUCUUGACAAGUUUGCCAUUGCUCUUCGCCUUCGUUGGUUGUGGGCCGAGUGGCUUCACCCAGACAAGCCAUGGGUUGGCUUGGGAACCCCAUGUGAUGACAAUGACAGAAAUAUCUUUGCUGCGGCUACCAAGGUCCAAGUUGGGGAUGGUAUGCGUGCCAAGUUCUGGGAGUCUCCUUGGCUUGAUGGUAUUAGACCCAAAGACCUGGCUCCUAAAAUCUUUGACUUGUCGAAGAAGAAGAAUUGCUCGGUCCGAAUGGCUCUGCAUGAGAACUUCUGGACUUGCCAGGUGGACAUUCUUCAAGGCAUCACCGUCGAACACCUCGUUGAGUUUGUCACCCUUUGGGAGAGGGUCUCCCACGUCAACCUCGACGUCGACACACCCGACAACAUAACGUGGAAGUUCACUACUGACGGUCUCUACUCAGCGGCGUCGGCCUACAAGGCGCAAUUCUUGGGCCAUACUGACACAACCAUGAUCCCGACCGUUUGGAAGAUUUGGGCUCCUCCUAAAUGUAAGUUCUUCGCAUGGCUGGCAAUCAACAAUAGGAUUUGGACGGCGGACAGGCUUCAACGUCGUGGGUGGCCAAAAUGUAAUCUUUGUCCACUAUGCAAACAAGUCCAGGAGUCGGGGGCCCACCUACUAUUCCAAUGCCGAUACACUAUUAGAGUUUGGCGCAUGGUCAAAGAUUGGCUUGGUCUCCAGGAUGUGCAUCCUUCUGAUUGGAGUGACGCGACUUCCGCCAAAGAGUGGUGGAGCCACAAUGCUAACAGGAAGAACCAAUCGCUAAAGCCACUUGCUUCCUUGAUGCUUCUCAUCUCUUGGGAAUUGUGGAAAGAGAGGAAUGCACGGAUCUUCCGUAACGAGGCCGUUCCAGUGGGUGUCAUUUUCACUAGGAUUAAAGAGGAAACCUCGCUUUGGAGCAUUGCGGGGGCGAAGCACUUGAGUAACGUAAUGCCGCGAGAGUGAUUAUUGUAAUUCGGCCAUGGGCCUUAAACCUCUAAAACUUCUCUCUUAAUCAAUGAAAAUGGCAAAUCUUUUGCCUCGUUUAAAAAAAAUAUAGACUGUGUACAUGUCAUGGCACCAAGCUAGGAAGUAUACAUAAUAGGAGAUGAUGAUGAUGUAAUAUCAUGAUGCUGAGAUCUAGGAAAGACUCGCAGAGUCGCAGGCAAUCUGUCCCAAACUAUGGUGGCAUCGUUCGGGUAGAGAUGUUAGUAGGAUGAACCAACACCGACAGAAGUGACACGAGCAAAGAAGAGUGUGGAACUCUAGAGCUCCCCCUGUGAGCUGCCAGCAGGAUCAACAUCAGUGUGCUUCAAACCUCAAGUUGAGUCAGAACAGGAACCAAAAUUGGUAAGAGCAUCUAGUCUGCACCAUAGCCUGAAGUAGUUUUUGUAGUGGCACAGAAUGAACCGGCGAGACCGACAAAUAGGAAGGGGAUGUUUGAGAGCACGUUCAAUGUUUUAGGGAUCCCUGAGAAAGUAAUUGAGCCAAAGGUACAGUUCACUCCCUCCCCAGUUUCCCUCUUUCUCAAGGAGCGCACGCAAGUACACGUACAAAGCUGCUGGUUUCGGACGAGUUGCACACGUACGAUCCUAAGCAGCCAGCCAGGCAGCUGGAUCAAAUCGCCGGCUUGAUCGCUCACUCUCUCGCCGAAACACACCACGAACACGACGACACAGGAGACUCGCCGACUUAUUGCCACAGGUGCCUGUCGCACCAGUUAAUUCUAGAUCUCACGUUUUAUGAAAAAGGUUUUGCCCCCGCUUUAUAUUAUAAAACAUUCAUCACCGAUUACAACCGAGAGCCGAUACAAACACACACCACCACUACACACCACGCACCCUAGGCAAGAACACACACCCAGGGCGAGAUAUAAAGAUGCCGGGCACCAACACACCACUCCAACGAACUACAAAGCACACUAAAGAUGAGCAAAGAGGCAUCGCCUUAAGCCGACGGAAAUCACUAUGAGCAACCACCGAGGAGAGGUGAGACGACCGACGGCAGAACAAGGACUUCAAAACAGUGCCUCCAACAAGGGCACGACCAUAGCCGCCACUGUCCGAUCCCGCAAAUCAAGCUUUCGCCUGCAGUAACCCGAAGGGGAAGGGAGCACCACGACGGAGCCUGCAGGGAGGAAACUACGUCCGCGGACGCCGCCACCGUCGGCCCAUAUGAGAACUGGGCAAGUGAUGACCCCCGGUGCACCAACCCUUCGGCACACCCCCGCUCCGCCAACCACCCUCAUUCAUGCCGCGCGCGCGGCCCUGUCUGCCCGCCCGCACCCGAGUUGCGCAAUCUGCCCAAGAUAAACGGAUCUCCCACCGCCAGGGCCGCCGUCCAGCAUCAAGACCGUCCCGGCACCCUCAAAGGAGAGGGCUUUUGAUGGAGCCAACUUCCACCACCGCCGCAACCGGCAACGAUCGUCCCGCCUCAGACAUCGCCGGGACAACAACCACGAAGCAUCAGGUAGGGGAAAGGGGAAGGCGAGGUGCGACAACUACCCUUUCCCCCCGAAGCACCUGCUUUGCCCCAGCCCUGCUAUUGGCACAGCUCAACGCGUGGCCACCGACGGCCGCUAGUCCGACAAAGGGGGGAGAAGAGCCAGCACCGCCGCCGCCGCGAAGGAGGGGUCCAGGAACAGCCCGCCCGCGCCCCACGCCGCCGUCCACCGCCGAGAAGGGCGCCCAACUGCACCACGGAGCCCGCACGCGCCACCACCACCUACCGCCACGCCACCAGCACCGCCACCCCUCUGCACGGCGGUGCCAGCCGCCCGCGGCCCUGCUGCACCCAGCCCGCGCCGCCGGAAGAGGCGUCAGAGCCAGAUCGGGUCGGAUCUAACCCCACCUACGCGCACCACCUGACGGGCCGGCUGCCACCGAAGGCGCAGCCAGCCACCACGUCGGCAGCAUGGAGGCGCACCAAGCCGCAUCCGCCCAUCGACGCCGAGAUACCUGGCGCCUGCAUCCCGCCCUGGCCCGAAGGGAAUGGCCCGCGCCCGCCACGCCGCGCGAGACGGCGCGAGAAGUCCCGCCGCCACCGCCACAGCCCGGGCGCGCACCCUGGCGGCAGCGAGGGAGGUGAAGGGAGGGGAGGGGACGGCGGCAGCGGGGAUUUGGGUUGCCUCACGUUCGCCGCGCAGGGGCGACGCGGGGGGAGGGGGGUUCGAUCUCACGUUUUACAAGGGGUAGAGUAUGUAGAGUCUCUCGAAACAGGCUUUUGCCCCCCUAUAAAUAAAGACACGAACCGAACUAGGUACGCGGCCAAACGAUACAUGUUGGUGAGGUGACCCUCAUACAAAGAUGAUCCUACACUACCCAGAUCGCGAAGCAGACAAGCAACUAUGCUACCCAAUGGGAACACAGGGAGAAUGGAGCACAAUCACGCAACACCCUAGGACACCUAAGCUCCUAGACAAUGCCCCCAACAGAGAGAACAACUCAGAGCGUCGUCGUUGCCUAUCCCCACCGUGCAAGGGUCUUCACUCGGAACUCUGACGCGGCGAGGAGAUCCACGGCGACGUCUUCAGGAAGUGAACGGUGCCUGCAAGCGUCGCCGUCGCCGGUGCAAAAGCGCGGACCUUUCGCUCGGCACCCCAUCCUAAGUCACUGAGGCCCUAGGGCAAACGCGGCAUGCCCAGACCCUAGAUCCAGAUCUGGGCGACCUCCAGCAGAGGACGCCCCCGAGCCACCAACUGCUAUCCCUCUCAUCGCCAGCACGACAAAGAAGGGAGCCACCACCGCCGACAUGGCGCCCGUCGGAGAGGCAACCAUCCGAACCACCAUCCGGAGCCGCCGCUCCGGCAUCCAAGUCCAAGACCUCACCCACCGGCCACCACAGAGUACCAGCCACGGUAGGAAUAGCGAAAGUCCACAUCUUUCAUUCCUAACCCGACAUGAGCCACGAAGGCUGGGCCUGCGCCACCACUGCAAGGCCCCCAGCCCUGUGUCCCCGACAUGAGCCGGACUGGGUGAGACACACCUCUGCGAUUCCCGACGACCGUCGCCAAGUACACUCAGACAACGCCGUGUCCAUGGCCCUCGACUCCGUGUUGCCCGACAGUACCGUGAAGUCCCGAAUAUUAGCAGCGACCACCGUACCACCGGAGGGAGGGACUCGCCUAUCGUGGGUACAUCCUGGAUCGAGCCCAAUCUGACCCACCCAGAGCGGCAACUCCGACACGCCUCAGGCCCCGGUCAGAUCCUCCCGAGCAAGCGCCCCCGAUCAUAGCCAUUCUAGAUCGAGGAGAAGGAAGAUCACAUCCGCCACACGGCGCCGCCGAUGGGGCAUGUCCAUCGGAGAGCGCCGCCGCCUCCACUGACCCGCUCCACCCGCACCCCGGUCAAGCCGGUCACCGCGGCCAUACCGCCGGACCCUCCCGACAGGGCACACCACCACUCCGGACCACCACCGGCACCCGAAGCCACCGGCGACGGCCGGCCCACACCACCACAGCCCGCGUCGCUCACGAGAUGGUGGCCGGACAAGCCCCCGAUGCAGAUCAGCAAGGUCCAUUGCCGCCUCGCCAAGCACGCCCCGCCCCGGACAUCCAGCAGCCGCCAGCAACAGAUGUCGCCGCCGAAUCUCGCCGGUCCACCACGGCCAGCAGCCAACGCCGUCCAGGACCUGCAGAGGCCGCCGGCCCCGCGCCGCCCAUGGCUCCCAGCGCCAGAUCGGGGCGCGAGCAGCAGCAAGCACGCCCCUCCAGCCACCAGCCGACGCACCGUGCAAGGCCCCAGCCGUCGAUCGUUGGAAGGGCACCCGCCGCGCCGCCGCGACCCACCAACCACGGUGCCCUGGCCCGUUGAAGCGCCCCACACCGAUGCCACAUGCGAGGGGACGAGGAGGCCCGCCGCCGCCAGCGCCAGCCAGGCUUUGCCUAGCCGCACCCUGUGGCGGCGGCGGGGGAGGAAGGGGACGGGAGGAGGGGAGGAGGCCAGCGGCGCCUAGCGUUCCCUCCCCGUCGCCUGUGGGGCGAGGCUGGAAGGGUGGGUCGAGAGUAUAUAGUGGCGAAGCCCUCGCGUCUUACAAGAUCUGUACCAUCAUUCAUACCUAACAUUCCUCAGUUUGUAGAGUGGCCAGGCCCUCGCAUUAGCAGCCAAUUUAGCUGAUAUAAUCAAAGCAGCAAACAUAAUGCUGACCACUCAGAAGCUUUUCCUUGGUACUGACCAAAAAAAGCAUGCUGAUUUGUCUAAAUUGUAAUUCGAAUGAUUUUGUGGUUCUACGGAUGGAAGACUGUGAGAGCGUGCAAGCUUCAAUGCCUGAGAUUUGGUUUUGCUGGAACAGGAACCACCCAUGCCGAAAUAUAAACAACUUUGAUUGAGUAGACGAAGGGCUCAGCUUUACAUACUGACAGACAUACACUUUGUCUAGGAAAAGGUAGCAUUAGGUGAAGUUCAAGUGCUACAUGUUCCUACUAGCGCUCAGUUACCAAGGGGGCCCCACGGCGGUUUUCAUCAACAUUCGCUCCAGUCUGAACAUCAUCAAGCCCGCCGUUGAUGCUGUUGCGGGUGUUAGACUCAAGAUUCGGCCUCAUCCCACUACCUGCACGAUCACACCACGAUCCCCAGCGACUUUAGCCUUCAGUUGUAUGGCUCGGUCCCUCCAUAUGCAACCACUGUACUCUGUAAAGAAUAUAGCCUUGAUUCCCCCAAAUAUCAUGCACAACGCCCAAGGGCUGGCUUUAGUCAUAUUUAUACUAGACCUAACACAUACUCCCCAUCUGUUCACAAAUUCAUGAAGCAGAAUGUGCUCUCUGUAUUGGUUUACUCCAAUAUCUCAGCAAAGUAAGAAUGUGCAGUAUAGAUUGUUCCACAAACAAAGGACCUCCAUAUAUGCAUUGUGUGGGUGGUGAAGAAACUUCCACUUGCAUAUAUAGUCUCGAUUCCCCUGCUACCAAAGAGAUCAUCAUAUUGCCAUGACCAUUUGCAUUACUAUGGCAUGGUAGAUCGUCAUGCUUGUUCUGUUUCCUUUUUAUCCUGCGGGCGACCCAGGCGGAACCCUAGCCGCCGAGUGAGCUCCCUCCUCGCCAGAUCUCCCUUCCCCUCGCCGCUGCCAGCAGGCGCUGCCGGGCAAAGACCGCGCAGCGUCAGCGGCGGCGGGGCACUCCGGUUCUCCCUCUCAUGGUGCUUGGGCGUUGCAGGGCGUCCGCCGUGGUAGCGCGUGGUCGCCGUGGCGAGCUUGCGUUGGGGCUGCGCGCCGAGUGUGUACGACGCACGGGAGCGCGUGCGGUGCGCGGACGCAGGCGUGGGGAUCUGGCUCUCAUGGCGCGGCGCCGGUUGGCAGAUCGUCUCUCGGGGCGGCAGCCUCGAUCGGUGGCGCGCGGUGCGGCCUGCCUGGCGGGUGGCAUCCGCGGGUGCAGAUGGGGGCCUUCCACAACUGCGUGGGCGAGGUGGAGGCGUCGGUGCUGCAAUGGCUCCUCGAUGGCCGACCGGAGUUCCAUGAGAGGCGUCGUCUCCGACUCGAUCUACUCCGGUUCGUGCUGGCUACGGUAGCGACUAUGGGCGACGCCAAUGCUGCCUGGACGGAUCUGGCGGGUGGGCAUGGAUCCGGGGGAAACUCCAGGCCAGCGUGGCGGCCGCACCAAAGUCGAUGCCCUCGAUCGGCGCCGAUUCCCUUCCUGGAGGCUUCGGUGUGGAUGCUACGCCCCCCACCUCUGCCAUGAGCGCAGGAGAAAGCCUCUCUUCCUCUGUUUGGGUGACGAUGGCACUUUGGUGUCAUAUUCCUUCCUGAAGGUGUCGGCCAGGGACUGCUCAGGGUGGUGGAGUUGCUGGUAGUUCGGAGUCGACGCGAGAUGGCAUGUAGGCGGAGCGGUGUGGCAUCAACCGUAUCGUCGAUGGUGGUUCUCGGCAGCAUGGCGCAGUGGAGACUCGGCGUCUGAUGCGCGGAGAUGGACUCGCGCAGGAGGAGGAAGUUGUAUGGCGUCAUGGUGGCGUUGAUGCCAGAGAGGCCUCGCAAGGUUGGUGCAUCAGUUCUACUCUGAGGAUGGACCGAUGGAAGAUGGAGGUGACGGCCCUUGCAGCGUGCGGUGCUCACUGGGAGUGUGCCGGACCGGUGCGGGACCCAAUCCAGGUAGUGGCUUGGAUGGGACACCCGGCUUUAGAUGUUAGGCUUUGGUCCAAUGUCUGUUUGGUAUUAGGCCCGGACAUUCGGCACACCUUCAUCAAGGGGAUAGGAGUAGCAACAGCGUUGCCAAGAUAGUGGCUUCAGACUUAUUGAUGUAUCACCUUAUAUGAUUUUUGUUAAUAAUUAAUAAUAUGGCUGCAUGCAUCGUCCAGAUGCAGAGAAUGGGGGUACAUCCUCCUUUUCUAAAAAAAAUGCUUGUUCUGUUUCACAGAAAUGCCGUUUUUACUGUUCUAAUCACCAGUACAUCUCUGCCAAAAAGAAAACAAGGAACUCUGAAAUCAUUUGUUAACUACAUGGAACUCUGAAGGGUGAAAUAUGAAUCCAGGGCUCGCAAUCCAUGGCAACAAAUGCAUGGUAAAACAGAGCAAAUCUCGGGCCAGAGCUCCCAUAUCCGUAUCGCAGUUAUUAGCCCAUAUCCGCAUCAGGAACCAUACAUGUAUUUGUCGACAGUGAAGGAACGCAAGAUAAACAUUGCCCGAUUCAGAAGAUGACACAUCAACUGCUACUCUCAGCACAAACGGACAUGGACUGAACUGCUCACCCUGACGAAAUAAAGUGGAUAUGGUCUCGGUACNNNNNNNNNNNNNNNNNNNNNNNNNNNNNNNNNNNNNNNNNNNNNNNNNNNNNNNNNNNNNNNNNNNNNNNNNNNNNNNNNNNNNNNNNNNNNNNNNNNNNNNNNNNNNNNNNNNNNNNNNNNNNNNNNNNNNNNNNNNNNNNNNNNNNNNNNNNNNNNNNNNNNNNNNNNNNNNNNNNNNNNNNNNNNNNNNNNNNNNNNNNNNNNNNNNNNNNNNNNNNNNNNNNNNNNNNNNNNNNNNNNNNNNNNNNNNNNNNNNNNNNNNNNNNNNNNNNNNNNNNNNNNNNNNNNNNNNNNNNNNNNNNNNNNNNNNNNNNNNNNNNNNNNNNNNNNNNNNNNNNNNNNNNNNNNNNNNNNNNNNNNNNNNNNNNNNNNNNNNNNNNNNNNNNNNNNNNNNNNNNNNNNCGGGAUGAGUUCUACACUGUUGGACAUUCGGAAAAACUAGACCAAGAAUGAGUUGAUGAGGCCACUGACAAAUGUUUUCGUUUGUGUAGAGUAGUACAAUAUUGAUCAGGACCGUUCACAUACUGUCAAUGAACGUUGAUUAGCAGCCAAUAACACACAACGGUGCUCGCUGGAGCUCCCGAUAUUCAGAUUGAUGCUAUUUAACUUUGCAAGUACACGUGAGAAACACAUACAUCUACUGUUGUUCAGAUGUAGUUGAAACUGCAGCAAAAUCAUAUUUGACGGCUAGAGUGUUGCUAUCUUUGGAACGGCGUUCUCUCCAACUGAUCUUCCACAUCUAGAGCAAACUUAUCCUGCAUAGCAGAGGAAAAAACAUUAGCCACAAGGGGACAGAGAAUCAAAGGCAUUAUACAUUACAUAUCCAAGGCGAAUUCAAUGUGAUGAAGUUAUCAAUACCACAUACACAGGACGAAUGCAAAAAUUGUUUUCUGGAAGCGAACCAGAGUAGUAUUAGGUGUACCAUGAAAAGUUUUCUAAGAACCAGCCGUGCAAGGUUCAGUUCAUUUUAAAAAUACCAACAACUUAACUGCAGAUGUCUUAUUCCAAUUUCAUUCUAGUAAUCGAAGUGAACAAAAAAUCAACCUCAUAAGGAGCGAAAACAUCUAAAUUUUCGGGGGCACCUUCGAAGCCGCUGAAUGAUGUUCGAGUCGCGGCUAGCUUGGGGACACUGGUUGGGAAAACCGAGAGGGUGGAUAUGGCCUUUACCCGAGCAAACGGGGUGGCUAGAUUGCUUGUCAGUAUCCUGGAUAUCGAGUAUGUACCAUAUGUGGUUAAGUGGACUCAUAGAGGCAUGAUUUACAACCUCCAGAUCGAGUUCGAGGACACCGAGCUUUUCUCAGAGGCCUUGGCAGGGAACGAUGUUGAUAUGCUUGAUAAGGAUGAUGGCUCGGGUAACAAGGAGGUGUGAGAGGAUGACCGUGGGCGUGAUGCAUCUAACAUCCCGGGUUCCGACGCGUCGUCGCCCGGGAAAGGGACUACACCUUCGACUGUUGCACCCAUGAACACGUUGAGAUUUGGUUCGUUUGAGCCUGCCUCUGCUCCUCCUAGACUAUGGAGCGAUCAGGUGGAGUGUGAUGAUUUGCAUGAGCGAUCGCUUCCUCCCCAGGAUUUUGCUGCUGCUGACACACCGGUGGGUGGUUGUUCUGAUGAGUUGGUUGUUGCGAUAACCUCGGUGGAGAGUACACCGACUCCACCGGCAGUGAUCGGUCUGGGCGCUCAGCUACGCCUCGAUGGUGGGGAUGAUCUUGGGCAGGCGGCCCUACGAUCCCCCUCUCUGAGUGGUGCUUCCCCGCCGGCGAGGAGUCCGUUGAUGACUGGUGCGACGAUGGCCGUGCCGCGGGCCAGCAGGGCGGCCGGACCGGGAGGGGGGCACGGGCAGGAGGCCUCCGCCCCUGCCUCUCCCAUGGCGCACAUGGUUGCGGUGGCCGGACCGGGAGGGGGGGGGGCGGCAGGAGGCCUCCGCCCCUGCCUCUCCCAUGGCGCACACGGCUGCGGCGGCGUCCGCGUCGUCUACUUGACUCGGGCUCUCGACGCCCACUCGGAGCAUUGCCUUGCAGUAGGUAACGAGCCCGGUGUUGGCCAUGCCACCUUCCGGGGGUGGGGCCAGGUCGGGAGCGGGCGCGGGCAGGUGGCCUCCGCCCCUACUUCUCCCUUGGCGCCAUUGGUUGGUGGGGCUCCCGUGGCGUCCCCGGGAUCCGGACACCGGCCGAUGCCGCGGGAGGCGCCGGGAGCUUCCCCGGUGCUUACAACGGCUCUCGGUUGUACCCCGGCUGCUCCAGUUCAGUUGAGCCCUGUUGGAGGUUGGGCAGGAGGCCCCACCCCAAACGGGGCCACGCGGGAGGAGAUCAUUGCUUUUGGAGGGAUCCCGGAUCCUGUCUCUGAAGGACGAUGGAUGAGUUGUCGCCUCCAGGAUCAGCCUGAUGUUGAUGACAUGCAGCUAAGGUGCGCUAUGCGGGCGGCCAAGCUUCGUGACAUUGAGGUCACUACUGGUAUGUCGGUCAAUACGUCCAAUUCUAUUAUACAUUUUUCCAAUGAUGAGAUCGUUCAUAACGCAAAUCAGUUAGGAGUUUCACUAGGUAGUAAUGGCAGUGAAAUCUCUAAAUCAGUUAAUGAUAUCCUGGAUCUUGAAGCGGAGCGUGCUUUAGAAAUGAUUCGAAACUUAGCAGCCGUUAAACCCAUGAACGAUUCCGACAUAGAUGCGUUGGGAGUCAGGGUUCUUGACAGUUUUUGUGCGGAUCUUGCCCCUUCACUUCCUGAGACAGAUGAGGACGAAGGAUAUAGUUCCCCAAGGGACUCUACCCUUGUAGGUGUUCAGGAGGUUAGGUCCACGGAGCCCGGUUGUGAGGACCGGCUGGAGGAUCAAAAUAAGCCUAAACGGAAGUGGAAACGAAAGAUUUAUCCAGCUUCGGCUGUGCGUAGAAGUGUUAGGAUCCGUAUCUCUAAAAAAUUUCAUGAUGAAAUAUGAGGGGAAUUUUUUGGAAUAGCAGAGGUCUUAAAGACUUGGCUAAAAUAAGGUUUCUAGCGGAUGCGUCUAUCGAACACCAGUUGGAUUUUAUCGCCCUUUCCGAAACUGGAAGGGACAAUUUCACCCCCCAGUUCCUUAGCACUUUAUCGGGAGGUGUCGAUUUUGACUGGCAUUGCCUACCUCCAAGAGGAAGGUCCGGUGGGAUCUUACAUGGGGUUGAAUGUGAUUCGUUGGAAGUUCGGAGUGUGGUCAUGGGACAUUUUGCUGUGAAGUUUCGGGUCAGAUCAAAGGUCGAUGGGUUUAAUUGGGCAUUAGUGGCGGUGUAUGGUGCCGCGCAGCCAGAACUCAAACCAGAAUUUUUGGCUGAUCUUGUCCCUAUUUGCGGUAGCAAGCAGCUCCCAAUUCUGGUUGGGGGCGAUUUUAACAUUAUUCGAAGGAGGGAGGAAAAGAAUAAUGAGAAUUUCGACGGAAGAUGGUUGUUUAUGUUUAAUACCAUAAUCAAAAGCUUGGAUCUUAGAGAGAUAGAACUUUCUGGCAGAAAAUUCUCUUGGGCUAAUACGUUGCCAAACCCGACAUUUGAGAAGGUGGAUCGUGUCCUCGCUAGCGUUGAAUGGGAGCAGAAGUUUCCCUGGUAAUAGUCCAAGUGUUAUCACGUGCGAUCUCGGACCACACCCCGCCGCUCGUUGACUCUGGCGAGGCAACCCAUGUGGGGAAUAAAAACACUUUUUCUUUCGAAUUAGCAUGGUUCGAAAGAGAAGGGUUCCUGGAUCUGAUAGCAAGGGAAUGGGCUAAAGAUUCAGGAGGGAGGUCCCCUGUUAAAAGAUAGCAGAAUAAGAUAAGGCAUGUACGAAGAUUCCUUCGUGGGUGGGACUUAUAAGGUUGAAAAGGAAAGGCUCCUUGUACUAAUUCAAUCCCGAGAUUUAAAAGCCGAGUCCACCAUUUUGGAUACCAGGAAGCUGGAAACUAAAGUGGAGGCGGAGAUGAGAAUGAAAGAACUACUUCGAGAGGAGGAAUUGAAUUGGGCAUCGCGAGCUAAAGUUUGCAAAAUCGUCCAAGGGUAUGAUAACACUCAAUUCUUUCAUAUGAUUGUGAAUGGUAAGCACCGAAAGAAGAUGAUAUUUCAGCUUGAGCAGGAUGGGACGAUUUUAGGACAGGAAAACCUAAAAUUAUAUAUAACCAAUUACUAUAAGCAGAUGUUUGGGCCUCCGAAGGAUAACUUCGUAUCCUUGGAUGAGUCCAGGGUUGAGGAUGUCCCCCAAGUUGCUGCGGAUGAGAAUGAUAUUUUGACCGCCCCAUUUAUGGAGAAAGAGGUGUUUGAAGCUAUUUCACAAAUGAAGAAUAAUAAGGCUCCAGGGCCGGAUGGUUUCCGGCGGAGUUUUAUAAAAAGUGUUGGCAUAUUGUUAAAGGGGAUUUGUGUUGGGGAACGCAGUAUUUCAAAAAAAAUCCUACGAUCACGUAAGAUCUAUCUAGGAGAUGCAUAGCAACGAGACGGGAGAGUGUGUCCACGUACCCUCGUAGACCGAAAGAUGAAGUGUUUAGUAACGCGGUUUAUGUAGUCGAACGUCUUCACGAUCCAACCGAUCCAAGUACCAAGCGUACGGCACCUCUGUGUUCAGCACACGUUCAGCAUGAUGACGUCCCUCGAGCCCUGAUCCAGUUGAGGAUGAGGGGGAGUUCCGUCAACACGAUGGCGUGGCGACGGUGAUGAUGAAGUAACCGGCGCAAGGGCUUCGCCUAAGCAGUACGACGAUGUGACCGAGGUGUUAACUGUGGAGGGGGGAGGCAGCCUAUGGCGCGCCCAAGUAGGCCUACUUGGGCCCCUAGUCCAAUCCCCCCCCCCCCCGACCAUAUUUGGACAAGGCGGAAAGGAAGGACGGGGGAUGGGAAGGAAGUAGGAGUCCUACUUCAUACUUUCCUUUUCCUCCUCUCCUUUCCCUUUCUCCCCACGUGGCUGGCCCUAUAGGGGGCGCACCAGCCCCUUGUGGGCUGGUGUGUUCCCUUACUUGGCCAUUAAGCCCAUAUCUUUGCCGGGGGUUGCCCGGAACCCCUUCCGGUGACCUGGUAUCACCCAUAACACUUCCGGUGUCCAAAUACCAUCGUCCUAUAUAUGAAUCUUUACAUGUCAACCAUUUCGAGACUCCUCUUUAUGUCCGUGAUCUCAUCCGGGACUUCGAACAAACUUCGGUCAUCAAAUCACAUAACUCAUAAUACAAAUCAUCAUCGAACGUUAAGCGUGCGGACCCUACGAGUUCGAGAACUAUGUAGACAUGACCGAGACACAUCUCUGGUCAAUAACCAAUAGCGGAACCUAGAUGCUCAUAUUCGCUCCAACAUAUUCUGCGAAGAUCUUUAUCGGUCAAACUGCAUAACAACAUACGUUGUUCCCUUUGUCAUCGGUACGUUACUUGCCCGAGAUUCGAUCGUCAGUAUCAUCAUACCUAGUUCAAUCUUGUUAUCGGCAAGUCUCUUUACUCGUUUCGUAAUGCAUCAUCCUGUGACUAACUCAUUAGUCACAUUGCUUGCAAGGCUUAUAGUGAUGUGCAUUACCGAGAGGGUCCAGAGACACCUCUCCGAUACAUAGAGUGACAAAUCCUAAUCUCGAUCUAUGCCAACCCAACAAACACCUUUGGAGACAUCUGUAGAGCAUCUUUAUAAUCACCCAGUUACGUUGCUACGUUUGAUAGCACACAAGGUGUUCCUCCGGUAUUCGGGAGUUGCAUAAUCUCAUAGUCGGAGGAACAAGUAUAAGUCAUGAUGAAAGCAAUAACAAUAAAACUAAACGAUCAUUAUGUUAAGCUAACGGAUGGGUCUUGUCCAUCACAUCAUUCUCUAAUGAUGUUAUCCCGUUCAUCAAAUGACAACACAUGUCUAUGGUUAGGAAACAUAACCAUCUUUGAUUAACGAGCUAGUCAAGUAGACGCAUACUAGGGACACUUUGUUUUGUCUAUGUAUUCACACAUGUACUAAGUUUCCGGUUAAUACAAUUCUAGCAUGAAUAAUAAACAUUUAUCAUGAUAUAAGGAAAUAUAAAUAACAACUUUAUUAUUGCCUCUAGGGCAUAUUUCCUUCAGUCUCCCACUUGCACUAGAGUCAAUAAUCUAGUUCACAUCGCCAUGUGAUUUAACACACUAGUUCACAUCACCAUGUGAUUAGUUCAACUCGCCAUGUGACUAAUACCCAAAGGGUUUUACUAGAGUCAGUAAUCUAGUUCACAUCGCUAUGUGAUUAACACCCAAAGAGUACUAAUGUGUGAUCAUGUUUUGCUUGUGAGAGAAGCUUAGUCAAUGGGUCUGUCAUAUUCAGAGCCGUAUGUAUUUUGCAAAUUUUCUAUGUCUACAAUGCUCUGCAUGAAGCUACUCUAGCUAAUUGCUCCCACUUUCAUUAUGUAUCCAGAUUGAGACCCAGAGUCAUCCGGAUCGGUGUAAAAGCUUGCAUCGGCGUAACUCUUUACGACGAACACUUUAUCACCUCCAUAACCGAGAAAUAUCUCCUUAGUCUUCUAAGGAUAAUUUUGACCGCUGUCAAGUGAUCCACUCCUGGAUCAAUAUCAUACCCCCUUGCCAAACUUAUGGCAAGGUACACAAUAGGUUUGGUACACAGCAUAGCAUACUUUAUAGAACCUAUGGCUGAGGCAUAGGAAAUGACUUUCAUUCUCUUUCUAUUUUCUGCCGUGGUCGUGUUUUGAGUCUUACUCAACUUUACACCUUGCAAUACAGGCAAGAACUCCUUCUUUGACUGUUCCAUUUUGAACUACUUCAAAAAUCUUGUCAAGGUAUGUACUCAUUGAAAAAUCUUAUCAAGCGUCCUGAUCUCUCUCUAUAGAUCUUGAUGCCUAAUAUGUAAGCAGCUUCACCGAGGUAUUUCUUGAAAAACUCCUUUCAAACACUCCUUUAUGCUUUUUAGAAAAUUCUACAUCAUUUCCGAUCAACAAUAUGUCAUUCACAUAUACUUAUCAGAAAGGUUGUAGUGCUCCCACUCACUCUCUUGUAAAUACAGGCUUCACCGCAAGUCUGUAUAAAACUAUAUGCUUUGAUCAACUCAUCAAAUCGUAUAUUCCAACUCCGAGAUGCUUGCACCAGUCCAUAGAUGGAUCGCUGGAGCUUGCACAUUUUGUUAGCACCUUUAGGAUUGAUAAAACCUUCUGAUUGUAUCAUAUACAACUCUUCUUUAAUAAAUCUAUUGAGGAAUGCAGUUUUGACAUCCAUUUGUCAUAUUUCAUAAAAUGUGGCAAUUGCUAACAUGAUUCGGACAGACUUUAAGCAUCGAUACGAGUGAGAAAAUCUCAUCGUAGUCAACACCUUGAACUUGUUAAAAACCCUUUUCGACAAGUCAAGCUUUGUAGAUAGUAACACUACUAUCAGCGUCCGUCUUCCUCUUGAAAUCCAUUUAUUCUCAAUGGCUUGCCGAUCAUCGGGCAAGUCCACCAAAGACCACAAAUUGUUUUCAUACAUGGAUUCUAUCUCAGAUUUCAUGGCCUCAAGCCAUCUGUCCGAAUCUGGGCUCAUCAUCGCUUCCUCAUCGUUCAUAGGUUCAUCAUGGUCUAGUAACAUGACUUCCGGAACAGGAUUACCGUACCACUCUGGUGCGGAUCGUACUCUGGUUGACCUACGAGGUUCAGUAGUAACUUGAUCUGAAGUUUCAUGAUCAUCAUGAUUAACUUCCUCACUAAUUGGUGUAGGCAUCACUGGAACUGAUUUUAGUGAUGAGCAACUUUCCAAUUCGAGAGAAGCUACAAUUACCUCAUUAAGUUCUACUUACCUCCCACUCACUUCUUUCGAGAGAAACUCCUUCUCUAAAAAGGAUCCACUCUUAGCAACAAAGAUUUUGCCUUCGGAUCUGUGAUAGAAGGUGUACCCAACAGUUUCUUUUGGGUAUCCUAUGAAGACACACUUCUCCGAUUUGGGUUUGAGCUUAUCAGGCUGAAACUUUUUCACAUAAGCAUCGCAACCCCAAACUUUAAGAAACGACAGCUUAGGUUUCUUGCUAAACCACAGUUCAUACGAUGUCGUCUCAACGGAUUUUUAGACGGUGCCCUAUUUAGCGUGAAUGCAGCUAUCUCUAAUGCAUAACCCUAAAACGAUAGUGGUAAAUCGGUAAGAGACAUCAUACACCAUAUCUAAUAAAGUACGGUUACGACGUUCGGACACACCAUUACGCUGUGGUGUUCCAGGUGGCGUGAGUUGCGAAACUAUUCCACAUUGUUUCAAAUGAAGGCCAAACUCGUAACUCAAAUAUUCGCCUCGCGAUCAGAUCGUAGAAACUUUAUUUUCUUGUUACGAUGAUUCUCAACUUCACUCUGAAAUUCUUUGAACUUUUCAAAUGCUUCAGACUUGUGUUUCAUUAAGUAGAUAUACCCAUAUCUGCUCAAAUCAUCUGUGAAGGUCAGAAAAUAACGAAACCCACCGCGAGCCUCAACACUCAUCGGACCGCAUACAUCGGUACGUAUUAUUUCCAAUAAGUCAGUGGCUCACUCCAUUGUUCCGGAGAAUGGAGUCUUAGUCAUCUUGUCCAUGAAGCAUGGUUCGCAAGCAUCAAGUGAUUCCAAGCCCACCAGCAUGGAGUUUCUUCAUGCGCUUUACAUCAAUAUGACCUAAAUGGCAGUGCCACAAAUAAGUUGCACUAUCAUUAUUAACCUUGCAUCUUUUGGCUUCAAUAUUAUGAAUAUGUGUAUCACCACAAUCGAGAUUCAAUAAACCAUUCACCUUGGAUGUAUGACCACAGAAGGUUUUAUUCAUAUAAACAGAAUAACAAUUAUUCUUUGACUUAAAUGAAUAAUCAUAUUGCAAUAAACAUGAUCCAAUCAUAUUAUGCUCAACGCAAACACCAAAUAACAUUUAUUUUAGGUUCAACACUAAUCCCGAAGGUAAAGGGAGUGUGCGAUGGUGAUCUUAUCAACCUUGGAAUCACUUCCAAGACACAUCGUCACCUUGCCCUCAACUAGUCUUUGUUCAUUUUAUAACUCCUGUUUCAAGUUACUAAUCAUAGCAACUGAACCAGUAUCAAAUACCCAGGGGCUACUAUGAAUACUAGUAAAGUACACAUCAAUAACAUGUAUAUCAUAUAUACUUUUGUUUACUUUGCCAUCCUUCUUAUCCGCCAAGUAUCUGUGGUAGUUCCGCUUCCAGUGACCAUUUCCUUUGCAGUAGAAGCACUCAGUUUCAGGCUUGGAUCUAGCUUUGGGCUUCUUCAUGGGAGUGGCAACUUGCUUGUCAUUCUUCUUGAAGUUCCCUUUCUUUCCCUUGCCCUUUUACUUGAAACUAGUGGUCUUGUCAACCAUCAACACUUGAUGCUUUCCUUAAUUUCUACCUUCGCCGAUUUCAGCAUCACGAAGAGCUCGGGGAAUCGUUUACGUCAUCCCUUGCAUAUUAUAGUUCUUCACGAAGUUCCAGUAACUUGGUGAUAGUGACUGAGAAAUCUGUCAAUCACUAUCUUAUCUGGAAGAUUAAAUCCCACUUGAUUCAAGCGAUUGUAGUACUCAGACAUUCUGAGCACAUGCUCACUGGUUAAGCUAUUCUCCUCCAUCUUGUAGGCAAAAAUACUUGUCAGAGGUCUCAUACCUCUCGACUCGGGCAUGAGUCUGAAAUACCAAUUUCAACUCUUGGAACAUCUCAUAUGCAGCAUGGCGUUUCAAAACAUUUUUGAAGUCCCGGUUCUAAGCCGUAAAGCAUGGUGUACUAAACUAUCAAGUAGUCAUCAUACCGAGCUUGUCAAAUGUUCAUAACGUCUGCAUUUGCUCCUGCAAUAGUUCAGUCACCUAGCGGUGCAUCAAGAACAUAAUUCUUCUGUGCAGCAAUGAGGAUGAUCCUCAGAUCACGGACCUAGUCCGCAUCAUUGCUACUAUCAACUUUCAACUUAGUUUUCUCUAGGAAUAUAUCAUAAAUAAAACGGGGAAGCUAUGCGCGUGCAAUUGAUCUACAACAUAGAUAUGCAAAUACUACCAGGACUAAGUUCAUGAUAAAUUUAAGUUCAAUUAAUCAUAUUACUUAAGAACUCCCACGUAGAUAGACAUCCCUCUAGUCAUCUAAAUGAUCACGUGAUCCAUAUCAACUAAACCAUGUCCGAUCAUCACAUGAGAUGGAGUAGCAUUCAAUGGUGAACAUCACUAUGUUGAUCAUAUCUACUAUAUGAUUCACGUUCGACCUUUCGGUCUCAGUGUUCCGAGGCCAUAUCUGCAUAUACUAGCCUCGUCAAGUUUAACCCGAGUAUUCUACAUGUGCAAAACUGGCUUGCACCCGUUGUAUGUGAACGUACAGCUUAUCACACCCGAUCAUCACGUGGUGUCUCAACACGAAGAACUGUCACAACGGUGCAUACUCAAGGAGAACACUUAUACCUUGAAAUUUUAGUAAGGGAUCAUAUCAUAAUGCUACCGUCGUACUAAGAAAAAUAAGAUGCAUAAAAGAUAAAUAUCACAUGCAAUCAUAAUAUGUGACAUGAUAUGGCCAUCAUCAUGUUGUGCCUUUGAUCUCCAUCUCCAAAGUACCGUCAUGAUCUCCAUUGUCACCGGCAUGACACCAUGAUCUCCUUCAUCUUGAUCUUUAUCAACGUGUCGUCAAAUGGUCGUCUCGCCAACUAUUGCUUUUGCAACUAUUGCUAUCGCAUAGCGAUAAAGUAAAGCAAUUAUAUGGCGCUUGCAUCUUAUGCAAUAAAGAGACAACCAUAAGGCUCCUGCCAGUUGCCGAUAACUUCUACAAAACAUGAUCAUCUCAUACAAUAAUUUAUAUAUCAUCACGUCUUGACCAUAUCACAUCACAACAAGCCCUGCAAAAACAAGUUAGACGUCCUCUACUUUGUUGUUGCAAGUUUUACGUGGCUGCUUUCUAGCAAGAACCGUUCUUACAUACGCAUCAAAACCACAAAGAUUUUUCAUCAAGUGUGCUGUUUUAACCCUCAACAAGGACCGGGCGUAGUCAAACUCGAUUCAACUAAAGUUGGAGAAACAGACACCCGCCAGCCACCAGUGUGCAAAGCACGUCGGUAGAACCAGUCUCAUGAACGUGGUCAUGUAAUGUCGGUCUGGGCCGCUUCAUCCAACAAUACCGCCGAACCAAAGUAAGACGUUGCUGGUAAGCAGUAUGACUAUUAUAAGCCACAACUCUUUGUGUUCUACUCGUGCAUAUAACAUCUACGCAUAGACCUGACUCGGAUGCCACAGUUGGGGAACGCAGUAUUUCAAAAAAAAUCCUACGAUCACACAAGAUCUAUCUAGGAGAUGCAUAGCAACGAGACGGGAGAGUGUGUCCACGUACCCUCGUAGACCGAAAGCGGAAGCGUUUAGUAAUGCGGUUGAUGUAGUCGAACGUCUUCACGAUCCAACCGAUCCAAGUACCGAACGUACGGCACCUCCGUGUUCAGCACACGUUCAGCACGAUGACGUCCCUCGAGCUCUUGAUCCAGUUGAGGACGAGGGAGAGUUCCGUCAGCACGACGGCGGCGACGGUGAUGAUGAAGUUACUGGCGCAGUGCUUCGCCUAAGCACUACGACGAUAUGACUGAGGUGUUAACUGUGGAGGGGGGGCACCGCACACGGCUAGGAACAAUUGAUGUGUGUUCUAGGGGUGCCCUGCCCACGUAUAUAAAGGAGGGAGAGGGAGCUUUCGUUAGUAUGAUGAAGACUCCGAAGGAAGGAUGGCCACUUCAUCAUGAUGACCUGGAGCAGAGAAAUGAGGACAUCACCAAAAGGGAUCAACUACUUCGGGAAGAGCAACAAAGACCGAGAAGAAUCGUUUGAAUUUCGUAACCAGAACUUUCCCCCUUACUCCCCUCUUAAAUCUCACGACGAAAUUUCUUGUAGUGGAGGAGUUUUGUAACGCCCGGGUAAUUAAGCUACAGUAAUCCCACAUUAACGGUGCCACGUUACCCCGGUUACUGUUGUUAAUAUCGCGUUGGAUCAAAACUUUUCAAAAAUUAAAUUCAAAAUAAUGUCAACAAUAAAAGUUUUUCAAAAAUUUAAAACAAAAAUGUUCGGGGUGUGCAAAUAAAUGCCUAGGAAUUUGGAUCUGGAUCGGGAAAAGGGGGCUCGGACCACGCCGCCGUAGCCUAGGACCACCUCGCCGGCGCCUCCUCUCCCCCGACGCCCACGACGCCGCGGCCACCGUCGCCUUCCUCUCCCUCGCGGGAUCUCCUCCUCAUCGGCGUCGCGUCACCGUCCUCUUCCUCAACCCCCACUGCCUAGACCCCACGGCCCCGUGGUGAGGCCCCGGCAUCUCCUCCCCCUCCCCUGCUCCGGCCACUUCGGCUAGGGCCUCGCUCACCGGCGCCGCACACGCGCGUGUGACCCUGGCCGCGCCCGCCCGCUUCCCCCGUGCGCGCUCGACGCGCUCCUGGCCGCGCCCUGAAUGCCCCCCGGCCGUACACGCCGCUCCCUCGACGCGCCCAGGCNNNNNNNNNNNNNNNNNNNNNNNNNNNNNNNNNNNNNNNNNNNNNNNNNNNNNNNNNNNNNNNNNNNNNNNNNNNNNNNNNNNNNNNNNNNNNNNNNNNNNNNNNNNNNNNNNNNNNNNNNNNNNNNNNNNNNNNNNNNNNNNNNNNNNNNNNNNNNNNNNNNNNNNNNNNNNNNNNNNNNNNNNNNNNNNNNNNNNNNNNNNNNNNNNNNNNNNNNNNNNNNNNNNNNNNNNNNNNNNNNNNNNNNNNNNNNNNNNNNNNNNNNNNNNNNNNNNNNNNNNNNNNNNNNNNNNNNNNNNNNNNNNNNNNNNNNNNNNNNNNNNNNNNNNNNNNNNNNNNNNNNNNNNNNNNNNNNNNNNNNNNNNNNNNNNNNNNNNNNNNNNNNNNNNNNNNNNNNNNNNNNNNNNNNNNNNNNNNNNNNNNNNNNNNNNNNNNNNNNNNNNNNNNNNNNNNNNNNNNNNNNNNNNNNNNNNNNAAAAAAAGGGAAUUAAAAAUAUAUAUAUCAAUUAAUUAAUUAACUAAAUAAUUAACUUAAUUAAUUCUGUUUAAAUUAACUAAUUAGAUAAUUAACCUAAUUAACUCUGUCUAAUUAAACUGCUGACUAAACAGUCAAUGACCAGUGGGACCCACACGUCAGCGACCCAGUCAACACCUCUGUUGACUGCUGGCGUCAUGCUGACAUCAUGAUGACGUCAGCAAACACUGUUCUGGAUAAUGUUGAAUUAAAAUAAUUAAAUUAAUCCUAAAAAUGAUUUAAAUCUUUUAAAAUUAAUAUAAAAUAAACCGUAGCUCGAAUGAAAAUACUUUCUACAUGAAAGUUGCUCAGAACGGCGUGACGAAUCCGGAUUUGCAGUCCGUUCGUCCGCCACACACCCCUAGCAUAUCGAACACGCAACUUUCCCCCUUCGGUUCAUCUGUCCGAAAACACGAAACACCGGGGAUACUUUCCCGGAUGUUUCCCCCCUUCGCCGGCAUCACCUCUUACCGCGUUAGGGCACACCUAACACCGUUGUUUCCUUUGUCAUGCAUCGUUAUGCAUCUGUUUGCAUUGUAUUCAUUGUUUCUUCCCCCUCUUCUCUCCGGUAGACUACGAGACCGACGCCACUGCUGGUGCCCCGGCUGACUACGGUGUUGACGACCCCUUCUUGCCAGAGCAACCAGGCAAGCCCCCCUCCUUGAUUACCAGAUAUCGCCUAUUCUCCUCUAUACUGCUUGCAUUAGAGUAGUGUAGCAUGUUACUGCUUUCCGUUUAUCCUAUCCUGAUGCAUAGCCUGUCCUUGCUACUACUGUUGUUACCUUUACCAGCAAUCCUAAAUGCUUAGUAUAGGAUGCUAGUAUUCCAUCAGUGGCCCUACAUUCUUGUCCGUCUGCCAUGCUAUACUAUCGGGCCGUGAUCACUCGGAAGGUGGUUACGGGUAUAUACUAUAUACUUUAUACAUGAUACAUGUGGUGACUAAAGUCGGGUCGGCUCGUGGAGCACCCGCGAGUGAAUCACGGAUUGGGGGCUGAAAGGACCUUUGUCCCAACGGCCCUCUGUGUGGAUCUUUGUGGCGGAGUGAUAGGGCAGAUUGAGACUACCUAGGUGAGAGGUGGGCCUGGCCCUGGUCGGCGUCCGCGGUUACUUCAAAAUAACACGCUUAACGAGUUCUUGGUAUUUGAUCUGAGUCUGGCCAUUUGGUCUAUACGCACUAACCAACUACGUGGGAAAGUUAUGGGCACUCGACGUCGUGGUAUCAGCCGAAGCCUUCGUGACGUCAGCGACUGAGCGGCGCGCGCCGGAUUGGACUGGAACGCCUGCUAGGCUAGGUCUGCUUCCGGCCGCGUACGCAACGUGCAGGUGUGCAAUGGGCGAUGGGCCCAGACCCCUGCGCCAUAGGAUUUAGACCUGCGUGCUGACCUCUCUGUUGUGCCGGCGGGGCUGCGACGUGUUGAUCUUCCGCGGCCGGGCAUGACCCAGAAAAGUGUGUCCGGCCAAAUGGGAUCGAGCGUGUUGGGUUAUGUGGUGCACCCCUGCAGGGAAGUUUAUCUAUUCGAAUAGCCAUGUCCCUCGGUAAAAGGACGACCCGGAGUUGUACCUUGACCUUAUGACAACUAGAACCGGAUACUUAAUAAAACACACUCUUCCAAGUGCCAGAUAUAACCCGAUGAUCGCUCUCUAACAGGGCAACAAGGAGAGGAUCGCCGGGUAGGAUUAUGCUAUGCGAUGCUACUUGGUGAACUUACCAUCUACUCUCUUCUACAUGCUGCAAGAUGGAGGUGGCCAGAAGCGUAGUCUUCGACAGGACUAGCUAUCCCCCUCUUAUUCUGGCAUUCUGCAGUUCAGUCCAUCGAUAUUGCCCCUUUGCACAGAUACCCAUGCAUAUGUAGUGUAGAUCCUUGCUUGCAAGUACUUUGGAUGAGUACUCAUGGUUGCUUUUCUCCCUCUUUUCCCCCUUUCCAUUCUACCUGGUUGUCGCAACCAGAUGCUGGAGCCCGGAAGCCAGACGCCACCGUCGACGACGACUCCUACUACACCGGAGGUGCUUACUACUACGUGCAGGCCACUGACGACGACCAGGAGUAGUUUAGGAGGAUCCCAGGCAGGAGGCCGGCGCCUCUUUCGAUCUGUAUCCCAGUUUGUGCUAUCCUUCUUAAGGCAACUUGUUUAACUUAUGUUUGUACUCAGAUAUUGUUGCUUCCGCUGACUCAUCUAUGAUCGAGCACUUCUAUUCGAGCCCUCGAGGCCCCUGGCUUGUAUUAUGAUGCUUGUAUGACUUAUUUUAUUUUUAGAGUUGUGUUGUGAUAUCUUCCCGUGAGUCCCUGAUCUUGAUCGUACACGUUUGCGUGUAUGAUUAGUGUACGAUUGAAUCGGGGGCGUCACAGAGGUAGCCUAGGGCGCGCCCAACUAGGAGGAAUCCUACUUGGGCCCCUAGUCCAAUCCCUCCUACCAUAUUUGGACAAGGGGGAAAGGAAGGAGGGGGAGGGGAAGGAAGUAGGAGUCCUACUUCAUACUUUCAUUUUCCUCCUCCCCUUUCCCUUUCUCCCCACGUGGCUGGCCCUAUAGGGGGCGCACCAGCCCCUUGUGGGCUGGUGUGUUCCCUUACUUGGCCCAUUAAGCCCAUAUCUUUGUCGGGGGUUACCCGGAACCCCUUCCGGUGACCCGGUAUCACCCAGAACACUUCCGGUGUCCAAAUACCAUCGUCCUAUAUAUGAAUCUCUACCUCUCGACCAUUUCGAGACUCCUUGUCAUGUCUGUGAUCUCAUCCGGGACUCCAAACAAACUUCGGUCAUCAAAUCACAUAACUCAUAAUACAAAUCGUCAUCGAACGUUAAGUGUGCGGACCCUACGGGUUCGAGAACUAUGUAGACAUGACCGAGACACAUCUCCGAUCAAUAACCAAUAGCGGAACCUAGAUGCUCAUAUUGGCUCCUACAUAUUCUACGAAGAUCUUUAUCGGUCAAACCACAUAACAACAUACGUUGUUCCCUUUGUUAUCGGUAUGUUACUUGCCCGAGAUUCGAUCGUCGGUAUCAUCAUACCUAGUUCAAUCUCGUUACCGGCAAGUCUCUUUACUCGUUGCGUAAUGCAUCAUCCCGUGACUAACUAAUUAGUCACAUUGCUUGCAAGGCUUAUAGUGGUGUGCAUUACCUAGAGGGCCCAGAGAUACCUCUCCGAUACACAGAGUGACAAAUCCUAAUCUCGAUCUAUGCCAACCCAACAAACACCUUUGGAGACAUCUGUAGAGCAUCUUUAUAAUCACCCAGUUACUUGUGAUGUUUGAUAGCACACAAGGUGUUCCUCCGGUAUUCGGGAGUUGCAUAAUCUCAUAGUCAAAGGAACAUGUAUAAGUCAUGAUGAAAGCAAUAGCAAUAAAACUAAACGAUCAUUAUGCUAAGCUAACGGAUGGGUACAUCACAUUAUUAUCUAAUGAUGUGAUCCCGAUUCAUCAAAUGACAACACAUGUCUAUGGUUAGGAAACAUAACCAUCUUUGAUUAACGAGCUAGUCAAGUAGACACAUACUAGGGACACUUUGUUUUGUCUAUGUAUUCACACAUGUACUAAGUUUCCGGUUAAUACAAUUCUAGCAUGAAUAAUAAACAUUUAUCAUGAUAUAAGGAAAUAUAAAUAACAACUUUAUUAUUGCCUCUAGGGCAUAUUUCUUUCAAUUUGCUACCGAUGUUCCAUGAUUUAUUCUCUAGAUAGCUUCAGUUGUUUCAAUUAAAUUUUGGAACGAUAACUUCCUAAGAAAACAAAGGCCGUACGAAUUGAGCAGUUCCGGCCGAUCUGUCGUCUUAAUGUAAGUUUCAAAAUUUUCACCAAGGUUGGGACUAAUAGGCUUACACAAAUUGCGCACUCUGUGGUGCAUUCGUCCCAAACUGCUUUCAUGCCGGAUAGAAACAUCCUAGAAGGGGUUGUGGUCCUACAUAAAACGCUCCAUGAAAUCCACACGAAAAAACUAGGCGGAGUUGUUUUCAAAGUGGAUUUUCAGAAAGCAUACGAUAAGGUCAAAUGGCCAUUUCUUCAAUAGGCCUUGCGUAUGAAAGGUUUUGAUCAGGCCUGGAGACACCAGGUAGACUCUUUCACGCAAAAAAAGGAGUGUUGGAAUUAUGAAUGAUUACAUAGGUCACUACUUCCAAACACACAAAGGUCUGAGGCAAGGAGAUCCGAUGUCACCUAUUCUGUUCAACAUAGUGGUCGAUAUGUUGACAAUUCUAAUAGGAAGGGCUAAGGAUGCUGGUCAGGUAGGUGGCCUCGUUCCGCACUUAGUUGACCGAGGUGUGUCUAUCCUACAGUAUGCUAAUGAUACUAUCAUCUUCAUGGAGCAUGACUUGGCAAAAGCGCGAAACAUGAAGCUGGUGUUAUGCUUAUUCAAACAAUUGACCGGGUUAAAGAUUAACUUCCACAAAAGUGAAUUGUUCUGUUUUGGAAAAGGUAAUGAUGACCAAGAUGCGUACAAACAAUUGUUCUGGUGCGAAUUGGGGGCUUUACCUUUCACGUAUUUAGGUAUACCAAUCCACCAUCAUAAGCUAACAAACAGAGAAUGGAAGUGCAUUGAGGAUCGAUUUGAGAAGAAACUAAGCUGCUGGAAGGGCAAGCUGAUGUCAUACGGAGGCCGAUUAAUUCUCAUUAAUUCGGUUCUCACGAGUAUGCCCAUGUUUCUCUUGUCCUUUUUCGAGGUACCAGUUGGACUUCGAAAAAGGCUUGACUUCUAUCGAUCACGUUUUUUCUGGCAAAGUGAUGAACUAAAACGAAAAUACAGACUCGCUAAAUGGGAUAUCAUUUGUAGGCCGAAAGACCAAGGGGCCUAGGUAUUGGAAAUCUUGAGGUAAAGAACAGAUGUCUUCUCAGCAAGUGGCUGUAUAAGCUAUCUGUAGAGACAGAGGCCACAUGGGCUCAGAUUUGCGUAAUAAGUACCUUCACUCUAAAACCUUGUCCCAGGUGACAGUGAGGCCGACUGAUUCGCCUUUUUGGAAAGGACUGAUGAGAGUUAAAUCACUCUUUUUCAACAGGACAAAGGUUAUAGUUGGAAACGGUAUCACUACGAGGUUCUGGGAGGAUACAUGCCUAGGGGAGACGCCCCUUGCACUCCAAUAUCCUUCUCUUUAUAGCAUUGUUCAGCGAAGAGACGCUUACGUUGCAACAGUGCUACAGUCCACUCCUCUCAAUAUUCAAUUUAGGAGGACGCUAGCGGAAACCGUUGGGAAGCAUGGCUCCAUCUUGUGAGAAGAUUGAUAAAAGUUCAACUGUCUCAACAGUCCAAUCAGUUGUGCUGGAAACUAACUAAGAAUGGAGAGUUUUCGGCUAAAUCCAUGUAUUUGGAUGUUAUCAACUCUAGUGCUAUUCCUUGUUCGAAACAUGUUUGAAAAGUAAAAGUACCUUUAAAAAUCAAAGUGUUUAUAUGGUUUAUGCAUAAACAAGUCAUUUUAACCAAGGAUAAUUUGGCAAAACGCAACUGGACAGGAUCUACGAGGUGUAGUUUUUGCGACCAUGAUGAAUCCAUCAAACACCUCUUUCUUGACUGCCCUUUGGCAAAAAAAAUUAUGGCGGAUGGUACACAUAGCAUUUAAUAUUACUCCGCCGAAUACUAUCAACACGUUAUUUGGGACGUGGCUAGACGGGAUAGAUUCCGAAACAGCGAGACACAAUCGUGUAGGAGUAUGUGCUUUAUUAUGGGCAGUCUGGAACUACAGAAAUGAUUUGGUCUUUAACAAAACAACAAAUAUUCAUUUUUUUGCAGGUUAUUUUCCGAGCCACUGCGUUGAUCCGUAUGUGGUCGCUACUCACUCCGACGGAGGCCAGGGAGCGUAUGGUUACUGGAUCUACCCGAUAGGAGAUGGUAGCACAGGAUAUUUUCAACCGGUUUGGAUGGCGUUCAUGUAAUAGGAUAGGCAAUUAGUGAUCCUAUCUUUUUAUGCCAGCCGAUUGUGGCUUUUAUAUUACUUUUUAGCUCUUUGUGAGCCUUUUUCGUUCUUUGAUCGAGACAUGAAGACUUGUGUUGAACCUUUUGGUUUUUAAUAAUCUUGGUCGUAUGCAUCGUAUACAUCUUUUAAUAAUCUUUUGUUCCCCUUCAUUUGGCUAUAGUCUGCUUGCAAUGAGUAAACACUGAACUUGUUUACGCCGUGAGUUUCAACUGUCUUCUUUCCUAACAAAAUUGCCCAGUAAGCGAAUCUGUUUGUACUAUAUGUAGAUAGAUGCAAUUGGAAGAACAGAGCACUGAAGGGGAAUGUCCACUGAUGUACCUUCAGUCCUGCAUGACCGGUGCCACUCCACGGCCUCAACAGUGAUUUGCCUCCAGGCGUUUAACGGGGCUGGAAGUCUAGAAAUGGUAUAUCAUGGCAUGAAGCUUAAUGGUCUCAAAAGACGUACGGGAGGCCUGAACAAUGUCUCAGUAGAUCCCCCUCCUCUGUGAAUCUGUGAUAGGCUCUAGUCUUUCUUACCAGUACCAGGUGCAGGACAAGUUCUAGGCUAUUCGACAUCUGCAAAAGCUUGGACAUGAAAGAGUUGAUGACGCCCCUGGAAUAUAUCUACUACAAGAUCUGAUCAGGAUCGUUCACAUAUUGUCAAGCAAUAACACACAACCAUGCACGCUGGGGCUCUCGAUAUUCAGAUUUCUGCCAUUUCUACACUUUGCAAGUAUGCAAGCAUGAGAAACACAUAUGUAUCUACUGUCGUUCAGAUGUACUAGUCGAAAUGCAGCUUAAUCUUCUUUGACGUCUACGGUGUUACUUUCUUUGGAACAACGUUCUCUCCAACUGAUCUUCCACAUCUGGAGCAAACUUACCCUGCUAAGGAUAUUCAAUCUGGUGAAUUUGUUGUCGACAGUACGUACCCUGCUAAGGACAUAGAAAAAAAAUAUUAGUCACACGGGUACAGAUAUGCAAGGCUUCAUACAUUACAUAUCCCAGGACUGUUCAAUCUGGUGAAGUUGUUGUCGACACUACGUACACAGGACGAAUGCGAACAUGGAUUCUUGGAAGAGAACCAGAGUUUGCAUAGAUAUAUAGAAGCAUAGCAUGAAAAGUUUGCUAAGAACUUUUUUUGAUAAAGGAUGGAUUUUAUUGACUCAAAAUGAAGCAUCAAGCGGAUACAAACAUAAUGCGUACACAUCCGGCCUCUGCAUAGAUAGGAUGCGCAUAACCAACACCAACACCAUCUCACACACACAAAACUAAAUUCUUCGGCAAAUAGUAAAGUCAUACAAGACCAAAGCUAUGCCCAGCGAGAAAAAAAAAAGACCCCAAAACGAUCAAAACCAUAAUCAACAAACUAUAGCAACAACCAUAUGCGCACCUGCAGCCAUAUCUUCACAACACAAGUACAAUGAGGUUCUUCAAUAGCAACGCCUUCAGGAAGGAAAAGACGAUCAAGCGUCACCGUUACCAGAUCCAAGCACCAAAGGCUAAGUUCUAGGUUUUCACCUUGAAGAAAAAGUUUGAGCAUAUCCGGGCAAUGCCUUCAACAAGAAAACGAUGUAAAACAAUCGUCAUUGCCAAGUAUAACCAACAUGGGUCAGGCCUAGGUUCUCACCUUGGAACUCAAGACCGAGUACUCAACAAGCACCAAUGCAUUGAAGUAAAUCAUGUAUUGUGCCACCACUUUUCCGCGAUCCCAACAGCUGCAUUCGCUGGGCUAGAAUCCCAUUGUCGCCGAGCAAGGUUCCGAUCAUGGAAAAAAAUACCAAUAAAUGCAGAUGUCUUGUUCUGAUAUCAUUCUAGUAAUAGAAGUGAACAAAAAAAUCCUCGCAGAGAGAGGAAGCAUCAAAAUUAUUGUCGCAUAUUUUAGCAACAACCUCAUAGUUCAAUUCUGACACGUUAUUUUGAGAGCUCAAUCCCGCCUAAGAUUCGAGUCUUUGGCAAAAAAACUCGCCUUUGAAGCACUAGGUAUGCAACAUAAUCGCUGGAGAAGGAACUUGGUGGCCUUGCCAAUCUGUAAUAUUUGUGGUUUAGAACAGGAGGACAGUGAUGAGACAUGCGAAAGCAAAAGCACUUCGACAUGAGAUGCAGAAGUUCUAGGAGCUGCCGGUUGAAUCCGAUUUAGUUCGCUCUGGUCUGGAUUGGGUCCUGGUAAUAUUGGAUAAAUGCAAUGAAGAUACGAGAGAAAAGUUAUUUUUCUUAUGGAUGAACCAGGAAAUCUGAAGCAGUUUAAAAUAAAGCCCGGUAAAGAAUUAAAUGAAAGAGGCCUAAGAGAUGGAAUGGUAAAAGCUAAAUGUGGAUGUGAUCGUGAAUAUAGGAAAGGGUACUGCAGCUCUGCGCUGUGCUCAGGGUGACAGUGGCAAGGUCUGGUGAUCGUGCUGGGGCCUAUUCGCUAUUGCACCAAUGUCCAUCACUAGAUUUAGUUUGAAUGAUGUUGUGUGGUGGGUAAUGUUUCACUCAGUCCCAACCUGCGUGUUGGAUCGGGUGAGACAAGAUUGUAAUGACUGCGUGUUCCAUUAAGAAAUAUACAUACAAUUUUGAUCAAAAAUAAAUAAAUAUACUUAAGCAUCAGCGGAAUGGUAAUAUUAUCCAUUAUAUCGUGCUAUUGCAAUGAUGACAACUGAAGAGUUGUCUUGUGUGUAUGCAUCUUGUUGUUUGUGCUGACAAAGGGAACAGUGUUCAUAAAGCGCAUGUUGCCCAUAGAAGAACAAAAUAAUGGAGCAAUUCAACAUCUAUCUGCCAUGGGUUGUUGAAAAACAAACAAUGGUAGUUGAACAGAGGAAGCGCACAUCAUUCUCAGUCAAGGGCUGGCUUUGGCAUUCUUUACACUACACCUCCGACCACCUCCGGUGUCAUUUCGCAAAUUCCGUGAAGCAAAAUUUGCUCGUUAUAUUGGUUUACUCUAAUAUCUUGGUAAUAAAAGGGUGUGGAUUAUCAACUGUUUCACCCACCCAACAAAGGGCCUCCAGUGAACUAACCUGUGGUUGAGAUGGUUAGGUGGACAGUGGUAUCCCCAACCCACCAGGGUUCAAAUUCUGGUGUUCGCAUUAUUCCUGGAUUUAUUUCAGGAUUUCCGGCGAUGCGCUUUCAGUGAGAGGAGACGUUCCCGUCGACGACGAGGCGCCUACGGUGACUUCUUAAAUCUCAAGAUGAUAUGCCGGCUCAGUCUCUCGGAAGUGCUCAUAGGGGUAGGUGUGCGUGUGUGUGUUCAUAGGGAUGAGUGUAUGCGCGUGUAUAUGAGCGCUUGUGUCCGUACUGAUGCUAAAAAAAAAAGGGCCUCCAUAUAUGCAUUGUGUCAUUGUGUGGCGGUCAAAAAAGCUCCACGGGUCAUUAUAUUGCCAUGAUUAUUUGCAUUACUAUCGCAUGGUGGAUCGCCAUGCUUAUGGUGUUGUGUGGAAUUGUAGUUUGUACUCGCUAGAAUCGCCCCUUCACGUCUGUCGAAAAGGAAACAUGGAACUCUGAAAUCUGGAUACAGAUCUCACAGUCCAUGGCAAUAGUUGCAUGACAAAAUAGGGGAAGUGGUUAUGUACCUGUAUCUCAAAUCGUUGACGCAAUAAUCCCUCUUGUGCAGCUAUUUCUCUGUGAAUUUGUUCAGUUGUGUUUUGCUCCAGUACUCUGAUUGCUAUUGUGGUGUUAGCUGUAGGAGGCACCCUUUCUUAGCUUUUCUUUAUUUUGCUCUAGAACCUUGCUCGUUACUGUUGAUGUUAAACAUGACAUGUUUGUAUUGCUAUUCCUAUCUUCCUUAGCCUUGUAUAGUUGACUCCUAGAGAUAUGGUAGGAUUAGUUUUAUUGUCACGCAAGACAUCCUGUGUAUAUGUUGUGACCGACUCCAUGGAAUACCAUUGAGUUGCACCGCAUAUUCUUUCUACGUGGUAUCAAUUUUACCGCGAUCUCCUCUCGCUUCCGCAACCCGCAGCCGCCGCACCCUCCCGUAGCCGCCGCUGCCGCCAACUCCAAACCCUAACGCCGCCACCGCCGCUACCUCUCCCGUAGCCGCCGCCGCCGCCUCCUCCUACCCAAAACCCUACGCCGCCGCUGCUCCCUUCUCCCCAAACCCUAGUGCCGCCGCCGCUGUUCUUCUACAGCCGUCACCACCCCUUCCCUCGGCCACCACCCAAACCCUAAGCCGCCGCCGCUACUCUCUUCCUCCUGUAGUCGCGUCCGCCCCCUUCCCAUCACCCGACGCCACCAUGUCCCGCUCCAAGGCCGACCCAUCCGACGCUGGUUCUUUCGUCGGUGCCAUGUUCAACUCUGACUGCCUGAACGAGCUUCACAUCAAAGACCACGUACCUGUCAUCCUCGACCUCAACUCGCCAUCCUACAACGCGUGGCGCACCUACUUCGCGAUGUUGUUCCGCUCUUACCGUCUCAUCGAGCAUGUUGACAGGAGCGUCGACUUCCGCGACAUGAAGGACGACGACGAGUGGCUUGCUGUGGACGCAUGCAUCGUCAAGUGGCUCCUCCUCACCAUCUCCGGCGGCCUCUUCAACAUGGUGAACUCCCGUGACCCGUCGGCGUACGCUAUGUGGACGCAGCUGUGUGACCUUUCCUCGACAAUCAACUCCAACACCACGUCUUCCUUCAAGGGGAGUUCUUCACUAUGCAACAAAAUGAUCUUUCGAUCGAUGAGUAUUGCACGCGGCUGAAGGUUCUCGCCGACGAGCUGCGCGACAUCGGCAUGACCAUCGACGACUCCGUCUCCUCACCAACCUCCUUUGCGGCCUCCACCCUGACCUUGGCCAGUCCGCCGCCAACCUCUCUCUCGUCACGUCGACGUACGUGAAGGCAGUCACGUACCUUCGCAUGGAGGAGAAGCGCCUCCAUCACUCCGCCCGGCAGGCGCCCCACGCCGCCCUUCACGUCGGCCUCGCCGCUGGCCACGGCACUCCUCCAGCCCCGCCAGCGCCGCGCGCGCCUGGUCCCACCCCGCCACCCACGCCCGCGCCCUCUCGUGGCCGCAAGCAGAAGGGCCGCGGGGGUCGGGGCCGCAACGCCAACACGGCGCAGCGACCUCCCGCGACCAACGCGGCUGCUCCCCCUUCGUCGUGGCUCUCCGGGUACAAUCCCUGGACGGGAGUCGUGCAUGCUUACUCCAUGCCCGUCCCCUGUCCCCCUGCUUCGGGCAUCCUCGGGCCACGGCCGAUCUCUCAUCCGGCACUGCUGACCGCACCGGCUCCCGCGGCAUACGUCAACGCCGCGGCCUACGGUGGCACCUCGGCUUACGGCGGUCCUCCGGGCUAUGGCGCAUAUGGUGGCGCCCCUCCAGUCUACGACCCGGCGCUCCUCUCCGCCCUUCAUGUUGCACCCUCGCCGAGCACCUACAACGGAGGCGGCGAUUGGUACAUGGACACCGGCGCCGCUGCUCACAUGGCCUCCAACCCCGGUAUCCUCUCCCGUGCCUCCCCCUAUCCCUUCAACUCUCGCAUCGUGGUUGGUGAUGGCUCCUCUCUUGCCAUCACUCAUCACGGUUCAUCCUCCCUUUUGUUUCCCUCUUCAUCUUUAACUCUAAAUAAUGUGCUUGUUUCACCAUCCUUAAUCAAAAACCUAUGCUCUGUUCGUACUCUUACUCGUGAAAAUCAUGUCACUGUUGAGUUUGACGCUCUUGGUUUCUCUGUCAAGGAUGCUCGCUCCCGGAGGGUUCUGCACCGAUGUGAUUCCCCCGACGAUCUCUACCCAUGUGGUCCUACGAUGAGUGGUAGUCCGGUUGCUCUUCAUGUCGAUGUCUCGCUUUGGCACGCUCGACUUGGUCAUCCCGGCGCCGACGCUCUUCACAAAAUUUUGAGCACCUUUUCCUUUUCAUGUAAUAAAUCGGCGGCUCAUACAUGUCAUGCUUGCCGCAUCCGAAAACACGUUCGCUUUCCGUUUCCUUCAUCUACAUCAAUAGCUACUUUUCCUUUUGAUGUUAUUCAUUGUGAUGUUUGGACAUCUCCAGUGCCUAGCAAUUCGGGCUUAUAUUAUCUUGUGAUUUUAGAUGAUUUUUCUCAUUUCACUCGGACUUUUCCGCUACACCGUAAAUCCGACGUCGCCUCCACCCUCCACUCCUUUUAUGCUUACGUCCACACCCACUUUCAUCACACCAUUGCUCACCUUCAAACGGAUAACAGAAAAGAAUUUGAUAAUCUCGCCAUUCGACAUCUUCUAUGCACCCACGGCACUGUUUUCCGCCUCACAUGUCCAUACACCUCCCAACAAAACGGUCGUGUCGAACGUGUCCUCCGCACCCUCAAUUAGAGUGUUCUUGCGUUACUCUUUCAUGCACACAUGACUGCCCGAUUCUGGUCAGAUGCUCUUGCUACUGUCAUGCUUCUCCUCAACAUCCGGCCUUGCAAACCCCGAUGGAGCUACACACCUCAUCAUCUCUUGUUCGGCUCUCCUACAUCCUAUGAUGACCUUCACAUCUUUGGUUGUUUAUGUUACCCCAACAUUACCGCCUCCGCUCCCCACAAACUUGCACCUCGGUCUCUUGCUUGUGUGUUUCUUGGCUAUCAACCCAACACCAAAGGCUUUCGUUGCUACGAUCCCGUCUCUCUUCGCGUAUUUGUCUCGCAACAUGUUUACGUUGAUGAGGUUGUCUUCCCUUUUGAGCGGGUUACUUCGGCAGCGGCGACCCCUUUGGAGACCGCCCCGUGACGGUCGCGUGGCGCCCUUGCCUACCCACGCCGCAGCUGCCUGCUGAUUCGGCGGCACGUCCGGGUCUCUCGCCGGCUACGGCGCACCUUGCCUCGACUCCGUCGGCUCAAGAGGAGCCGGUCUCGUCUCCGCUGGCUUCGGCACGAGCUCAUGCAGGACCAUCGGCGUCCUCAUCGCCAUCUCCUGUUCGGCCCUCGGCCGUCUCUUCGGCCACGGCGUUGCUCCCGGCUGCGUCUCCGGCGCCUUCUACGCCAGCUGCUGCCUCGCCUGCCGGCUCGUCGUCUCCACAUGCGGUCUCACCCGCUGGCCCAGCUUUGCCACCCGCGGCUUCGUCGCCACCGCCUUCCGGUGUCUCACCCGCGGUCGCCCCCGCGGCCUCACCCGCGGUCGCCCCCGCGGCCUCACCCGCGGUCUCGUCACCGCCGCCCUCUGUGGUGGUCGCCUCGUCGCCCGCGGACCCCUCUGCGGCUUCGUCUUCGACGUCGUCUGCACCCGCGGCUGUGGCUGCCGCUCCGCCUCGACAACGGCCUCACCUCCCGCCUCCGCCACCUCAUCACUCUAUGGUGACGCGUGCUAAGGACGGGAUUCACCAGCUGAACCCCCGCUACCACAACCUCAGUGUCACGGUCAUCUCUCUGAUACCGCGCUCGGUGCACUCUGCAUUGAGUGACCCGCACUGGCUCGCGGCCAUGCGCGCUGAGUAUGAUGCUCUCGNNNNNNNNNNNNNNNNNNNNNNNNNNNNNNNNNNNNNNNNNNNNNNNNNNNNNNNNNNNNNNNNNNNNNNNNNNNNNNNNNNNNNNNNNNNNNNNNNNNNNNNNNNNNNNNNNNNNNNNNNNNNNNNNNNNNNNNNNNNNNNNNNNNNNNNNNNNNNNNNNNNNNNNNNNNNNNNNNNNNNNNNNNNNNNNNNNNNNNNNNNNNNNNNNNNNNNNNNNNNNNNNNNNNNNNNNNNNNNNAUUUCGGCAUAAACUUCUACCGGAUGGCACUCUGGACAAGUACAAGGCUCGUUGGGUGGUUCGCGGAUUUGCACAACGUGCCGGCGUUGACUUCUUGGAGACAUUCUCCCCGGUUGUUAAACCCGCCACGAUUCGUGUCGCUCUUCAGCUCGCCGCCUCUCGACACUGGCCAGUUCAUCAGCUUGACAUCAACAACGCCUUUCUCUACGGUCACCUUCAGGAGCGUGUUCUUUGUCAGCAGCCAGCUGGUUUUGUUGAUCCCACUCGGCCUAAUGAUGUCUGCCUGCUCUCACGGUCUCUCUACGGUCUGAAGCAGGCGCCUCGUGCGUGGUAUCAACGCAUUGCAGCAUUCCUCACUGCUCUCGGUUUUCGCAGCACCACCUCCGACACAUCACUAUUUGUGCUUCAUCGAGCUGAUCAUGUCGCCAUGCUUCUUCUAUAUGUUGACGAUAUCUUCAUCACCGCCUCUCGUGCGGACUUACUUCGCGAGAUUAUUGGUCGUCUCGGUUCUGAGUUUCGGCUUAAGGACUUGGGCGCACUGCACUUCUUCCUCGGUAUCAAUGUGCGACGUGACUCUUCCGGAUUCUUUCUUCAUCAAGGACAGUAUGCUCUUAAUCUAUUGGAUCGUGCUGGCAAGACCGACAGCAAACCUGCUGCUACUCCUGCUGAGGCCAAGCCGAAGCUCUCUGCCACUGCUGGACAACUUGCCACUGACGCCGCUCUCUACCGCAGUAUUGUUGGUGCUCUUCAGUACCUCACGCUCACCAGACCAGACAUUCAGUUUGCCAUGCAGCAGGUUUGCCUGCAUAUGCACUCGCCUCGUGAUGUUCACUGGUCUUUGGUCAAGCGCAUUCUUCGGUACAUCUGCGGCAAACCGACCUUCGGUCUUCGUCUCCGUGCCUCCGCCUCCACCGAGCUGUUUGCUUACACUGAUGCGGAUUGGGCCGGUUGUCCUGACACUCGACGAUCUACGUCGGGAUAUUGUGUCUUCUCCGGCGACUCUCUCAUCUCAUGGUCCUCUAAACGGCAGCCCACCAUCUCCCGCUCGAGUGCUGAGGCCGAGUACCGUGCCGUUGCCAACGUUGUUGCCGAGACAUGUUGGCUACGUCAACUACUUGGCGAACUUCGGGUCUCGGUCCCGAAAGCUACGGUGCUUUUCUGUAAUAAUGUUUCGGCCACCUAUCUCGCGACCAAUCCGGUGCAGCAUAAGCCCACCAAGCACAUUGAACUUGAUGUUCAUUUUGUCCGCGAGAAGGUUCAGUUGGGUCAGCUCCGUGUUCUUCAUGUACCGACCACCCAACAGUUUGCCGACAUUAUGACCAAGGGGCUUCCAACCGCUGCAUUUCAGGAGUUCCGUUCCAGUCUUUGCAUCGCCUACACCAAUGCUUCGACUGCGGGGGGGAGUUGAACGUGACAUAUUUGUAUUGCUAUUCCUGUCGUCUCUAGCCUUGUAUAGUUGACUCCUAGAGAUAUAGUAGGAUUAGUUUCCUCGUCACGCAAGACAUCCUGUGUAUAUAUUGUGACCGACUCCAUAUAAUACAAUUGAGUUGCACCGCAUAUUCUUUCUACAGUUGAGAUAGCUGAACGCCGCCGUUUUUGGUCAUAUUAAACAAUACGAAAAGAUUAUACCGUGUGCAUUGUUGUUUGUUUAUUUUUGGUUGUGACAGACAUUCUUGUUGAGAGAUGUCACUGGUUUGCAUCUAGGCACAUACAACACCAGACCUGCGAAGCGACCAUGCAUCUGCGUCGUCGGUAUUGCUCCUGGUUGUUGUGCUUGGUUGUGCCACCACCGCUGGUUGUUGUGCCUGGUUGCUUUGUUGUCCAUCCUCUAUUUGUGUCGGUUGUUGCUGCCAUCGAGCUUGGCUACCUCUGAUCUUCUCAUGCUUCUGCUACUGCUUACUGCUCUGGUGCCUUUUCCACUACUGCAUAUUGUUGUGUCAGAUCAUCGUGGAUUGCACUUGCACGGUUGCACCUAAUGAACUGGACAAUACAAGGAGUAACUCGAUUGAGAGCUGACAACAACCAUGGUACGUGUUACAGCCCUGUAAACUGCCAAAAGCUCAUCUAAACAAAAUCUGAUGAAGGCCACAACCAUUAAUCUUCCUGGGAAAAUUUCAAGGUUCUCCAUGAGGAUAAAAAAUGAUGAAGCACGCUCCCCUUGAUGGGGUAUAUAGCAUGAUGAAUCGUGAGUGGUGAUGUGGAGUAUCCUCCGCAACAUAUUGUCAGCAGCAGCGAAAGCCAUGGUGAUUGGUCAGACUGUGAAAGCCUCCGCAACAUUCUAACUAUUGUGAACCUUGAUCCACCAAAAUGCAUGACCGCAAGGGAUUGUGCAAACAUAGGUUUAGAUGAGAGAACAACUUGGGAAACAGAUUGAUUGUUCUUGCCUGCACAAUUUCGUAAUGGACUUUUAGGAUACUUCAUGCUCAUGGACUUUUAGGAAUCUCAACAUAUAUCCCUCGGUUAUCUAUCAGAGAAACACAAGUGAAUGGCACAGUCGGCUAUCCCUCGUCGGUUCAGCAAUCACCGAGAGUAAAAUAUGAGGUAAAUGGUCUAAACAAAGCCCCUGGUUGAACUAAAUUGCAGUAAACAGUAACUAAAGCAAUAAGCCAAGUAAGCCAUUGGAUCUCGCCAUCACACGUGCACCGUUGGAUAACCUACUGCACCCAUCGUGAAUAAAGAGUAUGAAAAAAUUCGCCAAAACUUACUUCCUUAGAUUAAUUAGAAGUAGAAGCGAUUAUCUUCUAAACUAUCCUGCAUUUUACCCCAAAAUCUGACAAAUCCCUUGUCGGUUUUUCGAUGAGUUCCUUCCCAUUGUUCCGGUCCAAGCACCCCUCCCAUGCCUCUAUUGGCUCUUCUCCGAUGUUGGCUCAACAGGGGCAGGUCCAUCUAUUGCCUCAAAAAUUCAGUGAAGCAAAAUAUGCCUUUUCUAUUGGUUUACUCUAAUAUCUCAGAAACAAAGAUCAUGGAGUAUGGACCGUUUCACCCAGCCAACACAAUGUAUGCAUUGUGUGGUGGUGGCAAAACUGCCGCUUGCUUAUAAAUAGUGUCCAUUCCCCUGCUACAGAAGACCAUCGGUCAUCAUAUUGCCAUGGUCAUUUGCAUUACUAUGGCAUGGCAGAUCAUCAUGCUUAUUGUGUUACACAAAAAUGCCAUUUUUAUUGCUGGAAUCAGCCGUAUACCUCAAUCAAAAACAAUACAUGGGAACCUGAAAUCAGAAUCUAGAGUUCCCAAUUCAUGGCAACAAUUGCAUGACAAACCGGGGGAAAUCUGGGUCCAUAGCUCCCGCUUCUAUAUCGCUGUUAUGUGCCCCUUUAUCCCAAAUUGAUGAUGCACCCCUCCUUAUUCUGUGCUAAAAAUCUGAACCGUUUUUUCUUUUGAAAGAGUAAGAAACCUGAACUAUCCAUCACUUAGACAGGCAAGCAAAUAAAUUAUCGUGCACACACGGAAGAUGUCAAGCCCAUAUCAUGCAGCUUAAUGAACUCCGAAGAGCAGCAACAACUGAAGCAGAUGCAGUCUCUGAUUGGAGGUUCCUAAAAACUAACACAAAGAGUUAAUGAGGGCACUGAUAUACAUUUUUCCUCCCUGUACAAGAUUUGAUCAGGAACAACCACAUACGAACGUCGAUUAGCAGGCAAUAAUACACAACUGUGCAUGCAGGGGCUCCUGAUAUUCAGAUUGAUGUUAUUUUUACACUUUAGGAGUACAUAUGAAAAAACACAUAUCUACUGUUGUUCAGACGUAGUUGAAACUGCAGCAUAAUCAUAUUUGACAUCUACAGUGUUGCUAUCUUUGGAACCGCGUUCUCUCCAACUGAUCUUCCACAUCUGGAGUAAGCUUACCCUGCAUGACAGAGGAAAAAACAUUAGUCACACGGAUACAUAGAUACAAGGCCUAUUCAAUGUGGUGAUGUUGUUGUCAAAACUACAUACACAUGAUGAAUGCAAACAUUGAUUUGUGGAAGCAAACCAUAGUACUAUUAUUAGUUUGAAUAAACAGAAGCACAUCAUGAAAAGUUUGCUAAGAACUACCUGUGCAAGUUUCGGUUCAUGUUAUAAACACCAACAAUUUAACUGCAGAUGUGUUAUUCUGAUAUCAUUCUAGUAACCAAAGUGAACAAAAACCAACCUCAUAAAGAGCGAAAACAUCAAAAAUUUGGUAAAGCAGUGGAAUGGCAAUAUUAUUGAUAUUUGGUAACACUUGGUGUAUUUGUAUGCUCAAAGCAGAGCGAGCAAUAUCAACAUCGGAUUAAAGUGGUUCAAUCGAACUAAAACUAUACAAAAACAUACUCAAGCGAUGCAUUGAGUAAGCUGACGUAUACCUGCCAGGUUCAAUUGUCCUCUUUGCCAACAUAAGAGUCAAGAAAACAGGUACCAUCGCGGCACAUAGAUGUUUAAGAGUAUGUCCGCUAACAAUGUCAUGUGCCCACCGAUAUAUAGGUUUGUCCGCAGCCUCUUCUACUUUGGCAAGAAGGUAAAAUCCUGAAAUCAAUUUAAAAAAUAAGAACAGUAGUAUCUUUGCGCUUAGAAAGCCCUCGCAAAAAAUGUGCUUACAAGAAAUGCUUGCAGUGGCCUAAGUUUAAAUUGCGCCUAAAUAAAUGCUUCUGCAUAACUUAUUCUUGUAACAACUCCAUCAAAGGCCAACAACCGGAAAACAGCAAUUCAUACACAUUUAUAUUAGUUGGACUGUUGACUGUUUUAUAAAUUUCUAGGUAACAGCAGACAUAACUGGGGAAACAGAAUCAUCUUGGCACCGGUCAAUGUUAUUGAGAGAAUAAGAACAUAAGAAGGGGAACAGUACAACUUCUAGUGAGUUUUCUAUGAAUUUCAAGGUAACUAUGGUUUAUAACCAAGCAUCGUGAGUACAUACUGCAAAAAUAAAAAAGGUAUCACCAGUUCUUAUGCUGGAGAAAACCGACAGUCAAAUAACCCAGUACAUUAACGCGAAUCACAUAUAGUUAUCUACACAAAUAAUGGAACUGCAUACACCCUGGUGAUAUUGAGCGACAAUAACACUAACCUGCUGCCCACAACCAGUAGCUUGAAUGUGUAUGUAGAAAUUAUAGGAUCCCUAAUAUUGUGUUGUACUGAUCUGAUCCUCGUGAGGGAUUAUAUAGAGUACAUGAUGGGGUAGAGACUUGGAGUACAAGACAAAAAAUUACUAAUUCUAUCUCUAACUCAAACGCAUUAUACUUCUAACAUUCCCCCUCAGUCGUAGGGAGUGAAGCGGACUAUUGCGACUGAAUUUGAAGUCUUGCACUUCUGUCGUCUUCUCCGCCGCGCCAUCAUCAACUGCGUCUCUGAUGGGUUGACACUUAGGGCGGUGACUGUGUCCCCUUCUGGUGCCUUCCUGCCUUCUUUAUUCCCUCCCGCAGCCACAGCGGGAGUGGCGUGGACGCUGGUGACGACGCGGACGCUGUUGACUGGAGUUGUUGGCGAUGUGUUGCUGUAGACGUAGUCGUGUGGUCGAUGCUGAGGUCGCCGAUCGUGAUGUAGCCGUGGUUGAAGUAGUCAUGGUCGAUGGUAUAGUCGUCGUGGAUGAUGAAGCCGCACAAAGCCGGGGGCGCAAAAAAAAUGAGCGAUGUUGUAGAUGACGGAGCUGCAGUCGUGUACGAUGCACCUUGCAGAUGUCAAAGGGUGCCGUCGGCGAUGAAUCCACCGGUUUUGCCAGGACCGGAGGAAACCCAUCGAGCACACAUUGGUUUGGCCAGGACCAUGUGGCCAUAUAGGGGUCAUCACUAUGGUGAUGCCAUGUCGAUGCAGUCAUGCCGUCGUAGAUGACGCAGUCAUGCCGUCGUAGAUGACGCAGUCGAUGCCGUCGUCAUGAAACGGUCAUUGCCGUCGUCGAGGUCGCGUCUUGCAGAAAAGUCUGUCAGAGGACGCUAGGUGUUCAUCUUGUGGACGUGGCGGCGGCAGUGUGUUGACGAUGAUGACGAUGAAGACCAUGUUGAUAAAGAUCUUGGCGAUGAUGUGUUGGAGAUGUAGCAGCAGGCGUGAAGCAGAACAUCGCUAGGAGGCAUUCCUCGUGGCGACGAUGAUGUAGAUACCUUGCUGCUUGAGAAGUUCGACACCGCCUGCGUGUGGUCGAUGUCGGGUCGUGUAGAUGGGCUCAACGAAGUAGUUUGGCUCGUAGCGUGACCGUAGUCGUACAGCUCCAUGUCAUGGCCGGAUGUCGGUGCAGAUCGCUUGGUGUAUUUGGUCGCUCGGUGCAGAGGCGUCGAUGUUGGUGUGGGUGCAGAAGCGUCGAUGUUGGCUCGCUGAAGACGACGCCGAAGCUGUUCAUUCGGUGAAGUAGCCCAUGCAGACGCGUGCAACGCUCGGUGUGAGUUGGCCCUCCCGUGAUCGCAUGCUGGAGCGGAUGUAGAUGGCCCCUGGAUGGGCACGCGAUGCAUGGAUGGAUGCAUGCAUGCUCCUGGUCUCCAAGGUUGUGUUUGGUAGAUAUUCGCACCCUAGCAUAGUUGUUCUCCUUUGAUACAUGCUUAGUCUAGACAUGUUGAGUACAUGCAACUGCAGCUGUUUGGUAGCAAUAUAUGUAUCGAUGCAUGCUGAGCUGAGACUGUGUUUGGUAGCCUGCAUCAGAAAAGACAUCGUGUGCUGAGACGGUGUUUGGUAGACUGCAUGAACGGAUAUUUUGCCAUAUGUUCGAUGAGAAAAUUUAAACAAUUCAAGCAAUAAAACAUUACUAUGCCAACAUAAUCUGAAUGAUGAUAAUGUGAAGAAAAAAAUCAACAAUUAACAUAAGACAUAAUAACCAUGAAUUGUAGCAGUGCAUCACUAGGUUCAUAUUACAUUAGACAUAAUAACCAUAAUUUCUAAUACUGCAUCAGUAGAUUCAUAUUACAUAACCUCAUUCGAAAUACACAUUUUGAGUAGUCCCCUCCUUUCUACCCCUAAAGGCAGCUGAGAUACUUGUUGGGACUCUAGCAAGCACAUGAGUCCCAUCUAUUGCUCCAACACAAUCCUAAUUAAUAAAGACAAAUGGUUGUUAUUCAUAAGUCCCAUCAAUUAUUGUCUUUGUUUGAAUAAAACAUUUACCUUGAAAUAUGGAUUGAAGCGGGUUCUUUCUCGUAUUUUAUGAUGGCAAUGGUUGGAGGGAGGCCGGAUCAUCUCAUCUCUCAACUCCCCAGCAGCAUAAAGCACUGCCUUAAAAUACCUACUAAUAACUUCGAUAGAUCUUCUAAAGAUAGGUCGUAGUGUCUUAUAGCUUUGGUUAUGGCCAACCAUGUAAAGAAACAUGAGAACUUCUUCCUCGAUAGUAGUAUGGAUGCUAUCCAACAACAAAUUUCUUUCUCUAAAUAUAGCACACAAACGGAAAAAUGGAGAUUUUCUCAUUCUGAGUUGAUUUGAACAAUUUAUGUCACUAGAGUGAUAAACGUAUCUCAAAUUUGACUCUCUAGAUAUGGCACGAUCGGCCAUGCUGCCCAAGGUUAUCCUUGGUUUUUCUUGCCUAGAUCUUCUAAACAUGACCAUCAUGUAAGCAUACAAUCCAGCCACUAGACCGGCUCCUCUCACAAUUAGGGUGCGUUUGGAUCUGAGGCAAGAACUAAACUAGCCUCGCUAGGCAAGGUCAGGUGUUUGGUAUGGACAGAAAAAUCUAGCUUUUGAUGGCAAUUAAGCCUGUAACCGCUGUCAAAACCUUGCUCACGGAGGAGAGCCAAUUCGGCUCGCUCGUGCGGGCAAGCCAACAGGCACAAAAACAGCAACCCCACUUCCCUGUACACCCGUAACAUAACUCCCUCAUCCAUGAGUCAUGGUCCACGAUGCACCUCUUCUAUUCGAAUUGUCUUCAGGUGCUGCUAUCCGGUGUACAGCUCAUUGCAACCAAACAGCCAGGUUUGCUCUUACGAGCUCUUGCUCACACCAGCUAGGAAAAUCUACCCCAGCUAAGCAAGGCUAGCUAAUGAACCAAACGCGCCCUUAGUUGCCUUCUUUUUCUUGCCAAUUCAUCCAUCUAUGACAAUACAAACAAAUAACAGGAAACUUAGCACACUAUAAUUUUUUCAGCAUGACAAGCAAUGAACAGAAGAUAAAUAGUUCAAUAAAUUCCUUCAUGCAUAAAAUUUUGUCUUAACCAUAGUAGGAUCUCUCUACAGAAGAUAGACAGUAAAUACAAUCAAAUUAGCAUAUUACAAUUAACCAUACUCGGCUUUGUUUCUCUGUACUGCAACAAGGGCUCUUCCAUGUUCAAGUUCGGGAGCCGAGGCAGGGGUAGGGGAAGGAGGAGAGGAGGAAGGCGGGGGGAGGGAAUGAAGGGUCGGAUCUGCUACCUCUCCCGUGUGAGGAUCCACUCCGGCGGCGGCGGCGAGUUGAGGCCGGCCAGGAGCAGGGGCGGGCCGGCGACGAGUGGAGGACCGGCCAGGCGCAGGGGCGGGGCAGUGGCGAGGUAGAAACCUUCAGCACGGCGGCGGGGGAUUGAUGAAGGAGUGGACCGGCGGCAGGCGGGCGCUGGCGGCUAGGUUAGGAUGGGGUCGCGCGAAGGGAGGGGGGAGGGGGUCGCGCGAGGGGAGGGGGCCGGGUGGUCGUUCGAGGAAAGUGGGUCGGGGGAGAUUUUUCUCCUGCGCGGUCUCAGCCUCUUGAUAACCUCGGUGGGCCGGGUGGUCGUUCGGCAGGCCUGUGUGCGGUGCUUGGACUCGGCUAUGCUAAGGCCCUUUUAUGCAUCGGUUCGACUAUGCCCAAGGGAGCCCAUAGAGUCUACCAAACAAAGAAAAGUGGGUCGGAUAGAGAAUUUUUUGGGCAUAUAGACUCUCCACGCAUGCUACCAAACCACCCCUAGAUGCCUCUGCUGGCCUUGCCGAGACGUCGAGCCAGCGUGGUUCAUGACUGCGGCCUCGCCUCCGGGCCUGCCCUUGCCUGAGGACACCGCGAACGCGUUUUGGCACACGCAGUUCGCCAGCAGUGGUGAUAACCUCGGUUGCGUGCGUGUCACGGUCACAUCACUGUGCGGACCGCGGCGCGUUGUGGAUGACGGCGGAGCUCAUGUGGAGGGGCAGCCGAUGCGGGUUGACGAAGUAGAGGCCGGCAUCCGGGGCGGCUGUUUGUCGACGCAGAUCGGAUCGAGUCCAUGUGACCCGCCCGGUGUCGAACGGUCGAUGCACUCGUACGCCCGGCUGGUUGCUGACCGCCUGUGGUGUUGAUGUAGAUCGCGUCGGGGAGGUGUCGGGUUGAUGCGCUCGUCCGACGAAGUGGUGCGUCGCUCGGAGUCAAGCGGGCCGUUGUUGGUCGUCGACCCUCUUGGCCUGCGCGUGUAGCGUCCGUAGGACGCGGUCGACCUGCACUCCAAUUUGUUCAGGAAUAUACACCUAACUGGCGGUGAAUCAAGUUAGACCGAUCUGUGCAAUUUGUCACCGGAUUAGCGGGUCGUCGGAUCUUUUUUUGUGGCUAAAAGCAACGAUCUACUGGAUGAUCUCAAAAUUGGAAAUCUAAUUGAUCUAAUAUCUAAGCUAUAGAAACCGAUCCAAUCUUUUGAUCGAUCGGGUGCCGCGGCCCCGAGGAGAGAAGAUUAAUCUCCUCGGGGGCGACGCGCUGCGGAAGUGGUGGAAGAACCUAGGUUCGAUGUCGUGAGACUAACCGCUCUAAUACCAUGUAGAAGUGCAUGCUAUAGCCAAUGCAACCAAAAGACCGAUUUAAUGGAAGAGACUAGGCAGCAUAUUAUACGUCAACAUGGUCAAAACGCGUUCGCGGCGUCCUCAGGCAAGCGCAGGCCCAGAGGCGAGGCCGCAGUCAUCAACCACGCUGGCUCGACGUCUCGGCAACGCCAGCAGAGGCAUCUAGGAGACCAAGAGCAUGCACUUCUACAUGGUAUCGGAGGCAAGAAGUCUUGAGUUCAAAACCUGGCUGGCGCAAUUAAAUUGCAGCCCACUUUCGGUCCACGUUUAGGCCUGAGGGAGCCGCACGUGAGGGGGAGUGUUGACAUAUAAUGUGAUGCAUAGUCUUUUUUAUUAGAUCGGUCUUUUGGUUGCAUUGGCUAGAGCAUGCAUUUCUACAGUGUAUACAUUGGUGGAAUAACUAUAGCCAUGACAGGUAUUACAAUGCAUGGAACGAACUGGAUUAUUGCAUAUGGCCGAAGAUCAUCAAAGAAACUACAUAACAGAGAAGAAAGUUAAGUUAAAGGAAGGAAAUAUUUCUGAGAGAAGUACAGAUAAACAAUCGAAAGAUCUUGCCUACCUCCAAUACAGGAUGCACAGUGCACCAGCAAUAACAAGGGGUGCAAGGGACUUUGUUCCUGCCCUAUCAUCAACCCUUUCAAUGAUGAAAAUGGCCGUGAUAGACGUGAAAGCAAUCGUCAUCUAGACAAACAAGCCUAUAUGUCAGCGCUUGAAAUAUUUAAAAUCAAGAAAGAAGGAGCAACUCCUAGGGUCUGGCGACUAUACAGUGUGUACAUGUCAUGCGCCAAGCUAGGGACUAUAUAUUAGAGGAGAUGGUGUAAAUAUCAUGAUGCUGAAUGUUAGAUCUAUGGCACAGAAGAUCUAGGAAAGACUCACAGGCAAUCUGUCCUGAACUUAGGUGGCAUUGUUCGGGUAGAGAUGGUAGUAGGAUGAACCAACACCGACAGCAGUGACACCAGCAAAGAAGAGCGUCCAACUCCAGAGCUCCGCCUGUGAGCUGCCAGCAGGAUCAACAUCAGUCUGCCUCAAACCUCAAUUUGAGUCAGAACAGGAACCAGAAUUGGUAGCGUCAGGUGAGCACCAUAGCCCGGAGUAGUUCUUGUUGUUAGAAGGGAGAGAGGGAUUUGGUGCAAUAGUUCGUUGUAUUGUUUGAGCCUCGUAGGCAUAUAUAUAGGAGUACUUGAUCUACUUAGAGUACAAAAUAAGCCAGAAUACUUCUUAGUCUAUUCUAUGUUUCCAAUACAAUCACGUUACUCAACAUCCCCCCGCAGUCAUAAUGGUAGCGACGCAGAUGGUGAGACUAGAGAAGAAUCCGAAGGCAAGCCGACGGACCACCCCCCACAGUCGUAACGGUCGACACAUCGCGGAAGGCAUGGCUGGAGUGAAAACCGACGAGGUUGCUCAAGCAAGGCGAUAGCCCUUUGUGACGUUUGUCGAGGUAGCCGAGAGCGUGAGUGGUGUAGCAGUGGUCGAGGUAGCCGUGCGAAGAACGCCGUGGUCGAUGUCGAGUCGGAAUGGCCGGUGUCGAGGAAGUCGCCGUGGAGCCACGGGCGCAAGGAGGCGCCGAGUUAGUCAUGGGCGUAGUGGUGUCGAAGUAGUGGUGUGCUGGGAAGAAGACGUUGUUGACGACGCGUCGCGCCAAGUUUGCUAAGCCCAGGGACACAUUGUGGACGAAGGCACGCAUCGGUGUUGCCAGCACCGGUCAUGCGUAGACGAACGAAGACGAAGUUGACGAAGCGCCGCACCAGGCUUGCCAGGCCCGGGGAAACAUCAUGGACGAAGGCAUGCAUCGGUGUUGCCAGCACCGGGCAUGUGUAGACUGGGACCUGCACGAGUUGUACGCCAUGUCGGAGAAGUCGGAGAGGCCAGCAGAGAAGGACUCGACGGCGGUUGCGGCGCCAAUCGGCGCGGGGCUGUUGCCGCCCGUGGUUGUCGGAGUAGAUGAAGUGGUCGGGGUAGAUGACGGCGAUGCUGGCGACGGGCUGGUUCUGGACGAAGACGAAGGAGGUGGACGGGCGGCGGCGGCUAGGGGGUAGCGGCGGCGGCGGCCGAAGAAGCGCGGCGGCGGCGGCGGCUUGGUUAGGAGCGCGACGGCGGUGCUCGAUGGAGGGAAGGAACCCGAUAGUGUGACGAAGACCGGCGCGGACGGUGGCGUUCCCGGGCCGAGGGAGACGACGCGGCGCAUACCACGGGAGGUCGACGCGCGGUGACGGUUGAGUGGACCGCGGGUCGCGGCGCUACGACCCAAAGGGGCGACACAGCGGCGGCGGGCAGGUUAGGGCGACGGCGGGGACCGCGGGCCAUGGCACGACGGCCCAAAGGGGCGGCUCAACUGCGAAAUCCGGGUCGGUGCAACCGCGGAAACGGUCUCACGACGGCGGCGUGGACCGUGUGCCACGCUUGCUACGGCCCGACGGGGCGAGGCAACAGUGGCGCAAGGGUCGGUGCCGCCACGGGGACGACCUGGAGCGGACAGUCUCGGGGCGACAGUGGACCGCGGGCCGCGACACUACGGCCCAAAGGGGCGACGUAGCGGUGACGUGGGUCAGUGCAGCAGGAAGAAGAACCACAGAGCGGCGGCACUGCGGCCCGACGGGGUGACAUAACGGCAGCCCGUUGCUCGAUAGUUGAAGGGGCGCGCAUACUUCGGACGGUCGUCACGAAAUCCUAUGAUGGCGCGUGCAAAAAGCUGAUCAGACCGAUCACACGGCGCGUAUGAAGUGGAUCGUGAUGCUCAGAUGAUCAGUCUGAUUGUUCACGAGGUUGGAGAGGCGCAGACAACAACAGAUGGCCGUAGCCCCACAUGCCAGGGAAACGACACGAGUCGGCAUCCGCGCGUGGAAACACGCGAGCGACCGAGUGUCCACGUGGCAUCAGUGGACGGUCAGAGCUGCGGUGCAACACAGAGCCGCCAGAGCAGAGUUCACCGCAGCCGCACACGCACGUGACGUAGUAUAUGCGAAUCAUGGAGACUUGUGGAUCGCUUGGCUCGGUGAUGAAAUCUGCAUGGACCGCAUGCAACACAUACGGAUGGAGGCAAGGGUUGAUGUAGGAUUUCCGAUUGGAUUAAGGCGACGACGCCUGGCGACGACAGGUACGGGGAGGCGCGGAUGGCGGCCAUUCCGAGCCGCCGCAUGGCGUGCGAGGCCGCCAAGUCGGAUGAGACGCCGGUGUAAUCGAUGCCAAAGUCGGAGUAGAGGCGCGCGAGGUUGACAGCGGCGGCGGGCGACACAAAUCGAUCAAGCUUAGAUUAGAAAACCAAAAAAAAACGCCCAUCAAGAUGACCGGCGGGAGAGAGAAAAACCCGGAGCAAGGGCUCGGGAAAAAGACUCUCUAGGGUAGGCGGUCAACACGACCGGCGGACGAACCCUAGGUACGGGCGGCGCAGCCCCCUGCGGCGGUCAUGGAGGCCGACCGCCCUAGGGGCGGCGCGGAGCGGCUGCUAGGGUUUGGAUCGGCUAGGCUGAUACCAUGUUAGAAGGAGAGAGGGAUUUGGUGUAAUAGUUCGUUAUAUUGCUUGUGCCUCGUGGGCAUAUAUAUAGGGAGAGAGUAUCUGGUGAAACGAGCAAACUGAUGCACCAGGUACACCAGCGAUAGAUGGGCCGUUGGAUUCGUAAGAGAGGGACAGGAUUCGGUGCGAUGAUUGGGCUCCUGGUGUAUUUGCAGAACAGUCCUUGCAGUAUAGCUAAAUCCAGCGAAUUGACCUCCACGCAUACAGAUCGUCUUCCUCCCUUUCCUGUGUUCUGUACCAAGCCUGGAGCUAGGGCUAAGCAAAAUUUAGGCGAGCUCGCUCUCUGUGCUGGCCCCUCGUUACACCAGAUGCGCCCUCCCCCUUCCCCGGCUGAUUAGGAGCCAACCAUCCUCUUUUUACUGAUAAAGGAUCCACGGUAUAAUCACUAAUUUGGGUUCUUCUGUUAUCCACGUUCCCAAUCCUUCGGUUCGCCGAUUCAUUUGAAUGUAGUGGCAUUUGGUAAGUUGAAUAAUAUGAGCACCGAAUCAAUGUGCGACAUGCAGUUCUAAUGGAUAAUUUUACCAGUAACUAUAGGCUACUGGAAAAAUAGAUGAGGGGAGAUAUGUUUGUACAAUCUGUAUGUCAAGCACAAGGUUUGACUCCCUGUUUUGAUCCUUUAUUAGUAAAAAUUAUUAAGUAGAAAGUGCACUUUGCAGUGUCCAACUUAACUUACUGAAUGCAUUGCAAGUUCAUCUUCGUGAUUUUAUUAUGUAGUUCAUCAUUUCCCUGAAACUGGUGUUUUCAGUUUCGUAUAUACAAUGUAGUAACCCAUCAGUGGCAGAAUGUCGGCAUUCCUUAUAAUCCGUUUGCAAAAUCUCAUAAAUUAUGAGGUCCCUGUAAUCUGCAGUUAUAAGGCAUACAAAAAAUAUCCUCAGUUGCAACUAUAAGACUGGAAAAUAGACAGUUAGUACUUUCGUAUGAAGAUAUCAGUGCUCCAGCAGGCCUCAGCUCAUGUUUAUAAAUGUUAGCAGGCAGAAUACAGGUGCUGCCAGCCUGCUCAUUUUUUUUCAGUGUCGGUGUUCAGUGUUUACUCAGUUUAGGGCCAUCAGUUGCUAAAAUCUAGUUUAAUCAUAUUGUUCCUAUCAUCGACGCCUGCAACUCUACACUAACAUUGACACCGGUGUGUUUGUCGCAGAUGGAUCAAUUGCUUCAUUAGAUAAAAGAAACACCACACCCUGCCAACAAUACAAUAAUUCUCGUUGUGUCAACAUAUAUUCAGGACCAUACCUUCCAGAGGUAUACUCUAAUAAUGCGGUACUUGUAUUGCAAGUGAAGCAUGAGCAGAAUAGGUAAAUCGUAAGGGUAAAAGUUUAUCCUCAGCUGGUGCAGCAAGAUUGGAAAUAGACAAACGAGCAGUAUGAUUAUAAACAUUUUUCAUGUUUUCCAACUAAAAAGAAAGUUUCCAUAUGACUGUCAGUACUUGCAUAUGAACAAGUUAAUAACUGGGAUUUAUGUUACAAGUCUGCAGUAUAUUAUUUGCUACUCAACUCUUGUCACUCACUUCGUUGAUUUUGAAUGCCCUUUUUGAUGCCCAAAUGAGGAAACCGUCACUAAUUUUCAUGUUCCAGAUUUUAUCUUGCCAGAAUUCUCACUAUUAGAACCUGUACUUACAACCAGUUAUUGUUCCUGACUUCAUUUUUGUGCAGGUUUGAUGCAAUUGAGGAUUAACCCAUGUUUUCUUGUGCGUCGGCAGGUGAAGACGUUCAUGGCUGGGGUCACAACAAUCUCGUAAGUGUAGCGCUUAGAUUAGGAAGAAAUAAAUCUUGUAGAUGUAGUACGUGGCUUUUGAAGUUCAGAUGGACAACUUUUGUAAAGUUUAUGUUAUUUUUUGUAUCAAAUUCUUGCGAUGUUCCCACGUGUAAAUAUCUUGACGUUUUUACAUGGAAAUAGCUCAAAAAUAUUGUGUCCAGCGCGAUCACAUAAUUCAGUUAUAAACCUUCAAGCAUGACAACUGAUUGAAGAAUAGAUCACAUGCAUCUUUUGCCAAAAUCAUUUAACACUGCAAUUCAGUUUGUGAGAAUUUUUGUUGCACUUUGAAGGCCUAAAUUCAGUUUGCGCUGCAUUGCAUUUUUUCAAAUAAGGUUGUACAGUAUUUCCCGAUUUUACAUUUCCAUUGGAGUACAUCCUGCAACUAUCUCAUUUUAUUUUCUGAGUGAGACGUGGAUGUCCUAGGAAAAGGUCCAUAACUAACAGCAAGGGAAAGACGAAAUGCAUACUGAUCUUAGGUUCCAGGUAACAACAUCUCAAGAUGCCUGGGCAAGAUUACCAUGUUAGCAGCAGAAGAAAAUGUUUUUAUUUGUUAACUAUACACCAGUCUCAGGGCCUGAUUCAGUGGUACAGGAAGAGGAAGACACAGAACUGGGUUUCGGAUGUCGUUUCGUCGAUUUAGCUACACUUCAAGGUCUCCUUUGCAAAACGUACCAGCAGCCAACCUCUUAGAUAGAUCCUGUCCCUUCCAUUAGGAUCUGAGGGCUCAUGUGUAGCUGGUGCAUCUGGUGCACGAGUUCUCUUGUUGCACAGGAUACAUUGCCUAUAUAUAUAUAGGAGUACAUGAUCUACUUGAAGUACAAGACAAGCCAGAAUACUUCCUAGUCUAUCCGAUGUUUCCAAUACAAUCACGUUACUCAACACUUGUAGUGGCACAAGAUGAGCCCAGUGAGACCGACAGAAAGAAAAGGGAUGUUUGAGAUCACAUUCAACGUAUUAGGGAUCCCUGCAAAAUAAAUCAAACAAAACAGUAAUGAUCAGUACUAAGACUAUUUUGCUGCUCUUGAUCUGUACCAUUGUUUGUUAGUAUCAAUAUCAAAGUAUGCAGAAUGCCCAAGCACUCGCGUUAGGACAUAGGAGCCAUAUAAUCAAGCAAAGCAUACAAUUCUGAGCAAUCAGAAGCAUUUCCUUCCUGUACUAACCAAAAAAUUAAUUCAGCUGAACCUAUACUUCACUCGCUCCCCAGUUGCCCCUCUUCUCGCCUCAAUCAUGUUGUCGUACUCGUUAAAGCACGAAUCUAAGGGGCUAACAACAGCAGGAUUCACGGGCAGCGCACAACUAAUAUAACCAAAGCAACCGAUAGUGCUGGCAAUCAGAAGCAUUCCCUGUACCGAAAAAGGCUUUCGCCCCGCUUUAUAUUAUAAAGCCAACCGCACCACAAGCAUUCAACAAGGUCCAACACAAAACCACGCACACACACGAAAGUCCACAGGAACAAAAGGUACAAGAAAGGGUCAAUGCUGAGGACACAGCACAACAAGCCCUAAACCCAAAACACACACGCCAUACAGCCGCCAGGCGGUCUAGUCAGGCUCAGGAGGAGGAGGCGGCAGCGGGGGAGCCACGCGGAGCGCCAUCGAGCGGAGAUCGGAGAGGAGGGUGGUGAUGGCGUCCCGGUCCUACUGACCAGAGAAACAAAUGAAUGAAGCCUAAUUGUAGCUGAAUCUCCACUUCAUUUGCCCCCACAUCCCCCCUUGGCACCUUUAUUCUGUCAAUCACUAAUGUAAGAGAACAAAACAACAGAAUUUGCUCACAUGACUUUGCUCGUGAUCUGUACAGUCAUUCACAAGUAACAUUCAUUGAGUAUGCAGAGUGGACAAGCCCUCGCGUUAGCAGCCAAUAUUUAGCUGAUAUAAUCAAAGCAGCAAACAUAAUGCUGACCAAUCACACGCUUUUCCUUAGUACUGACAAAAAAAAGCAUGCAAAGGGAGCGUAAGUCAGCGGAACCUACGCUUCACUGGCUCCCUGGUCCUCCCCCCUCUCACCCACCUCUCUCCAGGGGACUCCCCAGAUCAGGAAUCUAAGGGGCUAUAUAUAUUUUCUCAUUUAUCUGUGCAUUUGAUGUUGGUGCCGCCUCUCGCAGCGCCUUCUUCUUCCCGGUUGCCUCUCACAAAACACUAGAAAAUGGAGACACAAGAAUUUUUUGUGGCCGCAGCCUCACAGGCUCACACCACUGGCCUUUUUUCCUCUCUAUUUCUCUUGGCUCCUUCAUUACUCAAUAUGCAACAAGUAUAUAUACACCAGGCGUUGGCCUCACGCACGCACUACCAGCCACUAUAACCGGCCACUAACAGCACACCCUCCAUGCACUAAACCAUGCACCAACUGACUAGCUACAUGCACGCCCAUGACAGUCACUAACAAACUCACGCAUGCACUCACUCAUGACUCGGCUAGCACCAUGCACACAUGCAGCUACAACCUCACAUGCUCUAACUAACUAUGCUUGGCCAAAUCACUUGGCUCUAACUAACUAGGACUUGGCCAAAUCACUUGGCUCAACAUGAAUGAGCAGCCUGCCACGCUCCAGCCACCGUCGCAUCUUGCCGUAUCGCACGGCACCAUCAGCAUCUCGCCAUGCUCGCCGCAUCGAACGGCAGCCCAACAUCUCGCCUCCUUCAUGCGUAAAACUAAAGCUCCGACGACUAGCUACUCCCUAGACCGUCUAAGUUACAUGCAGGACUCAAAACAAAUAUGUAGAUACAUAAUCAAGAUUAAAAAGGCUAACACUUGAUUUGUCUAAAUUCUAAUUCGAAUGAUUUUGUGGUUCUAAGGAUGGAAGACUGUGAGAGCAUGCAAGCUUCGAUGCCUAAAAUUUGGUUUCGCUGUGAAGAGGAACUACCCAUGCUGAAAUACAAACAAUUUUGAUUGAGUAGAGGAAGGGCUCAGCUUUACCUACAGAUAGGCAUACACUUUGUCCAGGAAAAGAUAGCAUUAGGUGAACUUCAAGUGUUACAUGUUCCUACUAGCACUCAGUUACCAAGGGGCUUCCCAUAGCAGUUUUCAUCGACAUUCGCUCCAGUCUGAACAUCAUGAAGCCUGCCAUUGUUGUUGUUGUGGUUGUUAGAAUGAAGACUGUCUCGUCCCACUACUUUCACGAUCUCAUCAGGAACUCGACCGCCCUUAGCCUUCAGUUGUAUUGCUUGGCCCCUGUAUAUGCGACCACUAUACUCUGUAAUGAAUAUAGCGUUGAUUCCCCCAAAUAUCGUGCACAACACCCAAGGGCUGGCUUUAGUCAUCUUUAUACUAGACCUAACACAUACUCGGUAUAUGUUCACAAAUUCACAAUACAAAAUGUGUUCUUUGUAUUGGUUUACUCCAAUAUCUCAGAGAAGUAAGAAUGUGGAGUAUGGAUUGUUCCACCAACAAAGGACCUCCAUACAUGCAUUGUGUGGGUAGUGAAGAAACUUCCACUUGCAUAUAUAGUGUCGAUUCCCCUGCUACCAAAGAGCUCAUCAUAUUGCCAUGAUCAUUUGCAUUACUAUAGCAUGGUAGAUCAUCAUGUUUGUUGUGUUCUGCAUGAAUGCCGUUUUCAUUGCUGGAAUCACAAGUAGACCUUUGCCAAAAAGAAAACAUGGAACUCUGUUGUAACGCCCGGGUAAUCAAGCUACAGUAAUUCCCCGCUAAUCAUGCCACGUCACCUCGGUUACUGUUGUUAACCGUGCGAUGAUCCAAAACCGUUUCAUAAUUUAAAUUCAAUUAGUGUCAACAAUAAAAGUUUUUCAAAAUUUAAAACAAAAUGUUCGGGCUAUGUCAAUUAUUGCAUCGGUAAUUACGGUGAAGUAAACACAUUUUUAUAAAAUGCCUAAAUACUUUUAAAUGAAUUAAAACAGAAAAGAAAUAAUGAAAGAAAAUACAAAGGGGUGAAACAAAAAAAAAGAAAAAAAGAAGAGAAAACCCUUCCCCCACUGGGCCGACUGGCCCAGCUGGCCACCAGGCCGCCCGACCGGCCCACCCCUGCCUCAACCCUCGGGCCGGCCCACCCCGCGCCCCCACUCCCUUAUCCCCCCACUCCCCAGGGUCCUGAAACCCUAACCCACCACUCUUCCCCCACGUCGUUCCCCUCCUCCCCCCCGAUCCAGAUCGGAUCGGGGCUCGCUCGCACGCGCGNNNNNNNNNNNNNNNNNNNNNNNNNNNNNNNNNNNNNNNNNNNNNNNNNNNNNNNNNNNNNNNNNNNNNNNNNNNNNNNNNNNNNNNNNNNNNNNNNNNNNNNNNNNNNNNNNNNNNNNNNNNNNNNNNNNNNNNNNNNNNNNNNNNNNNNNNNNNNNNNNNNNNNNNNNNNNNNNNNNNNNNNNNNNNNNNNNNNNNNNNNNNNNNNNNNNNNNNNNNNNNNNNNNNNNNNNNNNNNNNNNNNNNNNNNNNNNNNNNNNNNNNNNNNNNNNNNNNNNNNNNNNNNNNNNNNNNNNNNNNNNNNNNNNNNNNNNNNNNNNNNNNNNNNNNNNNNNNNNNNNNNNNNNNNNNNNNNNNNNNNNNNNNNNNNNNNNNNNNNNNNNNNNNNNNNNNNNNNNNNNNNNNNNNNNNNNNNNNNNNNNNNNNNNNNNNNNNNNNNNNNNNNNNNNNNNNNNNNNNNNNNNNNNNNNNNNNNNNNNNNNNNNNNNNNNNNNNNNNNNNNNNNNNNNNNNNNNNNNNNNNNNNNNNNNNNNNNNNNNNNNNNNNNNNNNNNNNNNNNNNNNNNNNNNNNNNNNNNNNNNNNNNNNNNNNNNNNNNNNNNNNNNNNNNNNNNNNNNNNNNNNNNNNNNNNNNNNNNNNNNNNNNNNNNNNNNNNNNNNNNNNNNNNNNNNNNNNNNNNNNNNNNNNNNNNNNNNNNNNNNNNNNNNNNNNNNNNNNNNNNNACCGAGCCCGUCCGCGCGCUCGUGCGCCCGCGCCCACUAUGGCCGAGCCCGGACAAGUCCGGCGCCCAAAGGGCCCGGGCGGACAUGUCCGCCCCUGGCCUAUGACAAACGGGGCCCAGCCCCAGAACGAAAUAAAAAAAGGAAAUGAAAAAAAAAUAAAAAAAUAAAAAUAAUUAAUUAAUUAAUUAAGAUAAUUAAUUAACUUAUUUAAUCAUGUUAAUAUUAAUUAAUUAAGAUUAAUUAAACUAAUAACUAAUUAACCUAAUUAACUACUGAUAAUUAACUAACAGUCACUGACAGGUGGGACCCACCUGUCAGGUUGACCACGUCAACGGUCAACGUUGACUGCUAACGUCAGCAUGACAUCAUGCUGAUGUCAUAAAUCCAAAUUUCGAAUUAAAUUAAAUAAUUAAUUAAAUUCCAGAAGUUAAUAGAUUCUUUUGAAAAUCAUAUCUUUUAAUCCGUAACCCGGAUGGAAAUACUUUGUACAUGAAAGUUGCUCAGAACGACGAGACGAAUCCGGAUACGCAGCCCGUUCGUCCGCUACACAUCCGUAGCAUAGCAAACCUGUAACAUUUCACCUCCGUUUCAUCUGUCCGAAAACGCAAAACAGCGGGAAUACUUUCCUGGAUGUUCCCCCCCUUCGCCGGUACCACCUACUGUCGCGUUAGGACACACCUAGCACUGCUCAUUGUCAUGUCACGCAUCGUCAUGUUUAUGUUUGCAUUGUAUUUACUGUUUCUUCCCCCUCUUCUCUCCGGUAGACUACGAGACCGACACUGCUACUGCCCAGUUCGACUACGGAGUUGACGACCCCUCCUACUUGCCAGAGCAACCAGGCAAGCCCCUCCUUGAUCACCAGAUAUCGCCUAUUCUUCUCUAUACUGCUUGCAUUAGAGUAGUGUAGCAUGUUACUGCUUUCCGUUAAUCCUAUACUGAUGCAUAGCCUGCCCUUGCUUCUACUGUUGUUACCUUUACCUGCAAUCCUACAUGCUUAGUAUAGGAUGCUAGUUUCCAUCAGUGGCCCUACAUCCUUGUCCGUCUGCUGUGCUAUACUAUCGCGCCGUUAUCACUUGGGCGGUGAUCACGGGUAUAUACUUAUAUACUAUAUACAUGACACAUGUGAUGACUAAAGUCGGGUCGGCUCGUAGGAGUACCCGCAAGUGGAUCUUUGUGGCGGAGCGACAGGGUAGGUUGAGACCGCCUAGGUGAGAGGUGGGCCUGGCCCUGGUUGACGUUCGCGGUUACUUAACACGCUUAUCGAGAUCUUGGUAUUUGAUCUGAGUCUGGCCAUUUGGUCUAUACGCACUAGCCAUCUACGCGGGAGUAGUUAUGGGUAUCCCGGCAUCGUGGUAUCAGCCGAAGCUCUUUUUGACGUCAGCGACGGAGCGGCGCGCGCCGGAUUGGACUGGAACGCCACUACGCUAGGUCUGCUUUCGGCCGCCCUCGCAACGUGCAGGUGUGCAAUGGGCGAUGGGCCCAGACCCCUGCGCGCAUAGGAUUUAGACCGGCGUGUUGACCUCUCGGUUGAGCCUAGGUGGGGCUGCGACGUGUUGAUCUUCCGAGGCCGGGCAUGACCCAGAAAAGUGUGUCCGGCCAAAUGGGAUCGAGCGUGUUGGGUUAUGUGGUGCACCCCUGCAGGGAAGUUUAUCUAUUCGAAUAGCCGUGUCCCACGGUAGAAGGACGACCCGGAGUUGUACCUUGACCUUAUGACAACUAGAACCGGAUACUGAAUAAAAUACACCCUUCCAAGUGCCAGAUACAACCCGGUGAUCGCUCUCUAACACGGCGACGAGGAGGGGAUCGCCGGGUAGGAUUAUGCUAUGCGAUGCUACUUGGAGGACUUCAAUCUACUCUCUUCUACAUGCUGCAAGAUGGAGAUGACCAGAAGCGUAGUCUUCGACAGGACUAGCUAUCCCCCUUUUAUUCUGGCAUUCUGCAGUUCAGUCCACUGAUAUGCCCCUUUACACAUAUACCCAUGCAUAUGUAGUGUAGCUCCUUGCUUGCGAGUACUUUGGAUGAGUACUCAUGGUUGCUUCUCUCCCUCUUUUCCCCAUUUCCUUUCUACCUGGUUGUCGCAACCAGAUGCUGGAGCCCAGGAGCCAGACGCCACCGUCGACGACGACUCCUACGACACUAGAGGUGCCUACUACUACGUGCAGGCCGCUGACGACGAGCAGGAGUAGUUAGGAGGAUCCCAGGCAGGAGGCCUGCGCCUCGUUCGAUUUGUAUCCCAGUUUGUGCUAGCCUUCUUAAGGCAAACUUGUUUAACUUAUGUGUGUACUCAGAUAUUGUUGCUUCCGCUGACUCAUCUGUGAUCGAGCACUUGUAUUCGAGCCCUCGAGGCCCCUGGCUUGUAUUAUGAUGCUUGUAUGACUUAUUUAUGUUUUAGAGUUGUGUUGUGAUAUCUUCCCGUGAGUCCCUGAUCUUGAUCGUACACAUUUGUGUGCAUGAUUAGUGUACGGUCAAAUCGGGGGUGUCACAAGUUGGUAUCAGAGCCGACUGCCUGUAGGAGUCCCCUUUCCAACUCCUUGGCCGAAGUUGAGUCUAGUCAUUGCAAAACUUUUACUAACAUGGUUGUGUGUCUUACGGGCCCACGUCGCCAUUGGGUGGUACUAGGAUCUUUUACUCCUCGACCUUUACUCUGGGACUCUGAACUCUCUUCUACUCGGGUUAAACGAAUUUACUAACUCUAACACUAGGAUCCUGUGACCGCAUCACCCCAAAGUUGGAUAAGCCAUAGUUGUUUCUUAGAAUAGUAUUUUGAACAAUUCACACACUGUCAUUUGACUCCUUUGAAACGUCUUUACUUUCAGAUGGAACCCACGAGGCAGGUCGUGCGUCACACGACGGCCAUUGGUGCCUCGGGAUCACCGGCUGUGCUAGCUGAGAUGAUGACCUAUCUGGGUUAUCGCUGGCACCCUGAGUACACCGUCUACGAGGAGUACCAGGACUUUAACCAGGAGCAGUACCGUGCCAUCGUCCACCUCUACUCGCGGGAGUAUGACUCCACUACUGUGCUGCACACCGCUCAUGGUGUUGGUGUGACCAUCGAUAUGGCUGUCCAUGAUGCUGCCUAUGCUGCUCUGACACGUCUUCGUGGAGAGUAUCGGGAGUUGGACACCUCCCCUUUCAGGCACAUUGCUAUCGCAUCUGAUGUUGGUGCGGAGGGAUACUAUACUGCUGCCUACUCCACUGUCACCCGAGAGCCCUUCUACCAUCAGAACCUGGUUCUGCAUGCUGAUGGGCUAGAUCGAGCUAACCGAGCUCUUCGCCACGAGAUGUACACCACCCGUCAGCACCUUUACCGUGCUCUGACGCUGCUGCACCCCUUUGUCCGAUCUGGACAGCUACCGCGUACAGCGAUCUACCCAGCCAGGACCGUGAUGCCCCACGGUGUCGGUUGGCCAGAGGUGGGAGGCUACUCUCCCGCACUUGGUCCUCUUCUGCCACCUGAGCGUCGGGCUCUACACCUGAGUAUCCGCGGCCCCCAGUCUGCUGACGUGGAGGGCUAUCCGUUGCCUCACUACCAGCUGUGGGGCUACGAUUACCUCCACAGUACCUCUUGGGACUGAUGUAGGCUUGCUUGUAGUGUUAGAUGCAUUGGCCGCGAGCCUGUGUGCCGCCUAUGUUGUUUUAGUCUAUGUACUGAACUCUUUGUACUGAACUCUAUGCAUGACCCCUUUCGUAAGUUAUGCCGACUACUAUGUAGUAGCUAUCGUGCUCCUUUCAUUAUGCAUGUUUCAUCAUGAAUGAUUCUUGUCUUUGCAAAUUUUUCUCAAUGAUGAACUACCCCUGUGGUCGUGGUCGUGGUGGCAAUGCCCCACCACCACCUGAGUACAUGGCUGGUAUGAUCCAACAGUUCGAACUGAACCGCCAAUUCAUGGAAAAUAUGAUGGCUCAGUUUCCUCGCCCCAAUAUGGACCAGCAACCAACCCCAGUAACUCUGCAGGAUUUCAUGCGCCUGAACCCAACUGUGUACUGCAGCUCAACUCAGCCUCUGGAUGCUGAUGACUGGCUCCGUGACAUCACCUAUGAGAUGGAGUCUGCCGAUGUAGCCCCUGCCAGCUAUGUCAACUUUGCUUCCUUCUUUCUGAAGGGGCCCGCAGCUUAAUGGUGGGACAGCCACAGGCGUACUCUGCCAGCUGGAACAAUCAUCACCUGGCCAGACUUCCAAGCUGCUUUCCGUGCCCGCUUCAUUCCUCAGGGAGUCAUGGACCGGAAGAAGUGUGAGUUCCGCAACCUCACCCAAGGCAACAAAACUGUUGAAGCUUAUCAACGGGAGUUUCUGGACUUGUCUCGCUAUGCUGAAGAGGACAUUGCAACUGAUGCACGCAGACAGGAGAAGUUCUGUGAUGGCCUUCAAGCUGACAUCAAGCUCGCACUUCUAGUGCAUGACUUUGCUGAUUUCGCCACCUUGGUGAACAAGGCCAUCAAUGUCGAAACUGGCCUGCAGGAAUACCAGAGCUCUCACAGGCGCAACCGUGACACGGGCUCAUCUUCGGGCCCGCCCUCACAGAAGCGUAAGAUAUGGAUCCCGAACAGCAUGUACCGUCCAAAUGCAUCUGCCCCAAGGCAGACCUAUGCUGCACCUCGUCUGCCUCCACCACCAUCUAGGAAGUCAAGACUUCCAGCUCCACCGUCCCAAGCCCCUGUUCCCACUCCCAAUAAUGGCUUGUGCUUCAGGUGUGGUCAACCAGGACACCGUGCUAGAGAAUGCAACCAGAACCAGAAUCAACUGGCCCUUCCAGCAACUGGCCGUGGUAACAAUCAGCCCCGCAACAACAAUGCUAAGUCUUAUGGUCGUGCUCAUGCCAACCACGUUGAUCUCAACGAAGCUCAAGACCAGCCUGCUACUGUGAUGGGUACACUCCUCGUAAAUUCAGUACCAGCAUCCGUUUUAUUUGAUAGAGGUGCAUCACAUUCAUUCAUGUCAGAAGAUUUUGCAUUCAUGCAUGGCAUUAGAAGCGAAGACAUGAAUGCUUCACUAUUAGUACACACCCCUGCGGGCCAAUGUCGAACCUCCAUGAUUUGCAACGACGUCCCCGUUGAAAUCGAAGGACUGGAAUUUCUUGUCUCUCCCAUCGUACUGAAGUCUUGUAGCAUCGAUCUCAUUCUGGGAAUGAAUUGGUUAAAAGCGCAUACUGCUUCAAUCGUUUGCACCACUAAGACCGUCCAUCUGCUACACCCUUCAGAUGAGAUAGUUACUUACCAAGCCCAUCUGGUGCAAAAUGCCGAGGCAAGGCUCUAUGCGUUGAAUGCAUUGAACGCUGCACCACUCGAGGGCAUUGAAAACAUUCCCGUCGUGCGUGAAUUCCUCGACGUCUUCCCUGAAGAACUUCCAGGGAUUUCCCCUGCUAGAGCUGUCGAAUUCAUCAUCGACUUGAAACCAGGCACCACUCCUAUAGCCAAGUGACCCUACAAGAUGUCGCCGCAUGAACUCCUUGAGCUUAAGGAGGAAAUCGACAAUUCUCUUCGCAAAGGAUUCAUUCGCCCAAGUUGCUCUCCUUGGGGAGCACCUUCUCUCUUUGUCAAGAAGAAGGAUGGGACAAACCGAUUAGUUCAAGACUACCGUCCUAUAAACCAAGCUACCAUUCAGAAUAAAUACCCUCUCCCUCGGAUCAAUGAUCUGUAUGAUCAACUGGCGGGUUCGUCAGUGUUCUCUAAGCUCGACUUGAGGUUGGGUUACCACCAGAUCCGUGUUCGCAAAGAGGAUAUCCCAAAGACCGCCUUCGUGACUCGAUAUGGUUCAUACGAGUACACCGUCAUGUCUUUCGGUUUAACCAAUGCUCCAGCCACCUUCUCUCGUCUGAUGAACUAUAUAUUCAUGGAUUACCUCGACAAGUUCGUCGUGGUUUAUCUGGAUGAUAUCCUGGUAUUUUCCAAGAACGAAGAAGAACAUGCUGAACAUCUUCGACUUGUGCUGGAAAAGCUACGAGAGCAUCAACUAUAUGCCAAGUUCUCCAAAUGUGAAUUCUGGCUACCCGAAGUAACCUAUCUUGGGCAUGUCAUCUCUAAGGAUGGUAUUGCCGUCAACCCUGAACGAGUCCAGGCUAUCCUUGAUUGGACUCCUCCCAAGAACGUUAAGCAAGUCAGAAGUUUUCUCGGUCUCGCCAGCUAUUGUCGUCGAUUCGUCGAGAACUUCUCCAAGAUCGCCAGGCCUCUGACUAACCUGUUGCAUAAGGGCGUCAAGUUCCAAUGGACAGACAAAUGUCAGAAAAGUUUCCAGGCACUCAAAGACAAGUUGACUUAUGCCCCAGUUCUAGCUCCACCUGAUACUAAGAAGGACUUCGUCAUUUACUGCGACGCUUCCCGUCAAGGAUUAGGCUGUGUCCUAAUGCAAGACUGCAAAGUGAUUGCUUAUGCCUCUCGGCAAUUACGCCCUCACGAAGAGAACUACCCAGUUCCCGACCUCGAACUUGCUGCUGUCAUUCAUGCGCUAAAGCAGUGGCGACAUUACCUUCUUGGUAAUCGUUGCGAGAUCUUCACUGACCACCAAAGUCUGAAGUAUCUGUUUACUCAGCCAGACCUGAACCUCCGUCAGCAGAGAUGGAUGGAUCUUGUUGCAGACUUUGACUUGGGUAUUUCCUAUACGCCAGGCAAGGCUAAUGUAAUGGCUGAUGCCUUGAGCCGCAAGUCUUACUGCAACCACCUCCAGGUUCACAAAGUUCAGCCCUCGCUUGUUGAAGAAUUCAGGAAGCUGAACCUCCAUAUUGUUCCUCCGGGUGCACUCGCUCCCCCUCCUAAGGAGUUUGGCAAGGUGAACCUCCACGUUGUUACCCAGGGUUCCCUCAAUACCCUAGUUGCUAAACCAGAUCUCGUGGACAGCAUCAAAAGGCUAUAGAAGUAUGACUCUGAAGCCCACAAGAUUAAGCGCUACCUCGCGGAAGGAAAGCCCUCAUUCUUCACGGUUGCUGAAGAUGGCACCUUAUACUUCAAGGGCCGCCUAGUGGUGCCAUGUGCAGAGAAAACCUGGAUAUGACACAGGAAGUUAUGAAAUAAGCUCAUGAUACGCCUCUAUGUAUCCAUCUUGGUAGUACAAAGAUGUACCAAGACAUCCGUCAGAGAUUCUGGUGGUCUAAUAUGAAGCAAGACAUUGCUCGUUAUGUUGCUGAGUGUGACGUUUGCCGUCGUAUCAAAGCAGAACAUCAAAGGCCUGCUGGAACUCUGCAACCUAUCUCUAUUCCUGAAUGGAAAUGGGACCAUGUUGAGAUGGACUUCGUCACUGGAUUUCCCAAAUCACAGAAAGGUAAUGAUGCUAUUCUUGUCGUCAUUGACCGGCUUUUCAAAGUUGCACAUUUCCUGGCGGUCAAAGAAACGAUCACUGCUAGUCAGUUGGCAACGCUCUAUAUGUCCAGGAUUGUUUCACUCCACGGUAUUCCAUUGGUUAUCAGCUCAGACCGUGGUAGCUUAUUCACUUCAAGAUUCUGGGCAAGUUUCCAAGAAGCUAUGGGAACUCAUCUGUCAUUCAGUACUGCAUUUCAUCCUCAGUCGCAAGGGCAGGUUGAACGCGUCAACCAAGUUCUCGAAGACAUGCUUCGAGCUUGUGUUAUUUCCUUCGGCAAGAAAUGGGAGGAAUCUCUCCCGUAUGCUGAGUUCUCUUAUAAUAAUAGCUAUCAAGCUAGUCUGAAGAUGGCCCCCUUCGAAGUGUUAUAUGGACGAAAGUGCCGAACCCCUCUGAACUGGUCAGAAACUGGGGAACGUCCACUCUUCGGUCCGGAUAUUAUCCAACAUGCCGAAGAACAAGUCCGCAUUAUUCGCGAGAAUCUCAAGACUGCUCAGUCACGUCAGAAGAGUCAGUAUGACCGUCAUCAUAAAGACAUGGUCUAUCAACCUGGCGAAAAGGCUUAUCUUCGAGUCACACCAAUGAAGGGUGCUCACCGCUUCGGAAUCAAGGGCAAACUAGCUCCUCGAUAUAUUGGCCCAUUCAUUAUUCUCGAAAGGCGUGGAAAAGUGGCAUACCAACUGGAGCUUCCACCGAACCUUUCUCAGGUUCACGAUGUGUUCCAUGUGUCACAGCUCCGCCGUUGCUUCAAGGACCCAAUCCGAGCAGUGGAUCAUGAAGUGCUCGAAUUGCAGCAGGACCUCUCCUAUAAGGAGCAUCCGGUCCGCAUUCUCGACCAAGCUGAACGCCGCACACGUCAGAAGGCGAUCAAGUUCCUCAAAGUCCAGUGGUCGCACCAUUCUGAAGAUGAAGCCACUUGGGAACGAGAGGAUCGUCUGCGCGAAGAAUACCCCGCAUUUUUUCCUUCUACCUCCUAAAUCUCGGGACGAGAUUUCUUGUAGUGGAGGAGAUUUGUAACGCCCGGGUAAUCAAGCUACAGUAAUUCCCCGCUAAUCAUGCCACGUCACCUCGGUUACUGUUGUUAACCGUGCGAUGAUCCAAAACCGUUUCAUAAUUUAAAUUCAAUUAGUGUCAACAAUAAAAGUUUUUCAAAAUUUAAAACAAAAUGUUCGGGCUAUGUCAAUUAUUGCAUCGGUAAUUAUGGUGAAGUAAAUACAUUUUUAUAAAAUGCAUAAAUACUUUUAAAUGAAUUAAAACAGAAAAGAAAUAAUGAAAGAAAAUACAAAGGGGAGAAACAAAAAAAGAAAAAAAGAAGAGAAAACCCUCCCCCACUGGGCCGACUGGCCCAGCUGGCCACCAGGCCGCCCGACCGGCCCACCCCUGCCUCAACCCUCGGGCCGGCCCACCCCGCGCCCCCACUCCCUUAUCCCCCCACUCCCAGGGUCCCGAAACCCUAACCCACCACUCUUCCCCCACGUCGUUCCCCUCCUCGCCCCCGAUCCAGAUCGGAUCGGGGCUCGCUNNNNNNNNNNNNNNNNNNNNNNNNNNNNNNNNNNNNNNNNNNNNNNNNNNNNNNNNNNNNNNNNNNNNNNNNNNNNNNNNNNNNNNNNNNNNNNNNNNNNNNNNNNNNNNNNNNNNNNNNNNNNNNNNNNNNNNNNNNNNNNNNNNNNNNNNNNNNNNNNNNNNNNNNNNNNNNNNNNNNNNNNNNNNNNNNNNNNNNNNNNNNNNNNNNNNNNNNNNNNNNNNNNNNNNNNNNNNNNNNNNNNNNNNNNNNNNNNNNNNNNNNNNNNNNNNNNNNNNNNNNNNNNNNNNNNNNNNNNNNNNNNNNNNNNNNNNNNNNNNNNNNNNNNNNNNNNNNNNNNNNNNNNNNNNNNNNNNNNNNNNNNNNNNNNNNNNNNNNNNNNNNNNNNNNNNNNNNNNNNNNNNNNNNNNNNNNNNNNNNNNNNNNNNNNNNNNNNNNNNNNNNNNNNNNNNNNNNNNNNNNNNNNNNNNNNNNNNNNNNNNNNNNNNNNNNNNNNNNNNNNNNNNNNNNNNNNNNNNNNNNNNNNNNNNNNNNNNNNNNNNNNNNNNNNNNNNNNNNNNNNNNNNNNNNNNNNNNNNNNNNNNNNNNNNNNNNNNNNNNNNNNNNNNNNNNNNNNNNNNNNNNNNNNNNNNNNNNNNNNNNNNNNNNNNNNNNNNNNNNNNNNNNNNNNNNNNNNNNNNNNNNNNNNNNNNNNNNNNNNNNNNNNNNNNNNNNNNNNNNNNNNNNNNNNNNNNNNNNNNNNNNNNNNNNNNNNNNNNNNNNNNNNNNNNNNNNNNNNNNNNNNNNNNNNNNNNNNNNNNNNNNNNNNNNNNNNNNNNNNNNNNNNNNNNNNNNNNNNNGCCCGUCCGCGCGCUCGUGCGCGCCCACGGCCGCACGCGCGCCCGCUCGCCCGUGCGCCCGCGCCCACUAUGGCCGAGCCCGGACAAGUCCGGUGCCCAAAGGGCCCGGGCGGACAUGUCCGCCCCUGGCCUAUGACAAACGGGGCCCAGCCCCAGAACGAAAUAAAAAAACGAAAUGAAAAAAUAAUUAAUUAAUUAAUUAAGAUAAUUAAUUAACUUAUUUAAUCAUGUUAAUAUUAAUUAAUUAAGAUUAAUUAAACUAAUAACUAAUUAACCCAAUUAACUACUGAUAAUUAACUAACAGUCACUGACAGGUGGGACCCACCUGUCAGGUUGACCACGUCAACGGUCAACGUUGGCUGCUGACGUCAGCAUGACAUCAUGUUGAUGUCAUAAAUCCAAAUUUCAAAUUAAAUUAAAUAAUUAAUUAAAAAUCCAGAAAUUAAUAAAUUCUUUUGAAAAUCAUAUCUUUUAAUCCGUAAUCCGGAUGGAAAUACUUUGUACAUGAAAGUUGCUCAGAACGACGAGACGAAUCCGGAUACGCAGCCCGUUCGUCCGCCACACAUCCGUAGCAUAGAAAACCUGUAACAUUUCACCUCCGUUUCAUCUGUCUGAAAACGCAAAACAGCGGGAAUACUUUCCCGGAUGUUCUCCCCUUCGCCGGUACCACCUACUGUCGCGUUAGGACACACCUAGCACUGCUCAUUGUCAUGUCACGCAUCGUCAUGUUUAUGUUUGCAUUGUAUUUAUUGUUUCUUCCCCCUCUUCUCUCCGGUAGACUACGAGACCGACACUGCUGCUGCCCAGUUCGACUACGGAGUUNNNNNNNNNNNNNNNNNNNNNNNNNNNNNNNNNNNNNNNNNNNNNNNNNNNNNNNNNNNNNNNNNNNNNNNNNNNNNNNNNNNNNNNNNNNNNNNNNNNNNNNNNNNNNNNNNNNNNNNNNNNNNNNNNNNNNNNNNNNNNNNNNNNNNNNNNNNNNNNNNNNNNNNNNNNNNNNNNNNNNNNNNNNNNNNNNNNNNNNNNNNNNNNNNNNNNNNNNNNNNNNNNNNNNNNNNNNNNNNNNNNNNNNNNNNNNNNNNNNNNNNNNNNNNNNNNNNNCCCCCCCUUGAUCACCAGAUAUCGCCUAUUCUUCUCUAUACUGCUUGCAUUAGAGUAGUGUAGCAUGUUACUGCUUUCCGUUAAUCCUAUACUGAUGCAUAGCCUGCCCUUGCUUCUACUGUUGUUACCUUUACCUGCAAUCCUACAUGCUUAGUAUAGGAUGCUAGUUUCCAUCAGUGGCCCUACAUCCUUGUCCGUCUGCUGUGCUAUACUAUCGGGCCGUGAUCACGGGUAUAUACUUAUAUACUAUAUACAUGACACAUGUGAUGACUAAAGUCGGGUCGGCUCGUAGGAGUACCCGCAAGUGGAUCUUUGUGGCGGAGCGACAGGGCAGGUUGAGACCGCCUAGGUGAGAGGUGGGCCUGGUCCUGGUCGACGUUCGCGGUUACUUAACACGCUUAACGAGAUCUUGGUAUUUGAUCUGAGUCUGGCCAUUUGGUCUAUACGCACUAGCCAUCUACGCGGGAGUAGUUAUGGGUAUCCCGGCGUCGUGGUAUCAGCCGAAGCUCUUUUUGACGUCAGCGACGGAGCGGCGCGCGCCGGAUUGGACUGGAACGCCACUAGGCUAGGUCUGCUUCCGGCCGCCCUCGCAACGUGCAGGUGUGCAAUGGGCGAUGGGCCUACACCCCUGCGCGCAUAGGAUUUAGACCGGCGUGUUGACCUCUCGGUUGAGCCUAGGUGCGGCUGCGACGUGUUGAUCUUCCGAGGCCGGGCAUGACCCAGAAAAGUGUGUCCGGCCAAAUGGGAUCGAGCGUGUUGGGUUAUGUGGUGCACCCCUGCAGGGAAGUUUAUCUAUUCGAAUAGCCGUGUCCCACGGUAAAAGGACGACCCGGAGUUAUACUUUGACCUUAUGACAACUAGAACCGGAUACUGAAUAAAAUACACCCUUCCAAGUGCCAGAUACAACCCGGUGAUCGCUCUCUAACACGGCGACGAGGAGGGGAUCGCCGGGUAGGAUUAUGCUAUGCGAUGCUACUUGGAGGACUUCAAUCUACUCUCUUCUACAUGCUGCAAGAUGGAGAUGACCAGAAGCCUAGUCUUCGACAGGACUAGCUAUCCCCCUUUUAUUCUGGCAUUCUGCAGUUCAGUCCACUGAUAUGCCCCUUUACACAUAUACCCAUGCAUAUGUAGUGUAGCUCCUUACUUGCGAGUACUUUGGAUGAGUACUCACGGUUGCUUCUCUCCCUCUUUUCCCCCUUUCCUUUCUACCUGGUUGUCGCAACCAGAUGCUGGAGCCCAGGAGCCAGACGCCACCGUCGACGACGACUCCUACGACACUGGAGGUGCCUACUACUACGUGCAGGCCGCUGACGACGAGCAGGAGUAGUUAGGAGGAUCCCAGGCAGGAGGCCUGCGCCUCAUUCGAUCUGUAUCUCAGUUUGUGCUAGCCUUCUUAAGGCAAACUUGUUUAACUUAUGUGUGUACUCAGAUAUUGUUGCUUCCGCUGACUCGUCUGUGAUCGAGCACUUGUAUUCGAGCCCUCAAGGCCCCUGGCUUGUAUUAUGAUGCUUGUAUGACUUAUUUAUGUUUUAGAGUUGUGUUGUGAUAUCUUCCCGUGAGUCCCUGAUCUUGAUCGUACACAUUUGCGUGCAUGAUUAGUGUACAGUCAAAUUGGGGGCGUCACAUCUGUAUGAUAAAACAGGGGAAUCUGGGGUCCGUAUCCGCACCUGGAACCAUAUCUGAAUCGCAGCUAAGUUGCCCGUAUCCGCACCUGGAACCAUAUCCAUACAUGCCUUCGUCGACAGUGAAGGAAAACAAGAUAUAAUGUUGUCUGAUUCAAAAGACGACACAUCAACUGCUGCUCUCAGCACAAACGAACAUGGGCAUAACCGCUGGCCUUGCGAUUUGGUGUCGGGAAAUGCCAGUGAUGUUUGUUAGACGAAAUGAAGCGGAUAUUGUCUCAGUAGAGGCUCCCCCCCGUCCUCCUCUGUGAUAGGCUCUGGUUCUUCAAGGUGCGGGACAAGUUCUACAUUGUUGGACAUUCGAAAAACUAGACCAAGAAAGUGUUGAUGAGGCCACUGAAAAAUGUUUUCCUUUGUGUAGAGUAGUACAAGAUUUGAUCAGGACCGUUCACAUACUGUCAAUGAACAUUGACUAGCAGCCAAUAACACACAACGGUGCUCAUUAGGGCUCUUGAUAUUCCGAUUGAUGCUACUUGUACACUUUGCAAGUACGUGUGAAAAACACAUACAUCUACUGUUGUUCAGAUGUAGUUGAAACUGCGGCAUAAACAUAUUUGACGUCUAUGGUAUUCUAUCUUUGGAACAACGUUCUCUCUAACUAAUCUUCCACAUCUGGCCAGGAACAACUUACCCUGCAUAACAGAGGAAAAAACAUUAGUCACAAGGGCACAGAGAAUCAAGGCUUUAUACAUUACAUAUCCAAGGCGAAUUCAAUGUGGUGAAGUUGUCAAUACCACAUAUAAAGGACGAAUGCAAAUGUUGCUUUCUAGAAGUGAACCAGAGUAGUAUUAAGCGUACCAUGAAAUGUUUUCUAAGAACCAGCCGUGCAAGGUUCAGUCCAUGUUAAAAAUACCAACAAGUUAACUGCAGAUGUCCUAUUCUGAUAUCAUUCUAGUAACCGAAGUGAACAAAAAAUCAACCUCAUAAGUGAACAAAAAAUCAAAUCAGAACAAGCAAUACCACAACAUCAGAUUAAAGUGGUUUAAUCAAACCACAACUCUAAAAAAGUAGACUCAAGCAUGCACUGAGUAAGAUGACGGUUUUGCCUUGCAGCGCUGCCCACAAAUGGCCUAAUUUUUUUUUCUAAAUCGUAAGUUUUUUUUUCAUGAAGCGUUCUGGCCAGAAACUACUCCCAAAGCCCUCUUCAUCGUCUUCACCGGUUCGCCGGCAAAGCUCCAGUGCACCAGUCCUUCAUGUAUCCACCAUCUCCCGACCUCCAACAUGUCACCAUACACCGUCGGAUUCUCGAAUGACUCGACGAUCAUAUACGACACUCCGGUCAUAUGUCAUGUCCAUAAAUGGUGGAAGCAGGACAGGGCGCACAUGGCAGCGGAUGAGCGUACAGCUCAACGGCUGGCAAGAGAGUGGCGGAUCAUGGAAGAGCAAACUUCGGCAGGCCACACAUGGCAGCGGAUGAGCGGACAGCUCAACGGCCGGCAGGAGAGUGGCGGAUCAUGGAGGAGCAAACUUCCGCAGUCGCGUGGCUCAGAAAUUUGGAACGCGAUUGCCUGCUGCCCUCGGAAGCCUCAGUUCCCCAUGAACUCACAUUGAUGUUCAUGGAUUCUUGCAUGCCGAUGUGGGACAGCAGCCAGUGAUUGGGGUUACUAUUAAGGACAAAGCACUCUAUCGCCUCACAAAAUCGGUGAAGGCCAAAUGUGCCUUUCAUAUUGGUUCGCUCUAAUAUCUCACAAUUAAAUGAGUGUGGAAUAUGGACUGUUCACGCAUCCAACAAAGGACCUCCCUCGUAUGCAUUGUGUGGUCGUGGAACAACUCUCGCGUGCAUAUAUAUAGUGUCGGUUCCCUUGCUGCCAAAGAACUCCUCGGGUCAUCAUAUUGCCAUGAUCAUUUGCAUUACAAUGGCAUGGUAGAUCCUCAUGCUUAUCGUAUUCUGAGAAAUGCCAUUUUUACAGCUCGAAUCGCCACUUCGCUGCUGUCAAGCAGAAAACGUGGAACCCUAAAAUCUGAAUCAAGAAGUCCCGGUCCAUAAUAGCAAUGGUUGCAUGAGAAAACAUAGGAAAUCUGGGUCCAGACCUCCCAUGUCAUCAAAAUCUCAAUGCUUGGCUAUAUUUCUCAAUGAUAUCGUGCAUGCCCAAGUUAUAACUUCAAGAUUUCCUAAAUUUGGGUACUGCAAUGGGUGCAAACUGAAGGGGUGCCGUAUUGUAUAUGCAUCUUGUUUGCACGGACAAAGAGGACGGUGGUCCAGAAGCACCUGUCGCCCGUAGAAAAACAAAAUAAUGGAGCACUUCGACUUGUGGCUGCCACCGGUUGCUGAAGGACAAACAAUUGCGAUUGAGCUGAGAAGCACACAACACCCAAGGGCUGGUUUUGGUAUUCUUUAUACUAGACCUAGUAACAUCUCUGUAUUGGUUCUCAAACUCGGUGAAGCAAAAUGUGCUACUUGGAUUGGUUUACUCUAAUAUCUUGGAUUGGUCUACUUGGAUUGGUAUGAAUUGUUAGACCCCAGAAAGGACAGGAUGCAUUGUGGGUGGCGAAAAACUACCGCUUGCAAAAAUAGUGUUGAUUCAGCUGCUACCAAAGAGCUUCUCGUGUCCUCAUAUUGCCACGGACAUUUGCAUUAGCAUGGCAUGGUAGAUCAUCAAUUCAUCAUGCUUAUUGUGUUUUGCAGAAAUGCCGUUUUUACUAGUGGAACUGCACCUUCACCUAUGUAGUUCAAAAGAAACCACGGAACUCAGUGUUAAACAUAUAAGGUUCAGGUUCAGCGCAUAGUGCAACAUUGUAAUGUGGUAGAUCUCUUGGAGAUAUUCUGGUAGUUUGUUGGCCUAGGUAACUAGCUUAACCGUGGCUAACUCUAUCUCUCUUUUUCUUCUUCUCCAAGAUGUACUCUAUCUCCUGUAUGCGCUACAGGGAUCUGCGCCCCUGCCUAUAAACAUGAACCACGUCCCCUCGUAUAGAGGUAAGACGUUUAUCGCAUCUUCACAUGGUAUCAGAGCAUGCACUGACAAGAGUUGAAGUAGACUUGGAGAAAGUAAGACCAACAUUAACAGUGUCUUUGACAUAUCUUACUAUCCGUUUUGCAGCAGUCCAAUGAACUGUAGUGGGAGCAUGAAGAAACUGACAAACUUUGUUCACAGCAAAAGAAAUAUCUGGUCUUGUAAGAGUCAAGUACUGGAGUGCACCAACUAAGCUUCUGUACUUGGUACUAUCUUCCUGAUUCAGGAGUUCUCCCUCUGUAAGAGAAAUUUUUUCAGAACUUGACAUUGGUGUUGGUGAUGGCUUGCAUCCCUGUAGCCCAGCUCUUCUUACAAGAUCAGUAGCAUAUUUUCCUGAGAUAGGUGAAGUUCACUUCCUUGUUUCCUUACCUCAAUACCUAGGAAAAAAUGCAAGUCUCCUAGAUCCUUCAGUGCAAAUUCAGCACUAAGAUCUUUCAACAGUCCUGUCACUGCUUCAUUUGAUGAGCUUGUAACAAUAAUAUCGUCAACAUAAAUGAGCACAAAGAUAGAUGUGUUGCACUUAUUGUAAAUGAACAGUGACGUGUCAGACUUGGAAGGAACAAAACCAAGUGCUUGUAAUUUUUGACUGAGACGGGAGUACCAUGCCCUAGGAGCUUGUUUAAGGCCAUACAAAGCUUUAUCCAACUUGCAGACAUGGAAAGGUGUGUUUUUGUUCUCAAACCCAGGAGGUUGCUUCAUAUACACUUCCUCUUCCAGAACACCAUGAAGGAACGCGUUCUGAACAUCUAGCUGUCUAAGACUCCAUCCCCUGGAAACAGCAAUAGACAAAACAAGACGAAUGGUGGCAGCUUUAACAACGGGACUAAAGGUGUCCUCAUAGUCUAUGCCAUACCAUUGCUUAAAUCCUUUGGCAACAAGUCUAGCCUUAUAUCGAUCAAUAGUUCCAUCAGACUUCCUUUUUAUUCUGAAUACCCACUUGCAAUCAAUGAGAUUUUGACCUUGCCGUGAAGGAACUAGAUGCCAUGUCUUGUUUUUCUGGAGUGCUCUGUACUCUUCUUCCAUAGCUUGCUUCCACUUUGUGUCACCUAAUGCCUCAUCAAGCGUUUGUGGUUCACCUGUAGAGCAAGCUAAGCCAAACUUAAGUACCUUUUUAUAAUUGACAGGUUGCAAUACCCCUUUUUGUAGACGUGUGCGAGGCAUGGAUGGUGAAGCAGCAGCAGUUUGCUGCACAGAAGAUCCGGGGUCUGCAGCAGAAAAAUCCACAUCAGUAUCCCCCAGUGAUCCCGAGGCAGAUAUUCUGAGAUCUGACGAAGAGGCAGGAUUUUCUGCGGCUUCAGCGGGUGAUGAAGGGGCGCCAUCCGCCACAGAGGAUCCACCCGCAGCAGGAGAUUCGCUCCCACCAGGAGCGUCAUCAGGAUCCAUGCGAGAUCCAGCGCCUGUCGGGUGGUCCACCACAUGGGGCCCCGAGCCGGACGGCCGACGCGGGCGCCGCGCGUAGCACGUGGGCGGAUCGGGGAAGCGGCUCGUCAGCUGCCGCGUGGGGCCCGGAGAUUGGCGCGGGCCAUCAGCGCCCGCGGAUUGGUCGAAGGCGUGGCACGCUGCCGAGUCAGGGCGGGCGACCCGAGCGCUGUCGGACGUGUCGUUGUCAGGCGCAGGUGCAGAGGCGUCAAUCCCGAAGGAGAUCACCUGCAGGACUGGUGCGGCCCGGAUCCCGAGGGAGAUAUGUCCCCCGAGGGCCUGCACAUGAAAUAUGGCUCGUUUGGAGCCGUUUCUUCACCGUUUUCAUCACCGUGAGCACCAUUGGCUUCACUGUUUUGUCCUGCAUCAUCACAUAGCUCAAGCAAACUGUUAUGAGGAUUAGUUGACAUGUGAUCAUUACAGUUAUCUUCCCCAGAGGCACCUACUAGAUGGGAUGGCAAAAGGAGAAUUUCUUGGCGAAGAAGAGCACCGGCGUUUGGAUGUAGAUCAGCAAAGGGAAAUUUUGUCUCGUCAAACACGACAUCUCUAGAGAUAUAGACUCGUCCAGUGGAGACAUCAAGGCACUUAACUCCUUUAUGUUGAGGGCUAUAGCCCAAGAAGACACACUGUUUCGAGUGAAACAUAAGUUUGCGAUUGUUGUAGGGUCGAAGGUUUGGCCAACAUGCGCACCCAAAAACACGAAGUGAUGUAUAAUCGGGUUUGAUGCGAAGAAGCCUUUCUACCGGUGUUUCAUGAUUGAUGACAUGACUAGGAAGCAUGUUGAUGAUAUGAACAGCGGUAAGAAAAGCCUCAUCCCAAAAUUUGAGGGGCAUGGAUGCGCCAGCCAAGAGAGCUAGACCAACCUCAACAAUGUGCCUAUGUUUUCUUUCGGCAGAUCCAUUCUGCUGAUGAGCAUGAGGACAAGAAACUUGGUGAGAGAUGCCAAGAGUUUGGAAGAACGAGUUUAAUUUUCCAUAUUCCCCUCCCCAAUCGGAUUGAACGGCAAUGAUUUUGCUAUUAAACUUUCGUUCAACGAGAGCUUGGAAGUUGUGAAACACUUGAAAGACCUCGGAUCUUUUUUUGAGUAAAUAGAUCCAAGAAUACUUGCUAUAGUCAUCAAUGAAGCUAACAUAGUAAGUAUGCCUACCAACAGAACUUGGAGCAGGACCCCAAACAUCAGAAAAAAUAAGUUGCAACGGUUUGGUAGAAAUACUCGUAGAAAUUGGAUAAGGUAAUUGAUGGCUUUUAGCCUUUUGACAAGAAUCACAAAUUGUUUCAACAUUAUGCUCUCCAACAUAUGGGAGCUUAUUCUUCCUAAGUAAUCGUUCAACUAAAGAAAAAGAUGCAUGCCCUAGUCUAUCAUGCCACCUUGUCGAGGAGAUUUUGGUGACACCAUAAGCUUGCUUAUUUAUUCUUCUAAACUCCGGAAUCAAUGGGUAAAGCCCGCGAACACAUCUACCUCGGUAGAGCACCUUCCUCGUUGCCUGAUCCUUGAUCAAAAAGAAAAAAGGGUGAAACUCGAGAAAGACAUGAUUGUCAAUGGCAAUACGAUGAACGGAGAGUAGAUUUUUAGAUGCACUAGGGACAUGAAGGUUUUUUCUUAGAUGAAUCUUUCGGUGAGGGGUUUGAAAAACUGAAUGACCAACAUGUUUAAUCCUCAUACCUGAUCCGCUUGCUGUAUGUAUCUGGUCUUGGCCGCGGUACUUCUCCCGCAUAGUCACCUUUUCAAGUUCACCGGUGAUGUGAUUUGUAGCGCCACUAUCAACAUACCAGUUUGUAUCAACCCCGUAUGAGGCUUCUGCAGCACCAGCGACCUUCUCAUCUUGCGAAGAUUCUCCUUCAUCCUCCUCAAACCGGUACCAGCAAUCCCUUGCUGAGUGACCGAUCUUGCCGCAGAUUUGACACUUGACAGCGUCGGGGCGGCUCCUGGAGUUGUUGUGACGGCCCUUGUUGUUGGUGUAGGAGGGCCGCCCACGAGAGGCGCUGUUGUUGGAGUUGCCGCUGCCGCCGCCGCUGUUCUUUCCCUUGUUGCGCGGAGGGCCACGGUAGCCGCGUGAGCCACCACGACCACCACGAACGGCGGCGUUGGCGGAGCUCUUGAACCCGGCGUUGUUGCCAGCACCAUGGAACAUAGCAAUGCGCUGGUCGAGGUUGCUUACUUGAGCGAACAGAUCAUCGAUCGUGAUCGGUUCUUUUCGGGUGUCGAGUGCCGACACCAGCGGCUGGUACUCCAUGUCCAGCCCUGCCAGGAUGUAGGAGAUGACUUCAUCGUCAUCCAGCGGCUUGCCAGCGGCCGCCAGUUCGUCGGCGAGGGAGCGGAUGUGAGCGAAGUAGGCGCCCACCGUUUGCGUGCCCUUCUGCGCAUUGGAGAGGGCGAUCCUGAUGUUGUUGAUGCGAGAUCGGGACUGGGAUGAGAACAUGCUCGCCACAGCAGUCCAGAGCUCAUGCGCCUUGCGGAUCGAAGUCACAUGGAUAAGAACUUCUCGAGAGAGAUUGAUCAAUAGAUGACCAAGUACCUGCUGAUCUUCCCUUACCCAGACUUGGUGUAGAGGGUUCGGGACGGCUUCCUCCUUGCCAUCUUUAUCCUUGGUGACGAGGAACUUCUCUGGUUCCUUGAUGGAUCCGUCAACGUAGCCAAACAGGCCAGCGCCGAUGAGCUGGGGCAUGAUCUGAGCACGCCAGAGGACAUAGUUCGUCCUGGUGAGCUUCUCUGUUACCUGACCAUGGAUGGUGGGUACAGGAGCGACAGCGGAAGACGACAUGGUUGGAGCUAGGGUUUGAUGGAUGCUAGAUGUUGUGGAAGAAGGAGGCUCUGGUUACCACUUAUUUGUCUGCAAAUCCUAUGUUUCAUGCAAGAACAAAACAUAUUGAGAUUGACUUCCACUUUGUUCGAGAAAGGGUUGCUAGCAGGAAGCUUGAGAUCCGGUUUGUACAUUCCAGAGAUCAAGUUGCAGAUGGCUUCACCAAGGCAUUGCCUACAAGGAAUUUUGAAUUAUUCAAACGUAAUCUCAACUUAACAAAGUUGUGAUUAUGGGAGGGUGUUAAACAUAUAAGGUUCAGGUUCAGCGCAUAGUGCAACAUUAUAACGUGGUAGAUCUCUUGGAGAUAUUCUGGUAGUUUGUUGGCCUAGGUAACUAGCUUAACCGUGGCUAACUCUAUCUCUCUCUUUCUUCUUCUCCAAGAUGUACUCUAUCUCCUGUAUGCGCUACAAGGAUUUGCGCCCCUGCCUAUAAACAUGAACCACGUCCCCUCGUACAGAGGUAAGACGUUUAUCGCAUCUUCACACUCAGAAAUCUGAAUCAAGAGUUCCCAAUCUAUUGCAAUAGUUGCAUGAUAAAACAGGGGAUGUCUGGUCCAGACCUCUCAUAUCAUAUUUAAAUUGCACCUUGUAUCUCAAGUCGAUGAUGCGUUAAUUCCGCUUCUAUAUUUCUUCCUUUUUUUUUCCACGAGUGCUCCCAUUCUUACCUUCUCUUAUCAUCUAGAUAGCGGAAACCGGCGGUCCAUCGAUAGUGAAGGGAUACAACAUAAACACUAUGCGAUUCAGAAGACUGCCCUCAAUACAAAACGAACCUGGGCUUAAAAAGCUGCCCUUGAGACCCCACUAAUUCUGUUGGAUGGCUACGUUAUGAAGCCUAUAUCUGAAGUUGAUUAUGUUUAUGAAUGAAGCACGUACAAUGCUUUUUCUGAUUUCCGCCUAUUGAAAACUGAACAUUUUUUUAAGUAAGAAACCUGGACCUGUUGAAUGGCUACCUAAUUCUGUAUGCAUUUUGCUGUUCCUUUUAAACGCUGUUUGUAAGUUCCAUCUUUUUCUACGUGGAGAGGUUGGCUAUGGUUUGCUAGCAAUGAGUAAACAAUGAACUUGUUUAGGCCGUGAUUUUCAACUGUUGUUUUUCCUAACAAAAAUGGCCAGUAAGCGAAUCUGUUUAUACUAUAAAUGUAGAUGGAUGCAAUUGGAAAAACAGAGCACUGAAGGGGAAUUUCCACAGAUAUACCUUCCGUCCUGCAUGACCGGCGCUGUUCCAUGGCCUCACCAAUGAUUUGCCUCCGAACGGGGCUGGAAGUCUAGAAAAGGUAUAUCAUGGCCUGCAGCUUAAUGGACUCAGAAGCCCCACGGGAAGCGCGAACAAUGUUUCAGUAGAUCCCCCUCUCCUAUCAUAGGCUCUGAUCUUUCCUACCAGGUGCAGCACAAGUUCUAGGCUAUUCGACAUUUGCAAAAGCUAGACCAAGAAAGAGUUGAUGAGGCCCCUGGAAUAUAUUUACUACAAGAUCUGAUCAGGAUCGUCAACCAAUAACACACAACCAUCUACGCUGGGGCUCCUGAUAUUCAGAUUGUUGCCAUUUCUAGAUUUGAAAGUAUGCACGCAUGAGAAACACAUAUGUAUCUACUGCCGUUCAUAUGUACUAGUCGAAAUUGCAGCUUAAUCAUAUUUGACGUCUACGGUGUUGCUUUCUUUGGAAUGACGUUCUCUCCAACUGAUCUUCCACAUCUGGAGCAAACUUACCCUGCAUGACAGAGAACAAAAUAUUAGUCUUGUUAGGAAUGAGCAACUAAGCUUUACUGAGGGCCAAAGACAAUUGCAUAUACAUGUGUGUCAAAGUGCAGAAAACCCCUUAUACAAUGGGGAUAUAUCGAAAAGGGACUAUACACAUCUAACACCCCCCCUCAAACUCAUGGUGGAUUAAGAACACUGAGUUUGGAGAGGAAAAAGGUAUGCUGCGCACGAGUCUGUGCCUUCGUGAAGAAGUCAGCCAACUGUAACUCAGAAGGCACAUAGUGAAGAGCGAGAGUCUGAUCUUGCACAGCAGCACGCACAAAGUGAGCAUCCACACCGAUGUGCUUGGUGAGCUCAUGCUUCACCGGGUCACGUGCAAUACUGAUAGCACCAGUACUGUCUGACAAUAAGGGAGUCGAGGUAGUAGCAGACACACCAAAAUCCUCAAGUAACCACCGUAACCGGAUCACCUCAGCCGUCAACAUAGCCAUCGCCUGCAACUCAGCCUCUGUACUCGAGCGAGAAACUGCAGUCUGUUUCUUUGUCUUCCAGGCAAUAAGAGAGCCACCAAGAAAGACACAGUAAGCAGACAGCGAGCGUCGAUCAGAGGAAUCACUAGCCCAGGUAGCAUCAGAGUAGACCUGGAGCUCAAGAGAACUGGAGCGGGGAAAGAAAAGGCGCUGAGAGAUCGUGCCACGAAGAUAUCGUAGAACACGGAGGAGGUGACUAUAGUGGACAGAGGUGGGGGUUGAAACAAACUGACUCAGGAUGUGGACAGGAUAGGAGAUUUCAGGACGCGUAACAGCAAGAUAGACAAGACUGCCAACGAGGUGACGAUAGCGAGUGGGAUUAGGAAGAGGGUCACCAUCAGAGGCACGAAGCUGAACAUUGAGCUCCAUAGGAGUCACAACAGUGCGCUCAUCACCGAGAGCAGCGCGAGCAAGAAGAUCCUGAAUAUAUUUUUCUUGGGAGAUGUAGAAGCCAUCAGAGGUCGAGGAGAUCUCAAUCCCAAGAAAAUAGCGAAGUGGACCAAGAUCAGUCAUGAGAAACUGGUCGCGAAGGCGAGCCUUAACAAAGGCAAUGUACUCAGAGUCGUCACCAGUGAUGAUCAUGUCAUCAACAUAGAGAAGGAGAAGAGUCCGACCACGAGGAGACGUGUGAACAAACAACGCGGGAUCAUGAUCACUGGGCAAGAAACCAGCGGCAGUCACCAUAGAGGCGAAGCGCUCGAACCAGGCGCGAGGGGCCUGUUUAAGACCAUAGAGGGAGCGCCGAAGUCUACAGACCAUACCAUCAGGGGCAUAGUACCCCGGUGGUGGCUGCAUAUAAACCUCCUCACGCAACUCGCCAUUGAGAAAAGCGUUCUGGACAUCAAGUUGAGAGAUAGACCAAUGAUGAACAGAAGCCACAGCAAGGAGAGUGCGGACAGUGGUCAUGUGGGCCACAGGAGCGAAAUUCUCAUCAUAAUCGCGUCCCUGCUCCUGUUGAAAACCACGGGCCACAAGACGAGCUUUGUAGCACUCAAGAGAACCAUCAGAGCGAGUCUUAAUCUUGUAGACCCACUUGCAGGUGAUGGGACGAACACCAGAAGGGAGAGGAACCAAAUCCCAUGUGCCUGAGCGCUCAAGGGCAGCAAGCUCUUCGGCCAACGCAAGUUGCCAUUCAGGCUGAGUCAUGGCAGUCCGAUAGGAAGUGGGCUCAGCAAGAACAGAAAGACCGUACCGAUCAGGAGAGUAGCGAUCAGGCGGGGGGCGAGGCCAAGCACGGAGGUUAUGAAUUGGGGGAGGCGUGAAAGGAGGAGCACCAGAGGUGGAAGGCGCGUCAGGAGAAGCAUCCUCAGAACGAGGGCGACGGGUAUAGUGGAGAGGAAACAGUGAGAGAGGGUGACGGACGGGAGAGGAUGGUGGAGAUGUGGAGGAGGAGGAUGGGGAAGAUGGUGUCGGUGGUGAAGAAGAAGGAAUGAGAGGUGCAGGAGGAGGAAGUGAAACAUGAGGCACAUAGCGGGGUGUAUCGGGGAGAAGAAGAAAGGAAAUAUCGUCCACAGAGAAGCUCGAGGAAGAAGGAUGGGGGUAGUAAGAGCGAGACUCAUCAAAAGUCACAUCACGCGAGAUGCGCAAACGACGACCAACGGGAUCCCAACUGCAAUAGCCCUUGUGCUCAUCGCUAUAGCCAAGGAAGACACACUCAACCGACUGAGCAGUCAGUUUGGUGCGGUCUCGUGGAGCAAGAAGGACAUAGCACACAUAUCCAAACAUACGAAGGGCUGAGUAGUCAGGAGAACGUCCAGUGAGACACUCCAUAGGAAUACCACCUUGCAAAGCAGUCGAUGGCCGAAUGUUGAUGAGAUAGGUGGAUGCAGAAACAGCCUCAGCCCAAAAGUGAGGCGGAAGGGAAGCCGCAAUCAUCAGGGCACGAGCCGUCUCAAGUAGAUGACGAUGCUUACGUUCCGCAACGCCAUUCUGAGCAUGAGCACCAGGACACGAGAACUGGGCAAGAGUUCCCUGUUCCGCAAGAAAACCACGCAACAGCUGAGAGAUAAACUCACCAGCGGAGUCAGCACAAAAAGUACGAAUGGGCAUGGAAAACUGGGUGUGAACCAUGGCGGCAAAACGUUUGUAUAUAGAGAGAACCUCGCUACGAGAUUUCAUGAAGUAGAGCCAAGUGUAGCGAGAGAAAUCAUGAAUAAACAAGAUAUAGUAGCGAUGACCACCUUUCGAAUCAAAGGGAGCAGGACCCCAAACAUCAGAAUGAACUAAGUCAAAAGGACGCUGAGAUACCGACUCACUGGUAGGGUAAGGCAACUGGGUCUGUUUGCCAAGUCUGCAACCAUUACAAUGCAAAGAAACAUCUCCAGAUACGGACCCUAAGAGGCCCUGAUGAACUAAAGAAGACAAGCGAGAGCCACAGAGGUGACCAAGGCGAUGAUGCCACUGUUGGAAGGACGCAGACGAAGAGGCAGCAAGAGCAUGGGAACUGGCAGGAGUGGUGGCAGCGGAAGGAACACGAAGCCAGUCAACCUCCCAAAGGCCCUCUGACUCACGGCGCCGGGGGCCAGCACCAACCAAAGCCUUGGUGCGACGAUCCUGAAUGGAGCAAGAGUCGGUAUCAAGAAUGACACGACAACCAGAAUCAGUAAGUUGGGCAGCGGAAAACAGAUUCAUGGUAAGGCGAGGAACAUGUGAAACACUAGGAACAGAAAAAGAUGGAGUGGAAAGAAGACCACGACUAGCAACAGGAAGAGGUGUGCCAUCGGCGGUAAGAACAUUAACAGGCGAAUCAAGAGGUCGGAGAGAAGACAACACAGAAGAAUCAGAAGACAUAUGGAAGGAGGCUCCAGAAUCCAAAACCCACGAAGAUGUACCUGACUGUGUAGAUGCCUGCGGUGGUGGAGAAGUGGAUGCAGUCACAGCAGCAGCUGAACCAGUCGACGAAGAGCCUGAGGAAGCCAAGAGGCGUUUGAGCCUCACAAUGUCCUGGUCAGUGAGUGACGGAGUCGAGGAAGAUCCAGGAGUCCCACUGGAAGAAGAGCGCCUCUGAUCUCGCUUCUUCUCAGGACAAUCAGACUCUGGAUGACCUGGCCGAGAGCAGUAGCCACAGAAGGUAUCACGGCGUGACCGGCCCCUCUCAGCAUAAGGAGGGCGACCCACCUCCCUGAAGGUGUGGGUAGGAGCGGUGGAGCGGUGAGCCGAGCAGACGACACAGGAGCCCGAGCAGCCAACACAGAGGGAACCACCAGCAACCCAGCAGAGCGAAGGCGAGUCUCCUCAGCACGAAGCUCGGCAAGCACCUCCGAGAGAGGAACACGACCACGAGCAAGCAAGUGAGCCCUCCUGGGCUCAAACUCAGAGCGGAGACGAGAUAAGAACGCAUGAACCCGCUGAAACUCCAAGUCGGACCAAGUGGUCUGACAGCAACGGCAAGUGCCACAAACAACUGUCCGCAGUGAGUCAAGCUGACGCCAGAUGGCAGAACACUGUGAAUAGAACUCAUCAACAGACGAGUCGCCCUGCUGAAGAGCAUGCUCCUGACGCACCACAGAGAGGUAUAGAGCAUCGCGAGAGGGCUGAUAGCGCUGACAAAGAUAGGACCACAUCAUGCAACAGUGCCGAGGCCCAUGAACUCGGAAGCAAACUGAGGGAGAACACUUGCAGUGAGAACAGCAGCAGCUCGAGCAUCAUCAUUGCACCACUGAGUGUAAGCAGACAGAUCAUCCCGGUAGACAGAAAGAGCAUCUGAAUAGGCAGAUACCUGUUGAUCAUAAGCAUCAACCACAGCAUCAUCAAGCACCUUGGCUGCAUCUCGAUCAGCAUGAGAAGCAUCAGCAGCUAGGACCGGCGGCACCGGCGGGGUAGGAGCCACAGGAGCAACAGGGCAUGGUGGACAGGAGACCUCGUCAGAGAGAACGCCCCAGAGAAGAAGACCGCGCAUAUGAAUACGCAUAAAUCCCGCAAACUUGGCAUAGUUGGUGCCAUCAAAGAUCACCGAGCACCGAGGGACGGCGGCAUAGCCCAAAGAGGACAUGAGGAAAUCUCCCUCUUUUUUUUGGAUCCGAACUGAGUGCGGAUCGAGAAGCCCGAACUGGGUCCGGAGCGAGAGGGCCGGACUGAGUCCGGAGCGAGAAGCCCGAACUGGGUCCGGAGCGACAGGGCCGAACUAGAGGCAGAUCGAGCAGAGCGCUCGUCUCCUGGAGUCAACGGGUCGGCCGAACCGAGCUGAGGCGCUCCGUCGCGCGCCGACACACGAGGCGAGCAGCGCUCGAUGCGGGGCUGGAUCGACCACAGCUAGCGCGAAGCGGCGGCUGGCCAGAGAAGGACGCGGCCCGGCGCGAGAAGAGGGGGCCCGGCCCGACGCUGGAGAACCCCGACCUCAGCGGGAUCUGGCGGAGGAGCGCCAGAUCCAGAAGAGCAGUGGCGUGGCAGAGCCCGCGCGAGCGGGGAGGAACCCGCGCAAGCGGGGAGCAGCGCGGGAGGAAGCCUCUCGAGCGGGGAGCAGCGCGAUAGGAGGCCGCUCGAGCGGGGAGGGGCGCAGCAGGUGCACCGGCGGAGAUGCGCCAGCCGGGGCAGGAGCGGCCGCGGCGUACAGGCGGCAGGGGGGAGCGCCCGGAGUCGAGCGGGAGUGGCCGGAGACGAGGGAGAGGGAGGCCGGCGACGGGGGAGCGAGGCAUGGAGCUGCGAGCGUGCGGGAGCGGGAGAGGAACCUAAGCAUCUGAUACCAUGUUAGGAAUGAGCAACUAAGCUUUACUGAGGGCCAAAGGCCAUUGCAUAUACAUGUGUCUCAAAGUGCAGAAAACCCCCUUAUACAAUGGGGAUAUACCGAAAAGGGACUAUACAGAUCUAACAAGUCUCACGAGUACAGAGAUGCAAGGCUUCAUAUAUUACAUAUCCCAGGCCUAUUCAAUCUGGUCAAGUUGUUGUCGACACUACGUACACAGGUUGAAUGCGAACAUGGAUUCUUGGAAGGGAACCAGGGUAGUAUUAGUUUGAAUAGAUAGAAGCGCACCAUGAAAAGUUUGCUAAGAACUGGGUGUGUAAUGUUCCGUUCAUGAAAAAAAUACCAAGUUAAAAUGCAGAUGUCUUAUUCUAAUAUCAUUCUAGCAAUCGAAGUAAAAAAAAAAACUACCUCGCAUAGAGAGGAAACAUCAAAAUUAUGGUCGCAUAUGUUAUCAUCAACCUUAUAUUUCAAAUCUGGCACGUUAUUUUGAGAGCUCAAGUCCCACCCAAGAUUCGAGUGUUUGGCCAAAAACUCGCCUCUGAAGCGCUAGGUGUGCAGCAUAAUCGCUGGAGAAGGAACUUGGUGGCCUUGCCAACCUGUACUAUUUGUGGUUUGGAACAGGAGGAUGGCUUCCAUGUAGAGAUGAGAUGUAUGGAAGUAAAAGCACUUCGUCAUGAGAUGUGGAAGGUCUAGGAGCUGCCGGCUGAAUCCGAUUUAGUUUGCUCUGGUCUGGAUUGGGCCCUGGUAAUACUGGGUAAAUGCAAUGAAUAUAUGACAGCAAACUUACCUUUCUUAUGGAUGAACCAGGAAAUCUGAAGCAGUUUAAAUAAAGCCCGGUAAAGAAUUAAAUGGAAGAAGCCUACGAGAUGGAAUGGUAAAAGCUAAAUGUGGAUGCGAUCAUGAAUAUAGGAAAGGGUGCCGCAGCCUCGGGCUGUUCUCAGGGGUGACAUUGGCGAGGUCUGGUGAUCGUGCUAGGGCCUAUUCGCUACUACACCAGUCGACGUCACCGAAGGCAUCACUAGAUUUAGUUUGAAUGAUGUGUGUGGUCGGUAAUGUUUCACUCAAUCCCAACCUGUGUGUUGGAUCACGUGAGACAAGAUUGUAGUGACUGCGCAUUUCAUUAAUAAAUAUACACACAGUUUUGAUAAAAAAUUGAAUAAAUAUAUUUCGGCAUCAGCGAAUGGUAAUAUUAUCCAUGAUAUUUUGCUAUUGCAAUUGCACAUCAACAUCUGUCUGCCAUGGGUUGCUGAAAGACAAACAAUUGUGAUUGAACAGAGGAAGCGCACAUCACUGUCACUCAACGGCUGGCUUUUGCAUUCUUUAGACUACACCUUUGACCAUCACCGGCAUCGUUUUGCAAAUUCUGUGAAGCAAAAUUUGCUCGUUCUAUUGGUUUACUCUAAUAUCUCAGUAAAAAAAGGGUAUGGACUAUCAACAGUUUUACCCAGCCAACAAAGGACUUCUGCUUGCAUAUAUAUAAUUUUGAUUCCCCUGCUAGCAAAGAGCUCCACGGGUCAUCAUAUUGCCAUGAUUAUUUGCAUUACUAUGGCAUGGUGGAUCGUCAUGCUUAUGGUGUUCCGUGGAAUUGCAGUUUGUACUCGCUAGAAUCGCCGCUUCACCUCUGUCAAAAAGGAAACAUGGAACUCUGAAAUCUGAAUACAGGGCUCCCAAUCCAUGGCAGUAGUUGCAUGACAAAAUAGGGGAAGUGGUCCACAGCUUCUACAUUAAAUAUUGGUCAUGUACCUGUAUCUCAAAUCGAUGACGCAUUAAUCCCUCUAGUGCAGCUAUUUCUCUGUGAAUUUGUUCAGUUGUGUUUUGCUCCAGAACUCUGAUAGCUAUUGUGGUGUUAGCUGUAGGAGGCAAACUUUCUUAGCUCGUUACCGUUGAGAUAGCUGAACCCCGCCGUUUUUAGUCAUAUUAAACAAUACGAAAAGAUCAUACAGCGUACAUUAUUGUUUGUUUAUUUCUGGCGGUGGCAUACAUUCUUGCUGAUAGAUCUCACUGAUUUGCAACGAGGCACAUACAACACCAGACCUGAGAAGCGACCAUGCAUGCGCGUCGUCGGUGUUGCUCCUAGUUGUGCCUCUGCUGUUGUUGUGCUUGGUUAUGGCACCACCGCUGGUUGUUGCACCUGUUUGCUUUGUCAUCGAUCCUCUAUCUGCGUCGGUUGUUGCUGCCGUCGAGCUUGGCUACCUCUGCUUCUUCUCAUGCUUUUUGCUACUGCUUGCUGCUCGGGUGCCUUUUCCACUACUGAUCAUCGUGGACUGCACUUGCACGGUUGCACCUAAUAAACUGGACAAUACAAGGAGUAACGUGUGAAAGCUGAUAACAACCAUGGUACAUGUUCUGGCCCUGCAAACUGCCAAAAGCUCAUCUAAACAAAAUCUGAUGAAGGCCACGACCAUUAAUCUUCCUGGGAAAAUUUCAAGGUUCUCCAUGAGGAUCAAAGAUGAGUCGUGGCGUGGAGUAUCCUCCAUGACAUCUUGUCAGCAGCAGCGAAAGCCAUGGUGAUUGGCUCUAAUAAUAACUAUUGUGAACCUUGAUCCAACAAAAUGCAUGGCCGCAAGCGAUUGUGCAGACAUAGGUUUUGAUUUUAUUUUUGAGACAUAGACAUAUGUUUGGAUGAGAGAACAACUUGGGAAAACAAAAUGCAUGGCCACAUGCCAACCUUAUAUAAUGGAUGCUUAGGCCCUUGAGGCCUUUGCCUUUCCCAUUCUCCUAAUACGAUUAGACUUCCUUAUAUACAAUUGGAGUCUUUCUUAUCUUACAAAUUCCUAAUGGACUCUUAGUAUACUUCUUUCUGAUGGACUCUUUGUCAGGUCCUAGCAGGAGAAAAAUCCUAACAUAUAUCCCUUAGUUAUCCAUCAGAAUCCAAUGGCUGUUGUUACUUGGCUUAUUGCUAUAGUUACUGUUUGCUGUAAUUUAGUUCAACCAGGGGGCUUUGCUUAGGCCAUUUACCUCAUGUUUUACUCUCGGUAUAAUCGCUGAACCGAUCCGGCUAUAUGUCAUAACCAUCGUGAAUAAAGAGUAAGAAAGAACUCGCCAAAAAUUACUUGGAUUAAUUAGAAGUAGAGGCGAUUAUCUUCUCAAGUAUCCUGCAUUUUACACCAAAAAUCUGACAAGUCCCUCGUCGGUUUUUCGAUCAAUUCCUUCCAAUUGUUCCAGUCCUAGCACUCCGCCCAUGUUGGUUCAAUGGGAGCUCCCUCUAUGGGCUCUCCUCCCAUGCUGGUUCAACAGGAGUAGAUCAGGUCCGUCUAUUGGCUCACAAAUUGGGUGGCAAAACAUGCUUUUUCUAUUGGUUUACUCUAAUAUCUCGGAAACAAAACCGUGUACUAUUGACAGUUUCAUCCAGCCAACACCAUGUAUGCAUUGUGUGGUGGUGGGAAUACUGCAGCUUGCAUAUAUAUAGUCGUAUUCCCCUGCUACAAAAGAAAUCAUCAGGUCAUCAGAUUGCCAUGAUCAUUUGCAUUACUAUGGCAUUGCGGAUCAUGCUUAUUGUGUUUCGCAAAAAUGCCAUUUUUACUGCUGGAAGCAGCCGUACACCUCUAUCGAAAAGAAAACAUGGGAACCUGAAAUCAAAAUCUAGAGUUCUCAAUCCAUGGCAACAGUUGCAUGAUAAAACAGGGGAAAUCUGGGUCUAGAGUUCCCACCUCUAAAUCGCAGUUAUGUUCCCCUGUAUCCCAAAUCAGUGAUGCAUUAACCCCUCCUCAUGCUGUGCUGAAAACCUGAACUCCUUUUUUUCAUUUUUCAAAGAGUAGGAAACCUAAACUCAAUCCGUAACUUAGACAAGCAAGCCAAUAAAUUAUCCUGCGCACACGGUAGUUGUCGACUGCAUAGCACGCAGCAUAAUGGACUCCGAAGAGCAGUAACAACUGAAGCGGAUGCAGUCACGUAGAUCCCCGUCCAGUUACAUAGGCUCUGGUCUUUCCAUGUGCAGUAUGAGCUAUACACGAUUGGAUGUUCACAAAAACAGGACCAGAAAGAGUUGAUGAGGCCGCCGAUAUACAUUUUUCCUUCGUGUACAAGAUUUGAUCAGGAACAACGUCAAUUAGCAGGCAAUAACACACAACUGUGCACGCUCCUGAUAUUCAGAGAGAUACUAUUUUUACACUUCGCGAGUACAUAUGAAAAACACAUAUCUACUGUUGUUCAGACGUAGUUGAAACUGCAGCAUAAUCAUAUUUGACGUCUACAGUGUUGCU